rnacentral:lncRNA from 1 species
UUUUUUUUUUUUUUUAUAACUAAUUCGGUCAUUAAACUAAUGUCUCAAUAGCUAUAACUCAGUGUUGAAUUCAAGGAUAAAAGUUAAUUUAUAGAUAUCCUAAUGUUAUCAUAUCUAAUGUGAAUUAAUUAAGUGCUCAUUUAGCCUCGUUGUUACUUAAGUUUGAUACCAAACCUAGGUGUCAUGAACAAUCAUGAGAGCUAAAUAUAUAUUUAAUCUAUUCUGAAUGAAUCAAAUAUAAAUCAUGUUUUUUUUUUUCAAGUAUAGUUUUAAAAAAAUAAAUAUCCAACUUAAACUCUUACCGCAAAGAAUAAGCAACUAAUUACUCAGAAUCUCAAAUACCAUACUAUUAUAUCCCAUGUAGCGAACUUUGUGGACUUUCUAAUAUAUUUUGUAGAUCUCAUAGUGUACUCAUAGAGAACUAGACAUGUGUUUCCCAACUGAACUAACGACACUACAAAUCUAGGGUUAAUUUGUGAACCUCAAGUUGGAGAACUUUGGAAUUGGACGUCGCUAUAUGACGACCACAUGGAGAGUUAGGGUAAUUGAUUGCUAACCACUAUACUUGGAACACGUAUCCAAAUUUAUCUCCCACUAUGAAAGAGUCACGCAAAUAACUCACACAGACUCGCUACAUUCUCUCUUCCCCAAUUCCCUUAUUUUUCCAUAACAAGAACCUCUCUCCCAACUUUCACCUCUCCUCCUCCUCUUUUAGUUACCAUCUUCUUUUGUUCACUUUCAUUAAUUAACACAUAGAGAUCAAGAAUGGAAGAAUUAAAAUCAAAUCCAAUUAAAAAAUAGUCAAAUGAACAUUAUAAUAUAAUAAUAUAUUGGUAAUGAAAUUCUUUUAAUUCCAUAAUUCAUACGUAUAUAUAUUUAAAUUUUAAACUGAUUUUAUUAGUUUAAAAGUACCUUAAAACAAUUUUAAUUUAUAUAUUUUUGUACAUUUGUAAUGUGAUUAUGUUUAUAUUUUAAUUAUAUAAUAGAAUCAAACUCGUGUAAGAAAAUGAUGAAAUGCAUUAAAAAUUCAUUUAAAAAUAUUGUGACAAGUUAGCUUAUAACGUAAACAGACCAAAUAGACAUCGUGUGAUGCCGAGUGGCGAGGCUAACGGAAUGGAGUAAGGUUUAAAGUUAUAAUUCCUAAAUAGAAAGUCAAUGGCAGACAAUUACGAUAAUUAAAGUAAAUUAUUAAUCAAAAAAAAUGGAAUUUAAGCAUCUUUGAUUGAUUGGACGAGAGCGAAAUAUAAAAUGGGAAGAGAUAGAGGAACAGCAUGUGACAUGUUUGGGAGGUAGGUAACCGAAUCUUGUAUUUAAACAAAAAGAAAAUACCAUUAAAAAAACUACAACAUUUCGUUAGUUACAAGUAGAUUUAUUAUGUAAAUUAUUCUUUAAACAAUCUUAGUAUAAGUUGUUAUCGUGUUUAUUUUUCUUGAUAUAAUGUUUAAAAUUAUUCACAGUAUUUUCUCAACUCAUAAAUAGGAGGAUAAUGUACUUCAUCGCACUCGAACUCACAUUUUAUUAUAUUGAUAACAGUAUCCAUUACAAUUGAACUAAGGUUCAAUCGACUAAUUAUAUUUAUUGUUUAGUUAAAAGCAUUGUAUUGAUAAAGUAUACUUUAAAUGUAGUUAAAGAUAGGUAGUUGAAGAAAAACCAAAAGAGGGUAUAGUAGGGAAGAACAUGGGGACAUGUGGUGAUACAGUUAGGUAGAAGAAUGAGAUUCCAAUCCAGCAUUAAUGGGGGAAGAGAAAUGGGCACCCAAACAUGGCCUCACCUCCUUUUUAAGAAAAGUCGAUUUUAUUUAAUUUUAGCCAUACCUAAGCUGCUGCGUAAUUCCUCUUGUUUCCUUUGCUUUCACACCAACUAAAAUAUUUUUAUAUUUGGAUAGGUUUUACAGAUUACACGCUACCUAGUAAAUUGGGAUAUAUGGCUCAGCAUAUUGGACCUUUUUACCUUCCCUGCCCGCAUCUGAUAAGUGUCAUUGUUGGAGGCCAUAAUCGGUGGCCACAAGCUAGUAAGGUCUUUUCGGCUCAGUUUGGUAUACCGAUUGCCUUAAGGAUGGUUAUGAAUUGACCUUAGCUUAGGCCUGCCAAUAUUUAAUUUCCCACAGUGUAUUGUUGUUUGUGGUGGACCAAGAGCUUGCCAUGUACUUUGGUCUACGCAUCUACAUUUCAUUCAACCUCAUUUAUCCCUCAAGUUGUUCCUAAGGUCCAAUUAUAGCAUUAUGUGUUUAUCUUCAACAUACUAUCCUUAUGUGGCACAUAAAAAUUUUCGUUCUUUUUAUUUUCAAAUUUUCUUUAAACAAAUAAUUAUAUUAUAAAAAUUAAAAAUAAUUGAAUAACAAUAAUGACGUAAACAUCAAUUUUACGUUACAAAUUUAAAACAUUAACAAACUUAACUAUGUAAGUUAUACAUUACAAAUUCUUUUUUUUUUUCUGGAUUUAAGUUGGGCUUGAAUCGAUUGAUUAGUCUGUUUAAAAUUAGACUUUUGUUCUAGUUUAGACUAAAAACAUAAAACUCGACUCUAUUAAUUUAAUCGAUUCUCGAUUCGUGAUUCAGUUGAUCGAAUCCCUUUCUUAAAACUAACAUAUCAAUCAAUUUUUAGUUCCACCAACUGAAGCUAAACAACCAUGCUGCUGGUAAUACUAGAGGACUACUUUUUGCUCAUCCCUUCCAACCGACUAAGCUAUCAUCCAUGACGAAGGCUAACCUUUAUAAUAGUCUCUGUCUUGGGCCUUUUCCUUCAACUAGGCAUAGAAGGAUGUUGAAAAAGUUUGGAUGCUAGAUAUUUAUAUUUUUAUAUACGUAUGCAAAAAAUAGUUAACUAACCUAAAAAUUACAUAUAAUUUAUAUAUAUUAAUUUUUUUUAAAAAUUAAAAUUUAUAUUUCAUUAUACCACAAUAUUAAUAAUGAGUUACCAUAAAUUACUUUAUUAUAUUUCUACUGUAAUCUAAGUUGAAUAUUUAUUAAUAUCAAAAUAAUAAGUUGGCAUCGUACUAACAAUAACAUGUGAAAAUGAUUAUACUUUAUAUUUGAGUCAAUUAUAAUUUUUUUGUAAUUAAUUAUAACUUAAGUUUAUAUAUUUCAUGUAUUACCUAUAUCAUAAUAUUAAUUACUUAAUAACUUAUUUUUAAUAUUUUUAUUAUAAUUAUUUCAUAUUAUUAUUUAUCUACUUUACACCAUCAUGUUUAAAAUAGAUAUUUUAUUUUCUCAAAAUCACUUUUCAACCUCAAUGAUAAAUGAACCCUUCCUCUAUUAUUUUUAUGAUUUUUUUUUACUAUUUCCUUAUUUUUCAAAAAUCUAUAAAAUUAUGAAUUUUUUUUAUAAUUUUAAAAGUGAAUAAGAUUUUGGAAUUUUUAAUGAUUAUUUUUUUGCAAUUUUCAUUUAAAAUAAGUGGAGAAGUUAUAAGAUUUGAUUGACAUCGACGUCAUUUGUAAUGAAAAAUGGUGGAUAGAAUGAACAUACAACAAAAUGAGUUGAGUGAUAAUUGGUUGUAUGAAAUAAGAAAAAGAGAAAGUCAAUUCUGUCGUAUUUUAACCGUAAGGAGAAAGAGGUGAGUGGAAAGACAACAUAAAGGAUAAGAACAAAGGAAAAUAUGGAUAUGGUAAAGAAAAAGGGGUGGUGGAGGUUUGGUAGGAUUAGGAUUUGGCUGACGUUGCAUUUUGCAACAACUUUUGUCUCUUCUCCACCCCUUCUCUUUCUUUCAAUUUUUUAAUAAUCAAUAAAUCUUUAUAAAAAAUUAACACAUGAUAAAAUUUUAAAUAAAUAAAAUAUAUUGUAAAUAUAUCAAAUACUAACCCAUAUUAAAAAUUAAAAUGAUUUAUUAAUCAUAUAUAAUAAUUUAUUUGAAAAAAAAGAAGAAAAUACUCUGAAUCAAAUAGUUUAUAAAAGUAUAAUAAAUUAUUAAAAGUAAAUAUUUACAAUAAAAAUAUACAUAAUAAAUUUUAAAAACUAUUUGUGAAAUAAAAAAAAUACAUUAUCUUUAAAAUUACAUUAUUAUAAACAUUGGUCAUUGGACACAAUAAUAGCAGAAUCAUUGUAUAAAAGAAAAUUGGAUUUAAAUCCUAAAGAAAGAAGAAAAAGGCAGUAAUCUAGAAGGUCAGGCGAAAAACCCAUUCUUCUUUUCCUUCUCCUUCUUGAGACCACAGCAAGAAAGGAAAGAACCCAUUACCAGCGACCAAUGCUUUUGUUCCUUAGCCACAAUUCUAUCAUUUGCUGAUUUGAUAGAUUGUGACUGCAUCAACCACUCAGCCUUGUAGAUAACUAUCUCCUUCUUAUAUAAGAUAAUUACUAAUAUAAAACAGUAAUUUUAUGUCUUUAUUUUGAAUCAGUUUUUUUAUUUAAAAAAAUUUAAAUAUAAAUUAACAUCCUAAAAUUAAGGAUGAAAUUAUUAAUGUGACAUAAAAUUAUUAGAAAGAAAUAAUAUAUCUGUUUCAUACAAUCAUUUUUCAUUAUAUCAAUGUUAUAAAAAUCAAUCUCCCAUCGAUAUAGUAGUUAUAUUUAACAAUUUAAAACUUUAUUACUACAUCUCCAAAAAGUAUUAUUUAUUCAUCUAUAUGAAUUAAUAGCAAAUUAAAUUUAAUUGGUAAUUUAUAAUUAUUCAUAUGACUUAUGCUAAGAGAAAAGGAAUUUUAUUUUACUUUAUUUUAUUUCAUGAGGUUUUAUAUUUUGCAAAAACUUUUAUUUAUCUUUUCAAUUUUAAUUUUAAAUUUGUAUUAAUUAUUCUUUAUUUCAUGUUUAAUUAUUAUAAUACACAAAUAAUAAAUGAGUUCCGUGCGUAGAUGAAAAAUAGUAUGUUUCAGUUUGUUCAUUUGUCAAAUUAAUUAAAUAGUUAUAAAUAAGAUUUAAAAUAAAUUUAUUAUAUGAGUUCCACACAAACAAAGUUUAUUCAAUUUAUUUAUAUUCAUUUGUUAUCCCGUUUCGUUUCAAUAAAUAGUUUUAAUUAUAUUAAUUUUUUUUCAAAAAAAAUCUAACUUUUUAUUAAAUCAAAUGAGAAAUGAUUGUGUUAUAUAUAGAUUGUUUUACGUUAAUCUAUGGCUAUGGUCAUCUAAUAUUUUCAAAUUUAGAAUUAAAUAUCUACAUUUUAAUUCGACAUAAUUUAGUUCAUAUACAUAAUACUAUUAGUUAGUUAAAACAGUUGAUACCCUCAACUAAUUCAGUUAAAAUACUAAUGUCGAAUUUUUUUUAAGAAAUAUUCAUUCUAACUUAUUAUGUCGAAUUUUUUUAUGUGAUAGAAAAAAAUAUUUUUUUUAAAUUCACAUCAUCAAUUAAUCGAAAUAAUUAAGGAAGUUUAAUUAUUUAGAUUAAUUAAUAUAAAUGUAAAACUAGAGAAACCUAGUAGAGAGAUCAAAAUUGGAAUUCUACCAUUUUCGUUUAAUGACUUUUAGAAAAAAGUUAGUACACGUGUCAUUGGUAGAAGCUUUUUGGGCAUCCUUUUUUAUAUGUAGAGUAUGUAUUUUUAAACAAAUUUAUUUAUGACCUAUUUGAAACUAUGAUUUGGGUCAAAAGAUUGGUUGGAUAACAAAUAAAAAAUUGAAAUUAAAUUUAGAAAAUCUAAGUUUAAUUUUAUAAGAGUUAAAAUUUUUAUUUUAAAAUUUGGACUUUUCAAAAUCUAAGAUUCAUUAAAAAAAAUGAUAAUUUAUUUGUUCUCUCUAACCUAAAAAAAAACAAUUAAUUUUACUUAUAAUAUAUCAUCAAUGAAGCUUCAUAUAUAUAAUUUAGUAUAGUAUAAAUAUUAAAAUUUCCAUUUAUACCAUAACUUUUACAAUUUUAAUUUAUAUCUAUAUAAGUGCUCUUAUUUAGGUACAAACCAAAUUAUAUGAUUUUAUUCAGGUGUAAAUAAAAUAUAAAAGCCUUAAAUACAUAAUAGAAUGAGGUUGAGAGUUCUUUUUAAUAUUUUAACUUAAAAAAUUAUAAAAUUAUAAAAAUUAAAAGUUACAUUUUGUUGGCCAAGGUAUAAUUAAAAAAAGAUAUCUUUAAAAAAUAUAUAGAAGCAAUAAGUUCCAUCUUAAAUUCUUCAUAACAAAGUGGAAAAGCCAUUUUCUUCCUUCAAAAUCAAGGUUUUCAGAAUCGAUCUGAUGGUCGAAUAGGUUAGGCCACUGAUUCAUCAGUCUGUCCGGUUUGAUUAAAUAAAUCUUUAAAAAUUCAUAAAAAUAAAAAUAUAAAAAAAUAUUGUUCAACCGAUUUUUGUUCGGUUCAAUUGAUCAUUACCAGUUCCUGGGUCAACCGCUGUAGUGCCUUUCGUUGGAUCGGUACCCUAGCCAAUUCUUGAUUCAACUAGUCGAAUUGGUUACUCUGGUCCAAUUCAAGUAACCAUAUUCAAAAUCCUCCUAAAUAAUUAAAUUAAAAAAUAUUUUUAGGGGUGAGAAUUGGUUGAAAUCCAAACCUAAAUUUGAAUUACCCAAACAAUGAAUUUGGAUUAAUUAAAAAUCUUGAAUUUCAAAUAUUUUAAUUAAAAUAAAGAAUUUUAAAGGUAAAAUUUUGAAAUCCUAAUUCAACUAAAGGCUACCUUAUGAAUCAUUUAGGGUUUUAGAUUGUUUAAAGUUUUUUUUAAAAUUUAUUUAUUAUUUAAUAGGGGUACAAUACUAAAAUAUCUCAAGGGGUCAUCCAUUUUAAUAUUACUCUUGCCCCAAUAUGCUUAAUUUCGAAAUUAUGAUGAAAUUGAAUGCAUUACUGCAGGCUUCAUGUAUGUACAACAAUAAAAAGGUGGGGGAGCUGCUAACCAGAGAAGACACGAGCUAUUCAAACUCUGGAGGUAGUCAGCAGUGUCAAAGAACUGUGCCAAAGACAUCGGCAAGUGAAGAUUUCCCAUGUUCAUAGAGAGGCAAUAUGGUGGCACAUUACCUUGUUGGAUUGACAAAUUGUUGUAACCUUGGAAUCACUAGGUUUGAUUAACCUCCUCCUGGUGUCCAUAUAUUGCCCAGAUAGGAUGUGGAAAGAUAUGUACUAAGCGUACUUAGGCUCUUAUUAUACCUGUUGACACCAUUUUUUGGAUGAAAACGAGGUCGACUUGGGUUUUGAAAAUGAAAACUAAAAACGGGAGUCACCACCAAUCUUUUUUUGUAAGGUGUGAUCGGGUUAUCUCGAAAAGUAGUUGUUUUUAAUAAACGACUUAAUUUUAUCAAAACAACGAUUUUGGUCUACGGAAUUCAGAAAACGGGUUCGGGAGUCGGUUACGCACGAGGAAGGAUUAGCACACUCGAUGCGCCCAAAAUUGGUACCUAGCUGAUUAAUUAGUGUCUUAGUGUCGAAAAUUGAGAACUUUGAAGAAUUUUAAAAGUACGAUCCUCGUAUUAAAAUGUUAGAAAUUUUUAGGAACAUGGGCAUAUUUCACGUUAUUCGAGAAAGAAAACAUCAUAUCCAGUAAGUUAGGACACGAUGUAUCGAAUUCCCGAUACGUAAAAACUCCAAAAUUUUGUUCGUUGAAAAGAUAUUUUAAUCAUCUCAGGCUUGAAAACGUGAUCACGACCAGUAAGUUAGGACGUGUUUCUUUUUAAAAUCCCGAGAUUAUUUAAAACUUGGGUUAAAAAAAUUCAUGCAUUUAGAUUUAUUAUAAAAAUCGAAACCCAGUGAGUUAGGGUACGAUCUUUUCAAAUCUAAACACGAAAUAUAUAAUUUUUUAAAACAAAUUUUGUUAUAUCGAGUAAUAACAACAAUAUAAAAUAAAUAAAAGUCAUACUUACAAUCAUAUAAAAUAACAAUGUAUAUAAACAAAUAGAUUAAAACAUUCAUUCUCAAAUGAUAAAGAAAAUGAAAUAAAUAAAUAGUAAAUACAAUUAAAUGUAAAGAGACACAAACCAAAAUAUGUGUGCAUAUGUAUAUGUAUUUACAAAGGUUAGAGUAUAUAUAUAUAUAUAUAUAUAUAUAUAUAUAUAUAUAUAUAAUAAGAAAGGUAUACAUAAAUAUUACGAAACAUAAAAAUAUAUGUAUGUAGAUAAAAAUAUAUGUGGAUUAUAAAAAUGAAAUAAGAUAAUAUAUAAUAUAUAUAUUUUAAUACGUAAAAAGAGCAUACAUAUAUAUAUAAAAGAAACCAUAUAAAAUAUAUAAAUAUGUAUACAUAUAUUCGUAAAAAGAGGGGUUAUAUAGAUACACAUAUAAAAAGGUAUUUAUAUAUAUUAUAUAAGUCUAAAAAAGGGGAAAUAAUAAUGACAAUACUAUAUAUGUAUGUAUCGAAACUAUCAUAUAAUAAUAGUAUGAUAAAUAAAAAUAAUAAAAAUAAUAUUAUGAAUGACGAUAAUAAUAAAUGAUAAUACAUUGAAAAUAAUAAAGAAAAUGAUAAAAAUGCUAAAAGGGGACUAAAUCGAAGUAAAGUCUAAAAUAUGGGGCGAAAUCGAAAUAAAAAAACAAAAGGGACUGAAUUAUGCAGCUCGCCGAAAUAGGGGGACCAAAAUGGUAAAUACCCUGAAGCCCCAAAACGCUGCGCUUAGAUGUGGACUAAAAUGAACAAAAAAUAAAAUUUUGUGGCCAAACCGCAAAAUAAAAAGGUUCGGGGGCUGUAAUGAAUCACGCACAAAAUGUGAAGGACUGAUCGGGCGAUAUGCCCCAGCCUUGUAGCGCGCCACUUAUGCCCAGACUAAAUCGAGACAUGCAACAAAUUUGCGAGGCCAAUUUAAAUAAUGAAGAAACAAGCAGAAGGAUCAAAUUAAAACAAAACAAUAAUGAAAGGGAUUAAUGGCGCAAAUAGCCCAUUUAUCAGAAACGCGCGGAUCCCCUGGAGCGGGUCGGGUCGCGCGCGGAUCUUAAAGGCCAAAACGGCGCCGUUUUAAAUUUAAUAUAAAUACCAAAAAAAAUACUAAAAAAAACAGUUUCAUCUUCAUUUUCAACAAAAACAGAGAGAACUCUCUCAACACCCUCUCCCCAGGAACCGACCAAAGGCUCCGGCGCACCUCCGCCGUAGCUCCGCCGUAGCUCCGCCGUAGCUCCGCCGUAGACGGCAGCCGGAGGUGCAAAACAGAACCUUUCUUAGCCCCGCUUGAAGCCCACCCCCUUUAGAACUCGGAUUCAAAGCCGAAUCCUUUAAAAAACGAGUCAAAACCGAAAAGAAGAGAAGGAAUCCGUUCGCCUUCCCUCCUCUCCGGCGCGGCGCAGGUAAGGCUUCUUCUCAUCCCUUUUUUGUUUUCUAUUUGAUAUGCAAAAUAAAGAAAAUAAAUAAAAGAGGAAAAUGCGAAUCUGAUGUAAAAUAACAACCUGGAAUCCGUUUGUUUGCUUUUAUUUCUUUCUGCUAAUGUGUUCUCUUUUUUUUUUACAAAAAUCCCCCCUUUUACAUUUCACCACAUACUUGGCUUUAUAGCCGAAAGAAAAGAUGAAAAAUGCAGGAAAAUUCCCUCUUUUGCUACUGUUUUUCUAGUCUGUUUCCAUUUCUCUCUUUUUGCUACUUGUUUGCAGGUACAUGGCAAGGUCAACUUGCCAUUUCGGUGCAAGGCCGGCUGGUGGUGGCAGGCCUCGGGCGUGGUGCGCGCUGAAGGCUCACAUGGGUAGCAGCAGGGGAACGGCGCCAGAAACCCUAGGGUUUCUGGCAUUCUGAAAAUGUCAAACGUUUUGGGCCGUUUGGGCUUUUGAAUUUUGGGUUGUGGGUCUGUUAUUGUAAUUGGGUCAGUAAAUUUUUUUGGGUUGGUAGGUUCGGGCUAGGGUUUAUAUGGGCCCGGGCAAAAUAAGGUCUGUACAAUACCCAAAAAAAAUCACUUAGUAUUUAAAUAUACAUUUCUGCUAUUUUCAAUUAUAAACUUAUAGUAUAAGUACUAUUAUUUGUUAUCGUACGUAUAAAAGAUGUUCAUUUCCAAUUUUGGUUCCUAUAAUUUGAUAUUUUUAGUUUUACUUUUCAAAAUAUGUAUUUUUAGUUAUGAUACUAACCUUUUUCCCUUAUUUUCAUUAAAUUAUUUGACGUGUUUUAUUUUUUAAACAUUUUGGUGAUGUGAUAUAUACUUUGUUGUAUUCUUUUUACACCCAAAUAAAUAUUAUGCAUUUUCUCCUUUUUAAUAUUUUUUAACUGUGCAAAAAAGUUAUCAAGAAUAAAACAUAAUAAGGUGUAUUUCGUUAGAAUCAACAAAUCUGAUUUAAAACUUAAUAAAUCAGUACAUGUCCUAUCAAAUCAUCAAUAAUAAAUCAAAAAUAAAAUUAAACAUGGAAGCGUAUUUGAAUCUAUUAAUUUCUUGAAAUAUUUGAAUCUUGAGGUUUUGAUCUUCCAAAUUAGCACACAGGUAAUUUAGAGAAGGCGACUCUCUCUUUCCUAAAGAUGGGAUGUCAAAAAAGUUAAGUAUGUGUAAUUUGGAAACCAUAACACUAAUAUAUACCUUUUGCACAUUACCAUCAAUUAAAAAUUAGUUACUAGAGUAUCUACACAUAUUUGAUGCAUACUUUAUUUAAUAACUGAAGUUCAAUAAGUCUUAGCCAAAUUAGAUCAUUUUUAAUUUGAGCUAACCUUUUAUGAUAGUAAAUAUAUAAUAUGUAAUUAUUCUUAUUAUAUAUGUAAUUUAUUAUAUAUGUAAUGUCCAUACAAUCUAACAAUCUCCCACUUGGACUACAUAUAUAUAUACUAAUUACAUUAUAAUCACAUGUCAUUUUAUAAUUACAUUUUAAAACUUUAUUAUCAUAUCCAAAAGGCAUUCCAAAAAAUCUCAUCCAUUAAUUAUGUUAACAUUGAACUAAUGUGACCUUUGUUACAUAUAUCGUAACAAAAUCCAUCAUUGGUCACAAAUAUUAAUACAACCAAAUGACAUAGAUCUGUACGGAUGUAUAGCAUGGAAAUGCAUGCAAUGUGAUCUAAACAUGCCUAUUCCCAAGUGGUCCUCCUUAACCUUAGUGAGAUCAAACUUUACCAAAAUUAGAGUGUGAAUAAACUAAAUAGAUAUUAUUUCUGCAAAAAAAAUAACCUUAAAAUAUUUGUAAACUACAACAAUUAAGAAUGCGUCUAUAACAAAAAAAAAAAAUUAAAUUUACAAAAUCGCACUAAAAUUGAAUAUCCUAAAAUGACAUUACACCUAUAUAAGCAGCGUGCUCAUAAAAACCUUAGUGGUAGUCCCUUAGUAAGCGGAUCUGCAAUCAUAGAAUUUUUCCCAAUAUGCUUUAUAGACAUCUAACCACUUUGAACUCUUACUUUAAUAACAAAAAAUUAAAAUUUAUGUGCUUUUGACUUCGAUGUGCUCCUGUUGUUAUUGCAAUAAAGGGCUACAAAUUAUUGUUACAAUUUGCACCUUAGUGACAAAAAUUUUGCAUCCAUAUUCCAUUAAAAUCGAAGUCUGUCAAUUCCAAGAGAUUGGAUGAUGGAAAAAAUUAAUAGUUCUAAUACUUCUAAACCAGUUAGUACUAUAGAAUAUAUGUCAUCAGGCAAUAAAUUGUAUUUUAAAAAUAAUUGUAUAACAAAUACAAAUGAAAAUUUAGUUUUACCCUCUAGUUCUCAACCAGAUGAAGAAGAGGAUAAUAUUAGUACAAACAGUACACCAAUAGGAAUUAAAACUGUUCAAAUUACUAUAUUUCCUACUGAUCCUAGUAAUAAUUCUAGAAAAACUAGAAUGGAAGAAAUUCAAACUUCAACAAUUGAUAAAAAGUCAAAAGUUGGAAUAAAUAUCAAAAUCACAUUUCAAUUUAGAAAAUAUAAAAAAUAUUCUCUAAAUGCUUUUAUUGAUACUGGAGCUACAAUCUGUAGUUACAGAAGAAAUGCAAUUCCUGUAGAAAAAUGGGAAUUAAUGAAAAAACCUAUAAAAAUAAUAGGAAUAGACGGUAGUAAAACUAUUAUACAUUAUAAAGUAAAAAAAUUACCAAUCUACAUAAACAAUGUUAGAUUUGUGAUUCCUAAAAUUGUAUGUUUUCCUAACAUGAAAGGAGAUAUAUUAUUAGGAAAUAAUUUUAUAUGUAAAUAUUUACCUUUUACUAUAGAUAAAAAUUCUAUUUGGUUAUCGGAAAAAGAUGAUUUUAUAGAAAUUCCAAUUGAAGAAAAUAAUAAAAUUGUGUGUAAUAAAAAAUUUACACCUAUUAAAAUUAAUUAGUAGUUUAUUACUAAUAUUUGCUGAUUUUUUGAGCAGGCCUCAUGGAUAGAGGUAAACAGCCUCUAAAAGAAAUAGUCGGUGAAUGGACAGCCGUUCACAAAAAGCCCAACAAAGGGAAAGCAGAAUCAAACUCCAAAAAAGGAUUUGUAUCUGCACAGAUACCAUUUUAUCCUAACCAAGGAUAUUAUGUGUCCUGUCCAAGGGUAAACCAACCACUUGGAUCAAAUGUUUUAAAUUACCCGAUGGUAAACCAACCAAUGGGAAAUACUUUUUCAUUGACCCCAAAUACGGUGAGUCAAUUACAAUGGUCCCAAAAUCCGAAUUCAGUGUCACAAACAAGUUAUGCUGAAGUCAUUAAGGGAGCUGAGAAUUUGUUGAAUCAACAACAAAUUCAAGAAUUAAAAGAUCUUUCAAAAAUUAAAGAUUUUUGUAAUCCUGGUUUAUCACCAGAAAAUUAUGAUUUUAUAAAUGAGAUAUGGAAAACCCAUAUUUCAAAUCAAAGAGCCAAUUUCUGAAGAGCUCUUACCAAAUUUUCAUUAUUCUUAGUUGAAAAAACAACUAAAGAAAAUGAAGCUGAAGAUUUAUUAUUAAAAUCUAUUUUAUAUAGAGAAUGAGAUGAAUUCCAGUUAGAAUUCAUGGAUAUAAGGGAGAUAAACAAUCUUCUUGAUAUCAUUCAAUAUUUUAUUCAUAAAGGGAAAAACAAUUCUAUUAUGAAUAAAGUAUUUAGAAUCUGUUUAUAUAACAAAUCUAGACAGAUUUUACCGAUAGAAAUAUUCAAUAAAAUUAAUGGAAUUAUCUGUAACCAGCAGAAUCAAUUCCAAAAAGUUAUUAUAUAAACAGAAGGGCUUCCUGUUUUGUACGAUAGGAACUGAAGAGAAUGAAUAGCGAAAGUUUUUGUAUUUAUUUCCUUUGGGCUCAUAAUUUUCAAACCCAUUUAUUUAUUUCAAAAAGUGUUCUACACUUUCCAUCUAUGAUUUAACAUCAUAUUGAUCCAAUCCCCACCACAUCAACCUCUACUUUCUUUUCUUUUCAUUCUUUCUUUUUUUCUAAACAAUAUACAACGAAUAACACUUGAAUUAAUUCCAAACAAAAACAAUAAAUAUUUUUUAUUUACUUUAAUAUGGGAACUUAAAAUGAUCCAAUUUGAGAAUAUGGGUCAAAUCUACAAUUAUACGUAUAGUACAAGACUAAUGAUUGAAUUUAAUUAAAUAAAUUUGAAUAUUACUGUUUGGAAUAAGACUAAAAAAAUCAAUUCUAGAAUUAAAAAGAAACAAUUAAUCAAAUUUAGUACCGCCUCUAAAUUUACAACUUCUGUAAAAAAAUACAGAUUAAUAGUAAAAAUUAACAAAAAUUAAAUAAAGAUUUUCUUUAUAACAUCAUUUAGUUGUUUGAUUAAUAUAGUGCUAAACGAUGUUAUAAAGAAAAUCUUUGAUCAUAAAAAGAUAAAAUAGCAAGACAUAAAUUCAUAAUUAGACGUUAAGGGUAUGUUUUGGUGAGAGGUUUGAGAAGAAGAUUGUAUGAAACUGUGAUUUCAUAAUAAUUUUAUUCAUUUUUAAUAGGAAAAAUGAUAAAUUAGAUUUUUCCUUUUGAAUUUUAGUAUUUUUAGUUGGAUUUGAAUUUUGUCAAGAGAAAAAAGCUGAAAGUUAGGAGAAAAAAAUUUAAUUUGUCAUUCUUUUAUUGGAAAGUGACAGAGAUAACGUGAAAUCACUGUUUCAUACAAUCCUUAGCCAAAGUUUGGUGGAGUAAUUUUAAGCUUUAUUUGGCUUUUCAAUUUAAAAAAAAAAUAUUUUAGUUUUUAAUUUAAAUUUUCAUCUUUUCUAAUUUUAAAUUUGUGUUUUUGUCAAACCAUCUCAAAAUAGAUGGAAAUUUUAAUAUUAUCACAUGGAUAAAAACUUAAAAAUAUGAUUUUAAAAAAAAAAAGUAAAAUAUCUAUCGUUGCUCAUAAAUAUUUGGUAAAAAAAUAAACGAUGGGUAGCAGGUGAAGUCAUGAAGAAGAUGUGGCCAAUGAACUAUAUGAGGGAUCACCCCAUCUUCUCUUGCUAACAUUCUCUGCAGAGCUUGGUUUACCUGUACCACACUAAAAUUACAUGCAUUAUAGCUUCUAGGUUUUUGAGGCACUUGUCAAAAGUACCUCUAUAAGCUGCUAGGUGGUAUUCUGCACUUUUGAGCCCCCAAGAAAAUGUAGUAUAUUUUUAUAUAUCUACAACAAAUUCAAGUUAUAGCCGCGUUGUAAAGCGAAAAUGCCACCGUGGUCCAGCUUUGCGGUUUUGGGCCACCCAAUUUCGACUCGAGAUACCUUUAUUGAUCCCAUCUGAUUUGAAAUCCUCGAAAAUGUAUGUUACUUCCUACAUGAUUUAAAGAAAUGGAUUGUUUUUGUUCACUAGGCAAAAGAGCACCCUUUUUCUUUUUGACAUAUCAUGUUUUUUGGUUGAAUUCUCAUUUUUUUCAUUUUUGGGAGAGGAUUCCAACCGAGACACCCACAUUUAAUCAUUUGAUCAACAAAAAUGACAUAUCAAAGAAAAGUAUAUUUUGUAUUAAAUGUAUUUCAAAAGGCGGGUUUUACAAGGCACUUUUGCCCAUGUUGUUCGGUCAGCAAAAACAAUCCAUUUAUCCGUUUUUUUUUAAAAUAGAUAAAGUGGCAUGUGCCAUUAAUUUUGUCAAUAUUAUAUACAAGGGCAUUUUCAUAAUUUUAUUAUGAGCAUGCGAAUUUUUUAAUUGACCCGCCUUGAAACCUGAUUUCAAAGAAAAAGGUUGACCCUAUUAGAUCAAAUUAGAUUGGGCCGAAACCCGUCGGGUUUAGAAAUUUUUGUCAUCCCUAUAUUUCACAAAGAAAAUACACCAAAGGAUACGAAUGAAAUUAAAAAAGUUUGGUACACAGGUAGUAUGUAUUUUUAAUUCCACAAGUAAAUUUAAAAAAUUGUCAUGUGUCUCCCAUUUCUUUUAUAUAUAUAUAUAUAUAUUUAUAUUUAUAUUUAUUUUUUUAAAAAUAUUUUACUAUAUCUUAUAGAAUACUUGUCAUCACUUUAACCCUACUUAUAGAAUCUAAAAACUUCAUGUGUGUGUAUGUGUGUGAGGUUAUGCAGGCUUUCAAAUAUUCCAUUUGGAUAGACGCUUUUGGUGAGAUUAAAAAUAAUGUUGGUAGCGAGAUUAGUUUUUGUAGUUAUGAGAUUGGAUACUGUAGUGGUGAGACCAAAAUCAGUGGUUAAGUAUGUAUUUGGAUUCAAUUAUAGCAGCGAAUUGAAUUAUUGCAAGGAGAAAAAAAUUACCAUUAUAGACAUUGGAUUAAAAGAUUAAAAUAUAUAGAAUAAAAAAUUUAAUUUAUUUUAUUUUAUAAACUUAAACAUAAUAAAAAUUUAUUACAAUUAUAUUAUGGCAUAUAAUAAUUAAAAAUAAAUUAUAUCAAAUAAUUUUUUAUGUAUUUAUAUUAUUUGUUAAAUUAAUUAAUUAUAAAUUAAUUAGUAUUAACCUUAUAAUUAUUGCAUAUUCAUAAAACGCAUAGAAAGUUAGAGUGCGCGUCAGUUGUCGCUUGGAGGUAAAGAAGUUUUUAUAAAAUCAAUUUUACAAGCUAUCUUAGUUGAUACAAUGCAAUGUUUUUUAUUGCCUGUUACAGUAUGUCAUGAAUUGGAAAGUAUUAUUAGUAAAUUCUGGUGGAGAAAUUCUAAAACAAGGAAGGGAAUCCAUUGGAGUGAUUGGAGGGGGAUGUGCAAGCCAAAGGCACAAGGAGGAUUGGGGUUUAGGGAUUUGAAAAAGUUCAACCUAAUGUUGCUUGCAAAUCAGGGCUGGAGAUUAAUUAAGAAACUAGAUUGUUUGUUUGCUCGUGUCAUGAAAGCAAAGUACUAUCCAAAAAAUAACUUUAUGAGUGCUAGUUUAGGUUCUCACCCUUCAUAUGCCUAAAUAGCAUUUGGGGUGCUAGAACUAGGCAUGGGCUGGAGAGUUGGAAAUGACAGAUCAAUAAAUAUUUGGAACGAUGCUUGGUUACCAGGGCCUAGACAUGGAAAAGUAACAGUUCAGAAUAUUGAUAUUAAUUAUACAACAAUAGCAUAUUUUAUUAUUAUAGAGUUGGCUACUUGGAAUUUGGAGGCCUUGAGGAAGCUUUUUGUUAAAGAGAAAGUAAACAUAAUAUUGACUAUCCCAGUUGUUGAAGUUGAUCUUAGAGAUAAGAGGGUGUGGAGGGGUGAAAAUGCAAGUGUGCAUUCAACAAAAAGUGGAUAUAAGUGGCUACUAAAUGGGGAUGCGACAAGAUCACAUAGGGAAGUGACACAACAAUCUACACUAUUACAGAAUUUCUACAAAAAAUUAUGGAGAUUACAAAUUGCGAGCAAAAUUAAAAUUACAAUAUGGAAACUGGCUAAUAAUUACAUUCCUACGUUUGGCAAUUUAUAGUUGAGGAAGUUGUUGGUGAUGAAUUUUUGUCCUCUCUAUCGUACAAUGGAAGAAUCAGUGAGCCACAUUUUUCGAGAUUGCACGUUCAUCAAAAGUGUCCUGCAAUGGGUGGGGAUCGAUGUCUCACCCAAUAUUCAAGGACAAAGUUGGAAAACGUGGUUAGCAAAUCUGUCUGUUAGUAUAAGAGAGGAUCAAUGCAAAUGGUUAGCCAUUGUUUUUUGGGCAAUUUGGCACCACAGAAACAAGGUUUAUCAUCAAGGUGAAAGAUAGAGUAUAGUUGUAACACCCCUAACCCGUAUCCGUCGACAGAAUAGGGUUACGAAGCCUUACUGAAAUUUACAAAUCAAAUAUAGAUAUUUCAUAACAUUUAACAUUCAUAUCAGGAAUCAUUCAUAAUGAAUCAUAUCCCUUAAAUUAUCCCACGAGGCCCAAAAUAUGCAUCAGAAAUAAGUAGGGACUAAAUCGAGUAUUCGAAAAAAUUUUUGCGAAAUUUUAAAAUUUUUCCUAAGUGCAGGGUACACACACUCGUGUGUUUCACACGGCCAAGAGACACGCUCGUGUGGGCAUUCGAAAUAGGGUACAUGGUCAUGUCUCAGCUCGCGUCCAUACCCGUGUAACUCUCUGACUUAGGUCACACGGUCAAGUCACAGACCUAUGUGUUUUGCCAUGUGUAGGUGCAAAGGUCACACGGCCAAGCCACACACUCGUGUGCCAGGCCGUUGAAAAAUCUUAAGCAUUUUGUUUUGAAUUUUUAAAAUGCAGGGGACACACGGUCGAGACACACCCAUGUGCUAGGCCGUGUGUCACACACGGCUGAGACACAUGCCGGUGUCUCUGCCCGUGUGGAUAAAAUAAGGCCAUUUUCAAGCCAUAUUUCUCAUCCAUUUGGUCUUCUACCUACAUUAACAUUUUAACAUAUUCAAAAACCAAUCCAAAACAUUUAAACUAAACUAAAACCAAGUCAUAAAUAUGUCAUAUACCUCAUUUCUCAACAUUCCAAUUUACCAUAUUUAUCAAAACAUCUAUUUGCUUACUUUUACCAACUAUACUAUCUCAUCUCAUACAUCAAUAUGCCUAUAACUUAUCCACCAUUCAACCGCAUCAAACACAACAAACAUGAAGAAGCCACACAUAUUCAUACAUAACAUAAGUAUGUCCUACUUAAGCCAUUCCAAUGGCCAUUUAUAACCAAAAUACAUAUUUGUCAUCAAUGGCCCAAUUGAACCUAUACAUGUCAUUAUACCAAAAAUUUAGUUUGUUACAUAUACCAAAAUAAGUCGAAGGAUAGUGUGAUGAUGCUCCGACCAGCUUCCAACCACUCCGAGCUUUUGAUUUACUAUAAAACAGGAAAAAUAAAAUUGGGUAAGCAUAUUAUACUUAGUAAGUUCGUAUAACGAGAAAUUAACUUACCAUUCAUUUAUAUUUAAAGUAAGUAAGCAAAAUUCAUCCAAAGAAAUUUGGCAAUUUUCAUAAAUAUAUAUAACCUAAAAAAACAUGUUAGUCAUGUACUUCAUGUGAAUAUCAAGAAAUAAGGAUGAGCUCAUCAUGUAAAAAUUUUCAUAAACAUAUAUUUUCCACAUCAUAUACUUAUAUAACAUAUACAUUUUUAUAAUAAUUCAUCUCAAGGUCAGAUUAUUCCAUGUUGAAACUUUACCCGUUGAAUUUAUUUGAAAUAUCGAUGGAUACACAGGUAGUACACUCGAAGUGUACAAAACUGUAAUCCACCAAUUCAUAUUCAGGAAUGCUCAUACGAGCACAUAAACGAAAUGCUCUCUCUUGAGCCAUAUAACAGGAAGCUUAUGUGAGCCAUGUAAUAGGAAGCUUAUCCAGGCUAUAUAACGAGAAGCUCAUAAGAGCCAUAAUCGGGAAGCUCAUGCGAGCCAAUAAUGGGUAACUCUGAAGAGCCAUUAACGGGAAGCUCCAGAUAACCAUAUGUAACACCCCUUAACCGUAUCCAACACCGGAAUAGGUACGAGGCAUUACCAAAACACAUACACUUGUAAACGUAUUUAACCGAGUUAUAAAAUUUCAUCAAAAUUAAAACUUUCAAAAUAAUUAACAUGUUUCUAUAACUUUUCACAAUAUAUCCUCAAAAUAUUAUAAUCAUAAUAAUUAGGGCCUGCGAGACCCGAUACAUACUCAUGCAAUUUAAUGCUUCAUUUCCAUUUCAUUCAAUUCGCAAUUUCUCAUGCUCAUAAUUUAAAUCAUAUCACUAGCAAUUUCCAUUUAAUUCACGUACAAUUCAAUGACAUCAAAUUCAAAACUAAUACGUAUUUACCAUUUAACUCAAUGUUUAUUGAUUAUACCAUUCAAUAACACAUUUAUGAAAUUCUCAAUUUAGCAAUGAAAAUAUCGCUUUAGUUUGAAUAACAACAUCGUCCUGAUAUAAAUACACUACCACUUAUCCAUUUACUUUAAUUCUUUCGGGCCCAUUUGUCACUUACCAUCCUUAAUCAAAUUAGGGAACGGUCACGGAAAAUUGAGUACUUCACUUUCACUUUGCCAUAGUAUAACUNNNNNNNNNNNNNNNNNNNNNNNNNNNNNNNNNNNNNNNNNNNNNNNNNNNNNNNNNNNNNNNNNNNNNNNNNNNNNNNNNNNNNNNNNNNNNNNNNNNNNNNNNNNNNNNNNNNNNNNNNNNNNNNNNNNNNNNNNNNNNNNNNNNNNNNNNNNNNNNNNNNNNNNNNNNNNNNNNNNNNNNNNNNNNNNNNNNNNNNNNNNNAUAGCCGAAGCUAUCACUUAUCACUUUUCACUUGUCACUUGAUCAGAUAAGUGUAGCCGAAGCUAUCACUUAUCACUUUCCACUUGUCACUUGAUCAGAUAAGUGUAGCUGAAGCUAUCACUCAUCACUUUGUCACUUGAUCAGAAGUACUCAAAUCCGGCGUUCCGCUCAAUUUGAUCAUUUAUUCAUAUUUCAGGCUUACCAACAUGUGUUAAUUCAUAAACCAUUCAUGGUAUUAUUUCAUGCCAAAUCAUAUACUGAAUAUACCAUACACACAUACUAUGAAACUUUAUUUUCACACAUGAGCUUAAACCAUGACCAAUAAUGCACAAAAAUAAGCAUCAUUCAUAUUUCAUCGUUUAUGAGUUAUAAUCAAACAUAUGACCAUUUAUACACGAAUCAUUCAUAUAUUUCCCAAUUUUCCUCCUCCUCCUCUCCAUUCCACAUCCUUAAUGUGUAUAACACACUUAAACAACAUUAACCAUAAUUUCAAUAUACACUAACAUGUAUAUUCAAAGCUGUUUAUCCGAGUCAGAGUCACUAAAUUAUUUUUAUCCAGAGCUACAGAGCUCCAAAUUAAGAUCCGUUAAUUUUACCUGAAACUAGACUCACAUAUCUUCAUACCAUAAAAUUUUCAUAAUUUUUGGUUCAGCCAAAUAGUACAGUUUAUUCUUUAAAGUUUCCCCUGUUUCGCUGUCUGACAGUUCCGACCACUCUUCACUAAAAAUUAAUUAUCUCAUUGUACAGAAUUCGGAUGAUGUUUUAGCUUGUUUCUUCUAAAAAUAGACUCAUUAAGGAUUCUAACCAUAUAAACUAUAACUCAUAAUAAUUUUUUUACAAUUUUUAAUGAUUUUCCAAAGUCAGAACAGGGGAACCCGAAUUCAUUCUGACCUUGUCUCACAAAAUCUAUUAUAUCUCAUGAUUUACAAUUCCAUUGCUCACAUCAUUUCUUUUAUAAGAAACUAGACUCAAUAAGCUUUAGUUUCAUAUUUUAUUCAUCCUCUAAUUCAAUCUCUACAAUUUUUGGUGAUUUUUCAAAGUUACACUACUGCUGCUGUCCAAAACUGCUUUAGUGCAAAAUGUUGAUUUCCAUUUUGCCCCAAAUUUCACAGUUUAUACAAUUCGGUCCUUUCUCAAUUAACCCCUCAAUUAAUCUAAUUUUCUCAAUUAGUACUUUACUAGACAUUAUAAGUUGUUACACAACUAUUGAAAUUCAGAAUUUCCACAUAUAACUCUAUCUUCAAACUCUUUUACUAUUAGGUCCCAAACAUUCACUUUCUAUUCAAUUCUUUCAAUAAAAUCAGCAUAUGAACAAUUUAAAGCUCUAAUUUCAUGCUAAAUCAUCAUAUACUUCCAGCACAUAUUCAUAUCAACUUUCAACUUCUUUCAUAAAAUCAAAAACUAAUGAAUUUAACAAGUGGGCCUAGUUGUAAAAGUCAUAAAAAUACAAAAAUUUCAAGAAAUAGUCAAGAAUUGAACUUACUUGUAAUAAAAAUAUGAAGAACCAGCUUGAAGAAGCCCUUCCAUGGUGUUUUAGCUGAUGAGAAUUCAGAAAAAUGAAGGGAAAUCUAGAUAAUUCCACUUGGGUCCUAACUUUAUUAAGCAAAUUUUGCAAUUUUCCAAUUUUGCCCUUAAUUCUCCUUACUUUCUUGCUGAUUUCAUGCCUCUGCCGUCCAGCCCAAAUAGACCUUGGGUCUAUUUGUCUUUUAAGCCCUCUUCCUUUUAUCAUUUAAGCUAUUUAAUCAUUUCCCAAAAUUUUGCAUUUGUUAUAAUUUAGUCCUUUUUGUUCAAUUAAUUAUCGGAACUUUAAAAUUUCUUAACGAAACUUUAAUACUAACUUUUUAACACUCCAUAAAUAUUUAUAAAAAUAUUUAUGGCUCAGUUUAAAAUCCCCGAGGUCUUGAUACCUCAUUUCGAUUCUAAUUAUUUUAAUAUUUAUUUCUAGUGCACUAUUCACUAUUUCAAAAAUUUUCCUAACUUCAUAUUUAACUUAUACUUACUAAAUUAAUAAUAUUUUCUACCCAUUUGUCGAAUUUAGUGAUCUCGAAUCACCGUUCCGACACCUCUGAAAAUUCAAGCCAUUACAUUUUUUUUCGUCGGAUUUGUGGUCCCGAAACCACUGUUCCGACUAAGCCUAAAAUCGGGCUAUUACACCAUAUAUCGAAAAGUUCAAGCGAGCCAAUAUCGGGAAGCUUAGGAGAGCCAUUAACGGGAAGCUUACAAAGAGCCUUUAAUUAGGAAGCUCCAAAUAGCCAUAUAACAGGGCGCUCAUAAGAGCUGCAGUGUGCCCACAACACAUGCAGGAUCACAACUGAUUGGGAUGCUCCGAAGAGCUAUUAACGGGAAGUUCACAAGAACCAUAUAACGGGAAGCUCGAGAGGGCUAAUAAUGGGACUUUCUUUCAAGUUCUGGUGUGUCCGCAACAUAUGCAGGAUCACAAUCAAUACGGGAAAUCUUGUAUCCAUCGAAUUUCAUUUAUUCAAUCGGAACUUGAUGUUUGUUAGACAUUGUCGGAUAUAAUAUUAAUUUCAUAUUCAUAGCAAAAAUACAAUUACAUACACAACAUUCAAUCCAAGCAUAUAAAUAUACACAAUUUAGUUACACAAACAUACUUUGACAAGUGUUCGUGUACACAAAAUCUACUAAUCCGACACUUUUUCUUUUCCACGACCUAACUUCGUUUUUGAGUUAACCGGAUCUAUACGAGUGAAUUUAACGUCAAUUUAAUACAAUUCAUAUUCAAUUCAAUUAAAUUCACAUCUUAGGAAAAAUUACCAUUUUACCCCUUUGCUUUUAAUUAAUUUUAAUUUCGUCCCUAGGCUCAGAAAAUGAAAUUCAUGCAAUUUAAUCAUUAUUCUAGGCCUGGCCAAUUUUUACAUGUAACAUUUUCAGCCCAUUUAAUUCAUAAAAUUUAGAAAUUUUUUCAUAAAUUUUACAUAUUUACAAUGUAGUCCCUAAAUCACAAUUUCAUCAAAAUUCACUUUUCAAAAGUUAUUUAUCUAUUAACAACCUUUCAUUUUCUACCAUAAAUUUCAUAAUUCAUGCAUAUUCAUCCAUGGAAAACCCUAGUACUUUGAUAAUUUUACAAAUUAAUCCCCGAGAUAGCUAAAUUAAGAUUUUACGAUCUCAGAAAUAUAAAAAUUACUAAAAACGGGACAAGAAUUCAUACCUAAUUGAGUCAAAACAACUUCCUUGAACUCAACACCCAAAAAAUAGGGUUUCCAUGUCUUUUAAUUGGGACAGAUGAUAUAAAAUGAUGAUAUUAGAUAUUUAUUUUAUUUAUCAUCUUUUAUUUAUUUACUUUCCAAUUUAGUCAUUUUCUUUUCUUAAAUUUCCAUAGAUGAAUCAUCAUACUUAUAUACUAACUCCUCUUAAUGGUCUAUUUACCAUAUAAGGACCUCAAAUUUUGAAUUCCAUAGCUAUUUGAUCCCUUUAGCUACUAGAAUUCAACUUUGGCAUUUUAUGCAAUUUGGUCCUUUCCAUCUAAUUGAACAUGAAAUCAGUAAAAUUUUCUUAACAAAAUUUUUAUACGAUGUUCUUAUCAUACGGUAAACCAUAAAAUAAUCUUAAAAUAAUUUUUUUUACGGACUCGAGUUUGUGGUCCCGAAACCAUUGUUCCAGUUUCAUUGAAAACAUGCUGUUACAAUAGUUGGCCUGGUCACAUUUAUUAAAACAUAUUACACAGAGAGUUUUCACACAGAACUAAUGAAAACAACAAGCAUAGGUCAAAAUGACAGUACACGGACUCCACCAAGGUUAUAUGAAGUUAAAUGUAAUCUUGACGCGAUUUUUGACAAGUGCGUACUUAGUUCAAUGACUGGAAUAAUUUUUAGAGAUAACGAGGGGUAUAUCCUGGCAUCUUGUACUUACGCGAACAAUUAUGUGGCCAACGCAACUACCGCUGAGGCGAGAGCCUGCUUACAAUCGAUGGCAGUGGCUGAACAACUAGGGUUCCAAAGAUUGGUGGUGAAGUUGAAAGUUAUUAAAAAAGCUCGGUCAAUAGGGGAGGAUAGAUCGAGCAUAGAUGUGAUUGUAAAAUAAGUAAAAGAAAGGGCACAAAGAUUUAAACGAUUUACCUAUUGUUUUGUGGGUCGAUCGGUGAACCAUGCAGCCCAUACGAUGGCUGAUGAGGGAAAAUAAUGGUCAUCGCUGAGGAUUUGGGUUGAGGAGGUGUCUUCAAUAGUAGUAGUGGCGGCUGAGGAAGACAGAAAGUCUUGAAGAUGAGGAGGAAAUGGGUUUUAAUGACUCCAACGGUUUCAGUUUCUUCAAAGUUCCAUCGUGAAUACUAAGGGUAAUGAAUCAUUGGGGAUGGACGAUGGCAGUAGAGAAGCUAUUGAGGGAUGACAGAGAGAUUGAACUAUUUUUUUCUUUUAAAUUUGUGUUUUGGUUUUCUAUUUUGCUUUAUUUUUUUCUAGUGGAUUUUUUGGGGGUUAUUGAAUGACUGUUGAUUUUGCUUUAAUUGUCAGUUAAAGUCUUUUUAGGUUUUCGGUAAGAUUUUACUUUUCUUUAAUUAGGGGACAGUCACAAUCUAUUUUGGUUAUAGCAUUCGUGUGACACGUGUAACGCAUGCAGUCAUGCAAUUAUUUUACUUGGUAAUGGCAUCCUUUCAUUUUUCAGUCAAAAAAAGUGAUGGUUAAAAUGGUACAAGAACUUUUUGAGUGGGAAUGUUUUUCUUUUCCUUUUGGAGCUUUAAUCUUCGGUUGAAAAUUGAGGUGAGAGUGUGGUGAGAUGUUGCAAAUGCAUCUCACCAUUAAUGAUCCAAAUAAAAAAAAAAAGAGUAAAAAAACAUAUGCUCAUCAUCUUCACUAAUGAUAAUUAACAAUUCAAAGAAGUACUAAGUGUAUCAUCAAGUUUGCUUUUUUCUUUUUCAAUUAGUAAAAAGUAUUUUCUUUGAUUUUUUCAACAACUUUUGAUUAUUUUCUUUAAGCAUGAAAUUCUCCUCAACUACCUUUAUGUUAAUGUUACAUUGUUGAUCCCACUUGUCAAGCAUGUUUUUGCAAUUUUUUUCUUAUGUGCUCAUCAUUUUCAUCAUUCUCACUCGACAAGUAUUCAUCUCUUCAAGUCAUAUUAGAAAACUUAAUUUUCAUAGUGUUUGUACACUCAACUUGUAUGUUCCCAAAUCCCUCACAGUAGUAACAUUGAAUACCUUUCUUCUAUUCUCUAAACUCAUCAUCUAUGGCAAUGGAUUUCUCUAUAACUUUUAUUGGCAACACAUCCUCUUUCACUACUCCUAUUCCUUCUAAUAAAUUUCUUGAUUGCUUGAUUGAAAUUUUUGGUAAGAAGGGCUAGUUGCUCUAGAAAGUUCUCAACAGUAAUUUCAGCAUCAAUUUAAAGUAAAGAUACAAUGUUUGAAGUUAGGUUUUUUCUCUAAGUUGACUUUAUCCUUUCUGAUUUCCUCCAAAUUACCUUUGAAGGUUAGAGGUGAUCUAAUCAACUAAUCGGUUCUCAUAGAGUUGUUGUCUUUUGCCUCCUCAAUGAUUGCCAUUUUGAUGGAAAUUCUUUCUAGAAGAGGUCUAAGAUCCUUGAGCGCACUUUGCAUUUGAAUAUUUCACACUAAAUGUAAAAACUGAAAUAGUGAUAUUAUAUAGCUUAGCAUAAAAAAAAGAGAGUAUUAUCCUCAUAAAUUCUUACAUUUCGAACAUAGUAGUUAACAUUUAGAUAUUUGACUACUCCCUAUUGUCCAACCUUCAUAAGAAGAAACACACUUGGAAAUACGCCUGAACUUCAUGAGGACCUAUCACAUUAAAGAUUACAUUUAAGGCCUUUGAGUUGUAGCUAGUUGUUCUGUCUUCUUCAAGUGAACAUAUUCUUUCAGGCUUAGGAGAGCAAACUCUAUUGGCUUUAGUAAUGAAGAGUUUCUUGUUAGAAAAUAAUUUAGAAAUUAUGUCAGAUUUGCACACAACAAUUUUUAAAAAAAAUCUAAAACAAACUUUUGUUGUGAAAUCUAAAAUAAUAAAUCUGAUCAAAUAAUCACUUGUGUAUUGAGGCCUUUAAGAGAUGUCCUUGUUGUAAUACUCCUUUGUGAAGGUACUCUAACUUUUUGAUCAACCCAAAGUAAAAUUUGAACUCUUUAGACUUUCAACAAAUUGAUAUUUUCUACUAUUCUCAAACUUACGUUUGCUUAGAGAGUAAACUCUAACUUAAAUAACUAAAUACAUCACAAAAUCGAGACUUUCCCUUCAAAAAGCCCUUUACGCAAACCUUUAUAAUUGAAUCCAAAAAUUUCAACUCUCUAAAUACAAAUUAUAAUUACUCCUAAUCUAAAAUCAAAAAAGAAUUUAUUUGAGUAUAAGAAAAAUUACUCAAAUAAAAUACUCCUUAAUUUUUGUGGAGUUUUCCUUUAAUAGUUGAUAGUUAAAUUUUAACUAAACAUGUGUAUUUAUAAAAAGAAUUUAUAUAAGAACUUAAUUUCCUUUCAAAGUUCUAAAUUAAUUUAGGGGUGAGCAAAACUCGAUUUGAUUUAAUUUUUUUUUGAAUUCUAAGUUAAUCAAAUCGAGUUAUUCAAGCAACUCGAAUUACUUCGAGUUUGAAUCGAGUUGAAUUUUAUAGUUUGAAUAACUUGAAUAAUUCAGUUAUUCAAAUAACAUAUUGGUUUAUUGUAACCUUCCUAACUUGGUCUGGACGUUAUGACCAGAUUGAGAAGGCUACAUUAGCCACCAGAAUGGCUAAGAAGACUAACUAACCUUUAAAAAAAAAAAACUACCCCGUCUAAAUUUAAGAAAAUCGUGGUUUUUACUUUGAGUUGGGUUAAAACCUUCAAGUCAUCUAUACUUUAGGAUUCAUUUUAUUGUUAAUAGUGAUGUUUUAGUAAAACCAUUGCGUAAUGAAUUUAUUUUGUAAAACUCAUGGUAAUAUAAUGCAGUGGAAAAUCAACAAUUAUGUUAGAUUUUACUUAAACAAAAUAACAUGCAAUUACCGAUUAUUAAAUUCAAACUACUACUCGAAUGAAUAAUACAUGCAUAAAAAUCCCAAACCAAAAACUACCAAGCCACAAUCCAAAUAACAAAAUUACAACCCUAACCAGUGAAAAACUUUAUUGGAAAUUAUUUUAAAAAUAAAGUAGUUUGAAGCCAGAAGGUUCGUCUACAUGUUGGGUCCAAUCCUAAUCUCGAGCAUUACUUGAGAAGUUUAAAACUAGAGAGGUAAGCUUAAGGAAGCUCAGUGUGAGUCAAAAUUACAGAACAUCAUAUAAUCAUUCAUAUCGAAUAUAACAGUCAACGUUACCCAUCUAUACCGUUGCAUAGCAAUAUUAAAUUAGUGUAUGAGCAUGUUAUGUUGCACAAUGCAAAGGAAAAGGUUCCUACCUAACCAUUUGCCACACACCAUGAGUUCUCCAAAACUCGUCUACCGAACUCCAAACAGUGCUAGACGAAACUCGAUGUGGAUAAACCACAAAUAAUAGUAAAGUAAGUAAACUGCCGGUAAAAAUGCAGUCAAGUUGCCAGUAAUGUGGACUAGCCACCAGUAUUGCAAACAAGAUGCUAGUAAUGCGAUUAAAUUGCCCAAUCUCCUCGGUACCCCGAUGCGGUGCACUAAGAACAAUAUUGCAGACUUUAAAUACCAUUAGUACUCCACGGAACUCCUUUGUCAACCAUAAAAACCUAUCCCAUGCAAAUGCAAUAUGUCAUGCAAUCAGUAAACACAUCAUGUUUCCAAUAAUAAUUUCGGUACAAUGAAAUGCUUAACAUGCAUAUCAAUAAACAAUAUUGGUGUAUGCCUUGCUUACCUUUCAUUUAAUAGUAACAAUGGCAUGCGCACAUGCUUUCCAUAUAGUCAAUAUCACAUAUGGUAUGUAAUUUAAAUACAUAUAAGCUCAAUGUCAAUCAUGGCAUACUACAUACAUAUCAAUCAAUGGUUCAAAAAUUCAAUAUGUUAUACAUGAAUUCAACACACAAUUUUCACCACAAAUUAUAACACAAAAUAAUACAUUACAUACAACUCGUACACAAUUCAAUCAGUCCCAACAAAGCCUUCUACAAUUGGGCUUCCUAUUUAAAUAUGUAUUGAUGGUUGUCGAGGCCACCAAAUAUAAAUUUCUAUGCUCUAACUAAACUAAACAAUAGUUUAGAGAAGUAAGGUCAAUCCCACAGGGAUUAGGAUUCCUAAUUUCAUUUUUUACGUAACCAGAUUCUGUGGUCGUGGCAAUUGUCGUGCCCACGACUUGUAACAUGUUAUGCUGAAAAAUAAAACAGACAUGUUUUAGUUGAUUAGGGUUUAAAAUAUGGGAAUAAAUAGAACAAAAUAAUAGUUGAAUUAUAAAUUCAAAAUAAAAUUAAAUAAUUGAAAUUAAAUUACAUAAUCAAAUAUGUGAAUUUUUAGCCUUAGACUUGAUAUAUUCUAGACUCGAUUUGAUCCUUGAAAGUGAAUUUUUCUUUUCAAACGGUAAGUUGGUUAUAGUGAUUAAAAACUCAUUAACCACCAACUCUUCCUUGUGUAGUUGAUUUCAGGAUGUCCUACAAACUAACCAUUACUGAUUAGGUCGUUUAAAUCUGAUCAUUAUGUCCCUUGACGAAAUCCAACUGGCAUUUUCCCACCUGGAAAUGCCAAUUUGUUUGUGGGAACCCAAAUGCGGCAGACAACUCUAAUCUAAUCACGCUUUUUGAGUUGAAACUGAAUUAACUUUAAGGGACGAUUGUAACUAUCCCAUAUUCUAGAGAGAUAAUGAAUAUCGUGUUGUAAGGUUUUAGUACGGGUUCAUUUCUCACAAUUCUUGACAAGAAUAAUAACUGACCUAAAGUUAAAUGUAGAUUAGUUGAGCAUGAAAUUAAUCAUACUUAAUUGGAUUAUGAGAGUGGACUUCAAUGAAAGAUAAUAUGUAAAGAAGGGAGAUGACUAAAAGAGCAAUUGCACCAAAGUAUAAAAAGCGGAAAGAAAUGGUAGAAUGCUUGACGCAAGAAUAUGCUAAUCGUCUUUUUAAAUUCAAGUGUGUUCUAAUGCCAAAAUUGCAAGCCUUUAUGUACACCCCUCAAAGAGCCAAUUUUACAUGAUUUAUGCCUAAAAUUAUGCUUAACAACCAACCGCUAAAUCAGAAUUUUCUAAAUAUAAAAUUUGUCUAAGUCAAAAAGUCUAAUAUUUUUAUCAGCCCAAAAAUAAUUCAAAAAAUUUCAAUUCAACCCCCAACUUGCUUUUUGUUCCAAUUUAUCCCGAUUUUUGCUUGUUUUUGAACUUUGACACUCCAAUUGCAUCCUUGAUAAAAUUUAAGCAAGAAAACACAAGCUUAGUAGUAUUCUAUUAAAAAAUUGACCAAAAUUAGGUACAUUAAACAGACAAAAUUAGCUUGCUAUUAGUACCUUACUUGACACUCCAUUUAUUAGUAAUUAGGCUAUUUGGUCAUGCCAAAACCAUUAAGGAUAACUACCAUUUUAAAACAUAUUUUAAAAUUUUAAGACUAACUUAGCAAAAAGAAAGACCCACACCUUAAUUCGCAAUCCACAGCACAAACCCAAAAAUUCGCAACUCCAAAAUAUAGAUCUAGACUAUUAAUUUGCCAUAAUUUGAUAUGUCAAAUUAGCCUUCCCCGUACACCUAAUAAGCUUGUUUCCAAGCAAAUUAGUAUCUUUUUCGUGGUUUUAGGAUUUCAACUUAAUAAGUGGAAAUAUCUCAUUUUACUAGUUUUUGAGACCUAAAAUUGGCCAAUUGUGCCAUUGGAGGCCCUAAGAUUCUUUUGAGUGUUAUAGGUGCUUAUCGAAGUCCCAAAACUAUGCAAAACUAUCACCAAAGGAAGGGGUAUUGUGACAUCGAAGCACGAGAGUCACGAUACCCACUCAAAGACCUUGAUGAAGACCACCUACAGUGGUAUCACGAUAUCCACUUGCCUUGGAAGGCCCUAUUUGAAGACUGUCGACGGUGUUGUGACAUCCACACUUGGGUAUAGCAAUACCCUUUCGUGAGGGGACAAAAAAUCACGCAAAGGGUAGUCUUUGUCCAAUUGAAGCACCAAUAAUUGAAGGCUCGUUCUAGGGCAUUUUGAGCACAAGAAUUGGGUCAGAAUAGCUGCUAUAUUAGCCAAAAUUUGGUUGAAAGAGAAUAGAGCCCCAAUAAAGCCACAUUAGGGUAGUUUUAACUUAGGUUUCUCUUUAGUUUUCUUUGUAGUUUUCUUUUUUUUUUCCUAAGGUUUUUAGUUUUAUCUUCUUCCUAAGUUUAGAUUUAGUUUUUCCUUUACUUUCUUGUUGUUCGUCUUGUUCUUGUAGUAGUUAAGUUAGGUAACAUUGUUGGUAGGGUUUAUUUAUAUCUUCUUCCUAAGUUUAGAUUUAGUUUUUCCUUUACUUUCUUGAUAUUGCUUAAAAUAUUUCUGAAUUAACUCAAUUAAAACUAGAUUGAAUAUCACUUUUUCACUGUUAGGUUAUAAUUAAAAUUUGAGAAAUAAAUAUGUAAGUUAGAAAUUAACUGAGUUUUAAAAAGAUAAUCACCGUUACAAGAAAAAUGUUAAAUUUAAUCAGAUUAGCUAACUCAUGAGUUUUUUUCUUUCUAAAAAUAGGCUACUUUUUCUUCUUAAAUAAACAAAUGUUUUAAAAUGACUAUUUUACAGACUCUGAUAGCUUACUGGACCAUUUUGGUGGCUAAUGUAAGCUUUCGAUUUCAGGCCUAGCGUCUAGGUUGGGUUGGGAGGUUACAGAAAAUCUCUUGCCCCCAAAGCUUACCCCAUCCCUACCCCAUUUAACAAAAUCAUAUCAUAAUUAAGAUUCAUAGGUUGCUUUAGAUAUAACUUUUUUUAACAUAUAAAUUUCUAUUUAGUACAUAUUUAUAUAAAAAAAAGUAAAUAUGAAAACUUAGUUCAUGAUAAAGUUAAUUGUUUGGUUUAAUAUUGUAGACUUAAUUUAAGAAGUAAAUUUUUUGUCAAGAUUUAACUCACUAACUAAACUGGAGUGUUGUUAAAAUCGGAUCAGAUUGAUUGAAUCGAAAAUUAGUUGAUAUAUCAAUUCGAACAAAGGGAUUGAACUAGCUUCUGAGCAAAUUGCUCGAGCUUGAUAAAGAAUUGGAAAUUGGGAUAGAUUGUCAAUGAUGGAAUUGAUCAGUGGUAGAUCUUGAGACUAAGUUUUGCGGGAACCUAAUUAAAAUUUUCAAAAUCUCUAAGAGUUUAAUGAGAAUUCUUUUAAAAAAAUUUUGGGGGGACUAAUUUAAAUUUUUUGUCAGAUUAAUGAGAAUUUCAAAAAACUUUAAGAGAACUUAAUUAAAAUUUUCAAAAAGAAAAAUAGGUAUAAUGAGAAGUUUUAAAAAUUUUGGUGGGACUAAUUAAAAUUUUCUAAAAGUUUUGAGGGAGAAAUGUAAUAUUUUCAAUAAUUUAGGCCUUAAUUAUUUUUUAAUGGAGAAAUGAAAUUUUUUCAAAAUUUUGGGGGGCCAAGGUUGCCCUGUCCAUCAUUAUGAUCCGCAUCUGGAACCAAUUAAAUUAGUUUAAUUUUUAAAUAAUUUUUAAUUAAUUAAUUAUUUAUGAUUGAAUUGACUUUGGGACCUCUUUGCUUGGAUUGGCAUAUUAACGAAUUCUUGAUCCAAUCCGACUAGUUAAUACGAUCAAGUUACAAAAACAUUAUAAUUUAUUGAGUUGAAUUUUUUAAAAAAAAAACUACCUCUUAAAGUAAAUCUACAGUAUUAAACCAAAUAAUUAGCUAGUUUGUUUAAGUUCCAAAAACAUUAUAAUUUAUUGAGUUGAAUUUUAACAGAAAAAAAAUUGACUCUUAAAUUAAAUCUACAAUAUUAAUUUUAUCAAGAUUAAGUUUUUAUAUUUAUUUUUGAAUUAGUAUCUAGUACACAAUCCACAAGUAAUCUUCAAAAAUAGACAUAUAUUUAUUUUUAAAAUAUUUAUUUAUUUUUAAUAUUUUAUUAUUCCCUUAAUCUGAAUUUGUUAUUUUUAUUAUAUAUAAUUAUAUGAUGAAUGUAAGAUUUAUAUAUUAGAAAAAGUUAAAUCUAAAUCAAAUUGCAACUUAUGGAUCUCUUUUUCCCUUCUAAAUUCAUUUUUAAAAUUUAAUAUGUAUUUCUCAAAAACAAAGAACUAGUUGAUGAAAAUAUCAUGUUAAUUCAAUAAAACUCAACCUAUUAGACUAGUUUAAUCCUCCUCGAUAUUCAAUUUUCUAUUCUAUAUGUGUGGAAUUGUUAUAUAAGUUGCAACUAAGAAAAUACGUGGUAUGAUUUUGCUAAGUGGGCGGUUCCUAUUAGAGAUGCAACAUUUUUUGGAUAAACACCAUGAGUUUUUAAUCCCAUCUUUACCUUAUCAAACUAUAAAUUUUCAAAUAUUUUCAUUAUAUCUUAAAUUAUCGAUAAUAUCUCAAUUAUGUCAUUUUAUUAUUAAAGCCUUUAAUUUAACUGUUGUUGCAUUAAGUAAAAAUUAAAAAUAAAGAGAGUAAGCAAUAGAGCUUUUGUAAAAUCUUCGAAAACCUUAAAAAUUAAGAUUUUUAAAACAUCCAUUUUUACGAUAUUUAUUUUUUAAAAAUUUUCAUUUUAAAUUACAUCACAUAAGGUUUGACAUGUCAUUUAACAAUUGAAUUAAUGAUUUUAGUAACGUAAGAACUCAAAAUGAUAUAACUACAAUAGUUUGGGGAUGUACUUAAAAGUUUUUGAAAUUUAGAACCAAUUUAAAAUGAAGGUCAUAAUUUAGGGGUGUUCAAUGGAAUUAACUCUUAUCUUAUUAGCUACUAUCUUUUGUAGCGUUUUGGAGUGUUGCUAAUUAAGGGUGAACAAAACUCGAUUAAAAAAAUUCAAAUAUCAAGUUAAUUGAAUCAAGUUGUUUGAGUUAUUCGAGUUUCGAGUUUGGGUCGAGUUGAAUUUUACAAUUCGACUAAUUCAAAUAAUAUGUUAGUGUAAAUACCUCUUUGGUGCCUGUCAAUUUUGAAAAUGAGCAAAUUGGUUUCUCUCUCAACAAAAAUUACAAAAAAGAAAAUUCAAAAUAAUUUUAAAAAAUUCAAAAUAUUCAUAAAAAAUCUAAAAUUUGUAUUUUUAAAAAAUAUAAAAAAAUCUAAAGAAUAUAUAUAAAGAGAGUUAUAUUUUAAAAUUUUUCUAAAACAAUAAAUCUAGAGACCUAAAUAAGUUAAUUAAUGUUUCAAGUUUAUCAUACUAAAAUAAAUUAUUUCUUAUUAUUUCGCUUUGAAAAGGUUUUCAAAUAUAUAUGAUUUCAAAUGUAUGUGCUCUAACAUGGUAUUAGUUAUAAUGUAACAAGAUUUUAAUUUGACAUGUUUAAUUUUUUAAUUUAACUCGAACAAUUUCACUUGAUUCGAUUUGAAUUUCAUUUCACUCUUUCACUCAACUCGAUUCGAAAAAAAUUUCAAAUCAAGUUAGGAUGAUAAAAUAAGACUCAUCAACUUAAUUAACUCGAAAUUUUUUUACUCGAUUCGAUCUAACGCGCACCCCUAUUGCUAAUUUCUAAAAUAAACUCUAUUGCAUAUACUUCUAAAACAUAAGCAAUUUUUUAAUAUCAUUAUGCUUCUUUUAUAAUUACCAUUUAUCUCAUUCACUUUUAAUAACUUUACAAAAUAAAAGUUGAAACAAAAUAAUUACAAAUACUACAAUUUUGGUGUAUUAGAAAAAGAAAUUAAUAUUUGAAAAUUUAAUUUCCUUCCAAAUGUAACAAUGAGAUCCAGUAUUAAAAUGACUCUAAACAAAAUGCUAACUAUAACAUAAAUAAAAUCAAUAAAUAUAUUGAAAUUUCAGUAAAAUUGGCAAAUAAUCUCUUAAUUUAAUAGUAAAAUAUUUGUGUUGUAUGAUACAAGAGUUUAAAUUCACUCCAAAAAUCUUUUACCUCUUCACUCACACUUAUCAAACAAUAAAAUUAACAUUUAUACUUUAAUUCCAACUCGAAUAAUUUAAAUUCACACCUAAGGUGAAAUUUGUUAAUUCUUUUCAUUUUUAUGAUUUGAGGACGUUGGUUUGAAUAUGGAGAUUAAUCACCUUUUCUUUAAUAAAAUUAUUGAGAAUAGUUUUAAACGAUAAAUUUGGAUUCAGAUGAGAUAUCGAAGAUUAAAAAGAAUAUACUUAAAAAAUCAAAUUUUAUAUUUUUAGAGCUGAAAUUUUAAUGAGGGAAAAGAACAGUUGAAAUAGAAUUCCAUGGUGAAACAUGAUAAGAGAAAAAAUCCAAUUACUUGGGCAAUUAUUGUUUUGAAAAGCAAAGCUUAAAGCUUGAUUUGUAAUUAAUUGACAAAUGAGAAAGACAGUUAGAGAUGAAGCAAGUGGCAAGAUUCCUUUUUAAUUGCCAUUUCCUUUUAUCGUAGAAAUGGACAACGAAUGGAAACCCCAAUCCAACAAAGUAGUGCGAAAAGAUAUAUAAAACCUAAUCCUUUGAUAUCAAGACAUGUGGUUCACAUUGAGCAGCAUACACCAAGCCUGCCCUACUUCCCCUUCUUUCCUUCACAGCUCUCCUACUUUCUUUGAGAGAAUAAUUCUUUCAUAAUCUUCUUCUUCUUCUUCUCUUUCCUCUCUCUUCCCAGUUCACUAAAUGAUACAUCCUAAAUACCUUUUUUACCCUUUCAAUAUAAAAAUAUAAAUUUAAUUGUUACAUUAAGUUAUUUUUUUAAUUUAAAAUAUCAUGUUAGACAGGAUCGAUUGAGUGAGGUAGCCCACCCAGCCUACUGCCUACUACGGUAUUUAUAAUGAAUAUGUACCAUAAUAAGCUGUAUAAAUUAUGUUAGAAGUAGGGUAGAAAAGAAAUGUUAGAUGAAAGAUACAGUUGAUUGGGUGUCGGGUGAAGUAGAAAGGAGUUUAUUUUAUUUUAAGCAUAAUACUGAAAAGCUUAUACGCCUAUCAGAUAAGAGAAAUGAGAGAAGAAAGAGGAUGUAGCUAGAUUGCCAAAAAUAGAUUAAUAAAGGAGAAAAGAAAUUAUUUGCACCAAAAAGUAAGGUUGGCAUGAAAAUAUUCUUUAUUUUGUUAUAAUCGUUUUCUUCUCCAUAUUUUCACACUUCUAAUAGUUGGGAAAUGGAAAUGAUGGGAUGUGCUAGUUUAAUGGGCAAUCUUUGACACCCAACUGCACAUCAAUUACAACAGUUCAGCAUCCUACUAGAGGAUCAAAGCUAAUAGCUAGCAAUCAACAAUCCAAAAAUAGCAACAAAACACGUGCAUUUACAAAAAGGUAAAAAUUAAAAAAAAAAAAGUAGAGAAUUGUAUCAUUGGGAAUCUGUAGCUGGAUUUUCAUCUCCACUGUCACUGCCUUGAGUUUGAUUUUCAUGAUGAUGCUGCUGUUCCAAAUUCAUUUUUAAACCCACUCUAUUAUUGUUGCUGUAAACAUUCAUUCCACUGCCAAGUAACCCCAUGUUAGUCUCCGUCACUCCUAAACCAAGCUGUUGACCCCCGGCCUGCUGUUGUUGCAAUAUCAUUGAGCCCAGCUGAACCGGAUUCCCUCUACCCCCACCUGAAUAAUGAGCCGGGAAUGUCCACAUCUGGGCUUCUGGCACUGUAGCUGAAGCUGCUGUGGCGCCACCGCCUACCGGCAGCAUCCAAAAGGCAUUACCUCCAUUGGUGGUGGCCGGUGCAACGGCCCACAUAGCUGGAGCUGGCAUGACGUUGGCUGUUUGAAACAAACCGGGUUCUUGUUCUGGCAUUCCGGUUCUCUCCGGUUUAGGAGAAUUCGCGUCUAUGGCACCCGUUUCAGCAUUGUGCUGAGAUGUUUCUUUGAAAAGGUCAUCUCUGAAUGGCUUUGUAGCGUAGUUGUCGUUAGGGUUACUGCCACUUCUCAUGUGAGUUUCGGGGUGAAGGAGCUGAGGGUAAAGUUGAUGAUGAAACCCUAGCAUGGCGGUACUGUUGCCGAUCCUUCUGGCCUCAUCUCCAUUACUGUUGUAAAAACCUAAAGCGCUGUGGAAAGAGAGAGGUGCGGAUUUUGAUGAAGGAGCUGAAAUGGUUGAUCCACUGCUGCGAAGUGAAACGUUGAGAGUGGAGAAAUUGGCUGGAAUAGUGCCGGUUCCCGUUGCAGCUAUGAUGGCAGGUUCCGCUUGUUGAAGCAGCCACUCGAUGGUCUCACCAUCUGAUUUAUGACCCAAUUCUCGGGUGAGUUGGAAGACCCUGGCGGCGCAAACGGCGGGCAUUCGGAUGCGACGGCCGCGGCCAUCGACCUUGGUGUGACGGUCUUUGGUGGGUCUUUUGGCAGCAGGAGGCUUAGCGAGGGAAGAAGUGGAAGUAGGGGAGGAAGAGGGAACCCCAAUUUGGUUGGAAAUGGAGCCCAUGAAUGAGACAUGAUGACCUGGGGCCUGAGGCUGUGCCUGAGUCUGAGCCUGAGCCUGAUGGGAGGAGGUCCCAUGUGCGGCACCAGCAGCAGCUUGUGGUUGACCAUCACGGGAGACUAGUUGCAGUGAAGCUUCUUGUUUUUGGCCAUGGUGAUGAUGAUGAUGCUCACUGCUAUUGCUGCUUUUAUUGCUCUGUGACUCCAUUAUCAGCAUAUGGGGUUUCCAAGGAUUUCUUUGUCUGCCAAAUUAAACCAUCUCAAAAAAUGAAGGCCCUAUAUUAUUUAUUUUACUUUAUUUAUUUGUCAUUUAUAUAAAUAUUUAUUUUAUGUGUAAAGGGAGGGUUAUGAGUUGUGAUCCUAACAACACCACCGAUGUUAGUGCGUGAGGAUCUUCUUUUCUUCCUUGUGAUUGACUGCUGCUACGCUAUGCUAUCCACUGAGAGGAGUAGGUGAGAGAAGCAGCAACUAGAGCCAAUCCAAAUUAAAGCUUAAAAAAGAAACAGUAAAUUUUUUAGCACUACCCCACUCGUGGGGGCCCCUGCCUUCAAUCAUAAUAUCACAUCUGGUAAAACCCCUUUUAUCUUUCUACUGCUAAAUAUUGGGUAAUUUACAAAUAAAUUUUUUUUUUUUUUUUAAUUAUCGAAAUGGGUCUAUUUUUUAAUUAUUUAUCGGAAUGAUUUUUUUUCGGGAAAUCGCGUCCACGUCAGCACGAUGUCAGGAUACGCGUCAGGAAAUUGCGUCCACAUCAGCAUCUCGCGCUGACGUGGACGCUAUUUCGGUCCGCGUGUGAACAGUACCCAACGGUCAAAAAAAUAAAAUACCGGGCCUAUUUCGAUAAAUUUUAAAAAUAUAGGGCUUUUUUGGUAUUUUGAAAAAAUAAAUUUUGAAUUUUUUUGUACUUGUAUUUAUUUUUUUAAUCAAUUAACUCUUCAAUAUUACAUCAAUAGCAACAAGUACAAAAAAGAUUCAAGAUUGUUACCAACAAAAUUUGAACCAAAAUACUAAGAGAAAAGAGCAAGCAUCUUAACCAACUAAGCCAAACUAAUUAAUUGACAUAUUAUAGAAAUACAGUUAUUAUUUUAAUUAUAUUACUACGUUCUAACGAUUUAUCGGACCUAUUCCAUACACGUGUCAAAUCAGAAAAAAUAAUACAACAAUUCUGUAAAAAAAUCCGGUGUUUACUUCAAAUAAAUAAGGAAAAUAAUGAUUUGAAUGUUUCAAAAUUCAAUUUUAAACCGAAAAAAUCAAAAUUUAGGGGCAAAAAAGGAUCUUUUUCGACGAAAACUGCGGCAAACCGCCUUCAGCUGUUUGCCAGCGCGUAGAUCUCGCAAAGUUUUUAGAAAUAAAAAAAAUCGUCUCAAUCGGACAACCGAACGAAAAGUUAUGGCUUUUCAAAGUUUUCCAAGCUAAAAAACAUAAACUGUUCAUCCACGUUAGCAAAUCGCGUCCUCGUAGGCGCGAUUUGUGUCCACGUAAGCAAAGCGCGCUGACGUGGACGCGAUGUUCUGACACGUCCCCUGACAUCGCGCUGACAUGGACGCGAUUUCGGAGAAAAUGGCCCAUUUCGAUAAAUUUUUAAAAAAUAGGGAUUUUUUUAGUAAUUUGCCCCUAAAUAUUAUUAUUUUUAUAUUUAUUGUUCCGACAAACUUUAAAACUUGGAUAAUUCAUUACCCCCCAAUCACUUUCAAUUUAACCUAUGCCUUCUGUGGAUGAAAUUAUUUCAAUAAAUUUGAAUUGCUGUCAAAUGUCUUUUAGUAUGUUAUGCUCCUUUUACAAAAAUAAUUGCCCUAUUUAAUUUCCAUUUUUAAAAAAAUAAUUUUAUUAGUUUAAUGAUAAAAUCAAAAUUUUAAAAAUUUUGAGAUCCUAAUUAAUUCAAAUUUUAUCUCUGAUUAUGGUGGUUAAAAAAAAUUAAAACAAUCAUUUAGAUUUGAACUGCCCAACCCCAAUGAAACAAGAAAAAGUAAAGAUUGGAAUCCAUGCUCACCUUGACUAGGAACGACGACUUUGAGGUGUGAAAUGUUGAAAAUGUAAACAGAGAAAGACACAAGACUAAUAUAUCUUUUAAAGCAGGAUUUGUUUUUUUUCCCCCUUACAGCUCACUGAUUGAGUUAUUGCUGAUAAUGACAACGAUGAUUUAUCAUUAUUUCUUUAAUCAAGUAAUCACAAUAUAUAAAAUUACAUACAACACUUGUUUGUGGUUUUAUCAUUAUUUCUUUAAUCAAGUAAUUUCGAGAUUUUUUUUAAAUUAUCGUUACGCUUAAUAGUAUCGAGGUCUUUAAAUUACAUUAUGUAUUAAAGUAUUCAUCGUCUUAUAGGAAUCAGAGUAAUGACUUUAAGAUUUCUUUUAAUUAAAAUUAAUCUUUUCACUGUAGGUGCUCUUCAAAGAGAUAAAUGGUUCACAUGAUUAAGAGAUGAGGUGAGCAACCACCAUGCCAACCAUGUGAUUAAUAUAUCUAUAAUUGAUUUUUAUUGAUAAAGAGUUAAACCCUAACAAAUACAAAAUGAGCUCAACUUUUGUAACCUUCCCAACCCGGCCUAGACGUUAGACUCGAAUUCAGAAGAAUACAUUAGCCACCGAAGUGACUCGGUGAGCUAUUGCAGUUUUGAAAACAAUCUUUUUAAAAAUCUUUGUUUAAUUUAGUAGGAAUCUUAAUUACAUAUCAAUUAAUUCUUCAAAACCUUAAUUAAGAUAUAGCAGCAGAAAAAUGAUAGGUGGAUGCUUUUAAAUAAAAACUGGGGUUUCAUGCAUACCUUAUAAAUAAUAAUCUCUUAUUAUCCUAAAAUAAAAUUAAGUGUCAUGCAAAAUAAAAUCCAUAAUCUCAAAUCCCAUGACAUGGUUCAAAAUAAGAUAAUAUGGUUUAAUAAUUGGAAUAAUAACUCUAAAAUAUUUUAGUAAAAGCAAAGUUGAGACCCUCCAGAUGUCGCGUCUACAUCCUAACCUAGCGGGUUAUCUGUCAGGAUGAAAAUUAAAGGGGGAGUGAGCUAUGAAGCUCAACGUGAGUUCCAUCACAAAUAAAUCCGUGCCAAAUAGUAAUCCAAGCAUAAAUAAUAACAGUUUUCAAUACAUUAGUAUUCAUAUAGCAUAGCAGAAAUUGGCAGUCCAUUCAAGCAUGUUAAUGCGUGAUGAUGCAGUACAUUUAGCAAUUUCAGUUUAAUAGUAUAAUUAAAUCCUACCCCACCGCUACACUCCAUAGUAAGAAUUCCCUAUAAUUCUUAUAUCCCGAACACUCCAGUUUGUGGAUAAACCACCAGCGUUACAAGUUAUAGCAAUUUCAGUUUAACAGUAUAAUUAAAUCCUACCCCACCGCUACACUCCAUAGUAAGAAUUCCCUAUAAUUCUUAUAUCCCAAACACUCCAGUCUGUGGAUAAACCACCAGCGUUACAAGUUAGUAAGCGUCAGUAAUUGUGAGUAUGCAACGGGUCAGAAAAAUGCUAAAAGAGGUUAAAUUGUCUAAGUGAUACACACUUCACGUUAGCUAGUUUUACUUUUUUCUCUUCAUCUUUUAGGGUUUAGUUCUUCUUCUCUAUAGCUUAGGGUUUAUCUUCUUGUUCAUUUUCUGGUUUUUCUUAUUUCCUUAGCUGCUAGUUAAACUAGUUAUUAUUGUAGCUAGGAUUUAUUUACUUGUUAAGCUCUUCAAACUUUCUUGUAUUUGCACUUUAAUCCAUUAGUUUAAUACCACUCAGGUUUGUUAUAUUUCAUUUGUUAAAAAAUAUUAUCUUAGGUGUUUUUAUUUAUCUUCUUUGCUGCCAUUAUUGUGUUCCUCAAGCUUUUGCAAGAAAGCUUGAGUUUUUAUCAACUUUCUUUUAGGUUAAGUUAAUGGCGUUUCUCUUUAAUUUCUUAUUGUUAAUGGGUUCAAAUAUGAGCAUGAGUAGAUAAAACCUAAGUGGUUGGUUGAUGAAAGUGAUGGCUAAUUGAUUUUUGGGUUCAGGGACUAAAUCAUAAAAAUUGGACUAAAUCAAAUAGACUUAAAAACAUACAAUUGAUGACCCUAAAGGAAAAUUAAAAUAAGUGAGACUGAGAGGAGAUCUUAUCGAACAUCUGUAACAACCCAAUUUUUAGUAGUGUAGGAAACAGUGAUUUGGGAUCACUAAAUCCGACAAGUAAGCUUAAAAAUUUAAUAAAUUAAUAAUUAUGGGUCAAGUGUGAAUUUAGAAGAAUUUUUGAAUUAGUGAAUUUUGUGAUUUAAAAAGAAUUUAUUAGGUAAAUUAGGUCUAAAACGAGAUAUCGAGACCUCAAAUUCAUAAGCCGAGCCAUAAAUAUUUUUAUAAAUAUUUAUGGAGUGUCAUUGAGUUAGUAUUAAAGUUUUGUUGAAAAAUUUAACGUUGGGAUAGUCAAUUAAUUAAAAAGGACUAAAUUGAAAAUAGUGCAAAAUUUGUUAAAUUAUGAUUAAAUAGCUUAAGUGACUAAUAAGGAGGGAUUUAAAAGGCAAUUAGGCCCAAAUUAUAUGGGCUGGACAGUUUGGGCAAGAAAAUCAACAAGAAAAUAAGGAGAACAAGGGCAAAAUUGGAAAUUUUGCAAAUUAAACAUAUAAAACAAAGACAAAAUUGAAAAUCUAGAGAUUUCAUCAUUUGACUUCAGCCAAAACGCCAUAGGAGAGAGUUUUCAAGCUUUUUUUUUUUCAUAUUUUUCAUCAUAUAAGUUCAGUUUUUACUUUUUCUUCGUAAUUUUCAUGUUUUGUGACUUUUACAAUUAAGUCCAACUAUUGAAUUCAUUUGUUUUUGAUUCUAUGAAUGAUUUUCAAAGUUACCAUGAGUGAGUACUGGAAUUUUUUGAUGGAUUAUCAUAUAUUUUAAGCUUUAAUUUCAUUAUAUUAUGAUUUUAUUAAGUGAUUUUAGUAGAAAAUGAUUUUUAGGACCUAAUUGUGAAAAAGCUAGGAAUUGGGGUUUUGUAUUGAAUUUAUGAAUAUCAAAGGCUUUAUAAUAGCCUAAAAUGAUUAGAUAAAGUGUUAUUUGAGGAAAAUUUAGUUCAAUUAAAGUGUUAAUUGAGUAGGGACUAAAUUGUAAAAAUUGUAAAUUUUGGGGUAAAAGUGUAAUUUCAAAAAUUAAAGGGCAUAAAUUGUGAAGUGAAUUAUUAUUGAAUUAGAUGCUAAUGAGUGGAAAAUUUUAUAUUAUAGAUCAAGAAUUCGAAGAUAAACGCGAAAAAGAGAAAAUAUCAAACUAGUCUCUAAAUUUUUACAAAUUCUACUGAUUGGCCCAGGUAAGUUCAUAUGACUAAAUUUAAUGAAUUGUUAUGAAAAUUUCAUGAAUUCUAUGGUAUGUUAUUGUAUAUGAAUGUUAUUAAACUGAGAUAAUUGUGAAAAUAUGAAUGUUUGAAUAAAAGUUCUAAUUUAGUGGAACAUUGGAUUGAGUACUUUCGUUCAGUGACUCAUACGCAUUGACGAAAAAGACCAUGAUUGGACCAUGGCAAUAUGUGAUAUGUGGUUUCCAUAUAAGACCAUAGCUGGGCUAUGGCAUCGGUGUGAUAUGUGCUUCCGUGUAAGACCAUGGUUGGGUUAUGGCUUUGGUGUGUGAUAUGCGAUUAGUACAAGACCAUAGUUAUACUAUGGCAUUGUGAAAAUGAAGUACUCAAUUCCGUAACCAUUCCCUAAAUUGAUUAAGAAAAGUAAGCGAUAAAUGGACCCAAGAAAUUGAAAUUGAUUAUUAUUUGAUAUUGAGCUUAAUUAAGUAAAUAUUGAGGUAAGUAAUUUUAUUGAAUUGAAUGAGAAAUAUAUUUUAGUAUUGAAUUAUGUUCUAUGUGUUAUUAAAAGUAAAAUAUAUUGAUACAUGAAAUUUUGUGCUAAGGACUAAAUUACAAAAUAUAUAAAAGUGAUAUGUGAAAUACAUGAUAAGGAUUAUUAGUGAAUUAUGGAUGAAUAAUGAAUUUAGAAAUAUAUUACAUGUAUUAAAGAUAUUGAAGAUAUAAGUAUACGGAUUAUCGGUGCAAGGAUUAAAUUGUAAAGUAUAUAGAAGCAUUAUGUGAAAAGUGUAAAAGUGAUAUAUGUGCAUAAUAUAAUUUGCCCAAGUAGACGAGAUUAGAACUACUAGGAUAUUAGUGGCAUGCCAUCAAGGAACCUUAGCGUGCUCUCUGAUUAUUAGCACAUCAGUACUCUCUGAUUAUUAGCAUGUUAGUGCUCUCCGAUUAGCACAUCUGUGCUCUCUGUAUAGCACUUUAGGGUUCUCAGUUCAUUAGUGCAUAAUAAUGCACCUCUGUAUUUGUUCCGUAUAUCUGGUGUGUUCUAUAAAAUCUACUUUGGGCUAAGAAUAUGAAAUAGUAAAUUGAAAAUAGAAUGUGAAAUAUGUUGCAAAUAUAUGGAAUAUAUGAGUUAUAUACUCAUGAAAUGACUAUGGAAUGGAUAUUGCAAUUAUAUAAUGAAAUGUGAAAUAAUUUGUGAAAAGCUAUUUAUAUAGCAAGCAUGAGAAUUGAUAUAUUUGUGAAACAAAUGAAAUAUGAUAUGGUUGUUGUAAUAAACUCAAGUUUGACAUGUCGAGAAAAUAAGUUUAUCAAAGUUGAAUUUAUAUAUAAUAUGUGCAAGUACGCUAACUAGUGUGGUUGCUUGAUGCAUAGGCAAGUGUCAAGCCAUUGGCAGAAUGGUAAUAUGAUUAUUUAUAUAAUGCAUUGAAUUGGUAAGUAUUUAAGUGAAAAUAUGCUAGUGCUCAUGAAAAAGUAGUAAGGUUUAAAUUAUGCAAUUUUUUUAUGAAAUGACUUAUCAUGCGAUCAAUUUGAAAAAAAAAAAACUUUGGUUAAAUGCACUAGCUUGUGACCAUGGUUGAAUGAUAUGAUUAUGACUUGUGUGUUAGGCAUAUGGGAUAAAUGUGGAAAGAAUAAUGAUGACUUUAAAGAAUAAACUGUACUUAUUGGUUAAACCAUAAAUUUUAAAAAUUUUAUGGUAAGAAGAUAUGUGAGUCUAGUUUCAAAGAAAUUUAGCGAAUCUUAAUUCAGAGUUCCGUAGCCUAAAAUAUAGAUAAUUUAAUGGCAAUGGCUUGAGUGGACAACUCCGGUAACAUUCUGUAACCCUGUUCCGGCAAAGGAUGUGGGUUAGGGGUGUUAGAACAUCAAUUUUUAGUAUCUAUUUUUUAUAAAUUUUUUAAUUUUAAAUAUUUUUGUAUAAUUUUAUGAUUUUUAAAUGAAAUACCAAUUUUUGUCAUGUGAUAUAACCUUGACAGGCCAAAUGACGAAAUUGUUACAAAAAAAUCGCAAUAGCUACUCUUAAAAAAAUAUAUAUAUAUAUAUAUAUAUAUAUAUAAAUGGAGGCUUUUGAAGUUUUAGGUCAUAAUAAAAAAAAAAAAGAAAAAAUCAUGGUAGUUGGUUCUAUAUUGGAUCUCGUCGUAUUGGUCGGUGCUCAUCAUUCUAGUGCUAAAGCGGGACAAGUAGUAAAUUUUUCGCAUCGGUAAAAAUUUUAGUUUAUACUGGUUACACCGAUUAGUUCCAGUCAAUUUUGAUUACAGUGGUCGAAAUAUGAUACAUGAAUAAUAGUAAAAAUUAUAAAAUUUUUAACUAUUUAUCUAACAACCAAUUUUUAGUGGUGACGGAAUAGUAGUUUUGAGACCACAAAUUUUCCUCGUAUCAACUCAUAAAUAUUAUUUUUAGAAUAUUUAUAGAGUCAUUAUAGUCGUAUUAAAAUUUGGUUAAGAAAUAUUAAUGUUUAGUUAGUUAAUUAAAGAAAAAGGACUAAAUUGAAAAAGGCGCACAAUUUGCUAAUUAUAGCAAUUAGGUGAUGAAAUAGUGUAAUUAUUAAUUGAGGAAGGACUUAAGUGAUAAUUAAGCCCUAAAUAAUAUAUUGGGAUGACAAAUUGAUGGAUAAGGACAAAAUAAUGAAAUUAUAAUGGCAAACUUAUAAUUUAGUUGAAAUUAAAACAAAAUUAAGUAAGAAGAAAUAGGUUUUCUUCUUCAUUUUCUUCUUUUUUCACUGUCGAAACACCAUAGAAAUAGCUUGGAGAAUCGGUUGAGCAUGGGAGCUUCCAUGUGAGUUCAAUUCUUACCCGUUUCUUGUAAUUUUUAUGUUUUUGAGAUCGUUGUAAUUAGGUCCAACUAACCUGUACCUUCGUUUCUGAUUCUGUUUAAAAUUUUGGAAGUUUCCAUUGAUAAAUAUUAGAUUUUUUUUCUAUAAAUAACAUGGAUUUUGAUCUUUGAUUGUGUUGUGUGAUGAUUUUGUAAAGUGAUUUUUGUUAAAUAUUGAUUUUAGGAUUAAAUUGUGAAAAUGUCAAAAUAUUAGGGUUUGAUAGUGAAUUUUAAGUUUAUUAGGGGCUGUAUGAGGGCCUAGAAUAUUUGGAUAUAUUAUUUAUUUGAGAAAAUUAGUUAAUUUGAUAGAUUAACUAAUUAAGGGAUUAAAUUACAAAAAUUGUAAAAGUUUGGGGUAAUUGCGUAAAUUUGAAAAAUAAAAGGGUAUUAAUAGUAAAAUAGAUUGGAAAUGAAAUAUAUGCUAAUAAAUGAGUAAAUUUUAGAUCAAGAUCCCGUAGAUACUCGUGAAAAAAGAAAAAUAGCAGAAUAGUCCCUGAACUUCUACAAUUACUACAAUUCAGUCCAAGUAAGUUCGUACGGUUAAAAUUUAACAUUUGUAUAAAUUUAUGAUUGGUAUUAUGCAUAUAUUCUAUUGUUGGAAUGAAUAUUGUUUGAAUUAUAAUAUUAAAUUGGAUAUUCGGUUUGAAUUGAAUGCGAGAUUUGAGUACAUUCGUGAUUUGGUGUAUGACAGGGGUUUGGAUUGGAGAUGGUAUUGGAGGGAGAUAUCGACAUUUUACCCAAGUAAAUCGGGGUUCAACAUUUGUUGUGAACUCUCGUGUUUUACUUUUUGUUUGUCAUGAUUGGGUGGAUCAACUCUUACGAGCUUUUGUUUAGCUUUUGAGCUUCUGCUGGCGUAUUCGGGAGGACCAGCUCUUAUGAGCUUCUGUUGAUGAUGUACUCUUACCCGUAAGUCAUUUUUCAAAUGGAAAAAUCUCGGUUGAUUUAUUUAAUGAAUUUGAAAGACAUGUAAUUUAAUUUUGUAUUGAUUUGAAUACGGAUGCAUUUAUCGAUUGAAGUUGUGAAUGACAGGGAGUUUUCUUGGAUGAUUUUUAUUAUUUGAUUUAUUAUAGUUAGUUCGGUAAGCUUUUUGUUUAUCUCGUCGAACUUACUAAGCUUCAUUAAGCUUACUUUUGUUGUUUAAUGUGAUUGUAUAUUUUCGGAAGGUUGGACGAUCGGAUCGGCACUCAAGUCACACUAUUCAGUUUAUCUUGGUAGUUUUUGAAACGUUAAAUUCGGAUUAUAUGGCAUGCAUAGGCUCUUGUGCUAUUUUGGUUAAUGUUUGGCUUAUGUAAAUGUUAUGUGUUGACACCAUUUUUUUGCUAAAACGGGGUUGACUUGGGUUUUAAAAACAAAAACGAAAAUGGGAGUCGCCACCAAUCUUUUUGAUAAGGUGUGAUCGGGCCACCUUGAAAAAUGGUUGUUUUUAAUAAACGAUUUAAUUUUUAUUAAAACAACGAUUUUGGUCUAUGAAAUUAAGAAAAACGGGUUCGGGAGUCGGUUACGUACGAGGAAGGAUUAGCACCCUCGUAACGCCCAAAAUUGGUACCUAGUUGAUUAUUUAAUGUCUUGAUGUCGAAAAUUGAAAUUUGAAGAAUUUUUAAAAAUACGAUCCUUGUAUUAAAAUGUUGAAAAUGUUUGAGUAAAAGGGGCAUAUUUCACGUUAAUCGGGGAAUAGAAUCAUAUCCAGUAAGUUAGGACACAAUGUCUCAAAUUCCCGAUAUGCGAAUGAAUGCCAAAAUUUUACUUAUUUAAAAGAUUAUUUUAUUAUCUCGGGUUUGGAAAAACGAAUCAUGCCCAGUAAGUUAGGACACGAUCUUUUCUUAAUUCCCUAGAUCGUUUUAAAAUUUGAGUUUGAAAAGAUUCGUGUAUUUAGAUUUAUUAUAAAAAUCGAAACCCAGUAAGUUAGGGUACAAUUUUUUCGAAUCUAAACACGAAACGCCAUUUUUUAAACAAAUGUUGUUGUCGAAUGAAAUGAAAUACGAAAACCACAGUAAAAAUGCGAAAGCUGAUAAAAUCAUAAUGCACGCAGAAGUAUGAAAAUGAUGCGGGCAAUAGCAGCAAUACAAAAUAAAUAGAAGUCAUACUUACAAUUAUAGAAAAACAUUACAUAUACAAAUAAAUUAAAAUAUUUAUUCAAAAUAAUAUAGAAAAUGAAAUAAAUGAGCAAUAAAUACAAAAUAAAACAAUAGUAAGGAAUAGAAAUAUAAUGCAUAUAUAUAUACGUAUAUUGAAAUUAUAAAGUACAAAAAAUACAUAUAAGCAGGUAUUAAUGUGUUUAUGAAAAUGAAAAUAUGGAUAUAUACAUAUAUAUAUAUAUAUAUAAAUAAUUUAAAAAUGUAUGAAAAUAUGUAAGUGCAUAUAAGUUAUAAAAAUAGGUACGUAUGUAUAUGUAUAUAUAGAUUAUAAAAGGGUGGGUACAUAUAUAGGUAUGCGUGUAUACAUACAAAUAUAAAAGGUUAUGGGAACAUAUAUGUACAUAGAGCAUAAAGUAUCAAAUAUAAAUAAUAUAUAAGUACAUAUAUACAAAAAACAAAUAAAGAUAUGUACGGAUACAUUGUAAAACAAAUAAAAAUAUGUGUAAACAUAUGUAAUACAAAAGCCUGUAUAUUAUAAAAGACAUAUGUACAUAUAUAUAUAAAUAGCAACACCUAAAGUUUUAAAAAGGGGUACGAGUAAAUGAAUAAUAGUUAUUAGUAAUAAUAACGUUAAUAAUAAUAAUAAUAAUAAUAAUAAUAAUAAUAAUAAUAAUAAAUGAUAAUAUAUUAAAGAAAAUGAUGAAAAUGUUAAAAAGGGGACUAAAUCGGAGUAAAGUCUAAAAUAUGGGUCGGAAUCGAAAUAAAAACAAAAAGGGACUAAGUUAUGUAACGCACCGAAAUACAGGGGACCAAAAUGAUAAAUACCCCGAAGCUGCAAAACGCUACGCUUAGACGUGGACUAAAAUGAACCAAGAAUAAAAAUUUGUGGCUGAAUCGAAAAUAUGCGGAAAACUUCCAUGGAAGCGCUAUAAAAUCAAAAGGACUAAUUGCGAAAAUAUUCCAUUUUAAGAAAGCACGCGGAUCCUACCCUGGGUCGGGUCACACGCGCGGGUUGAGGGCCUUUAAACGGCGCCGUUUCGUUUAGGGUAUUUAAAACCAAUUUUCCUUAAAAAAAUUCAUUUCUAGGGUUUCCUUUUUUAAAAAACUGCAGAAGAAAGAAAAAAGAUCAUUCUUCUCUCAACUCCCCCCAUCGUCGGUCAAAUGGGCCACCGUCGACCCCGCCGUGAGCGGUGGUCAGAAGCCCAAACGUCGGUCUUUUAAACCCUGCUUCAAGGACCAACUGAAGACCAAGUCUUCAUGGCCUUGGGGUCGCGAGAGAAAAAUCAAAUCGCUGCCUUCCCCGCCCAAUUUCGGUGACCCGAAGUAGGACUCCGGCGACGACGCUUGCGAGGCGAUUCAGGUAAGGUUCUUUCUCCCCUUUUUUUUUUAAAAAAUAAAUAAGUAAAUAAAUAAACCCUAAAUAAAUGGUGACCUUUCGGCCUCAACGCCCCUUCAAUCACGGUCCAAGCGAAACCUUAAAGGCUUUCGUGACCCCGACGAACGGAGAAGAUCUCCGACGGUGGUCUAUGGCCGAUCCUCAGGUACGUUUCAAAACCUCUUUUCUAUAUUUAUUUUGGUUAUUAUUCUUAUCUAUAACAGUGUAAAAAAGCAUAAUAAAAAAAGAAGCAGAGGCGCGAAGUAAAAAAAUCAACCUUGAUACUUUGAUUGCUUUCGUUCUCUGUUUUUAUUCCUUUUUUUUCAGAUUACAUUUUUCUUCAGGCUUUAUAGCCGAUUACAAAGGUUCUCUCUUUUUCUCUGUGUUUUUGUCCUCUUUUGGCUUUGUUUUGCAGGGUUAGGCAAGGUCAACGGAGGUGACCUUGCCAUUUCGGUGCAAAGGGGAGGCAGACCUCGGGACGAAGCACCUCGGGUGGCCCGAAAAGGGGGGAACGGCGCGAGAGGGGAGGGAACCCUAGGGUUCUCUGGUGUUUGCUUGAUUUUGGGCUCCAAUGAGCCUUCUAUGUUUUUUAGAAUUUGGGCCGUUUUAGGUCUGUUGUAAAUGGGUUAUUUAAUUUUGGGCCCGGGCUUAAAUUGAGUCCUACAUUAUGAAUGAUAUUUUGUGCAAAUAACCAAUUUGCAAAGGGUAUGAGAAUGAGGUAUAGUUGUUAUGCUUGUAUGUGUGGCUUACAUAUAUUUGAUGUAUUGUGGUUGUGGUAACUUUGUUAGUUAUUUUGAUUUGGUAUUGCUUGAAUGAGUUGAUGAAUUACAUAAAUGUGUAUUUUGAGAUUAAAUUGUAUAUAAUUGUGGUACCAAUGAAGGUACAUCGGUUAGGCACAUAUUAGGUUGGUUUUGAUGUGUUUUUGACCCGAUUAAUGUCAAUUUUGAUUUUGUAUUUUAGUUAGUAUUUGAGUUUCUUAAGGUCCAAGCAAUUUGAUUAUGUUUGUAUUAAUGUUUGAUUUGAAUGAUUUACUAUUCCGUCGUCCUGUAAUACUCCAUAACCUUAUUUUGACAACGAAUACGGGUUAGGGAUGUUACAAUUUACUAUUGUCAGACUGAGGAGGCCUCAAAAUUUAGAGGAAAUCUCAUUUUUCCUUAGAAAUUUUUUAAAAAUUUAAUUAGGCCUUCUCAACAUUUUUGAAAAUUUUCAAUUCUUCCUUAAAUUUUUUUUAAUUUUAAUUAAACUCUCUUAAUUUUUUUUAAAAAAAUUCUCAUUAAACUUAUAAAAUUUUUGAAAAUUUUAUUAGGCCCCCAAAAUUUAGUCCCAAGAUCUACCAUUGACUAUUAUUAUUAUAAAAAUUAAUUAGAAUGUAUUGACCAAUCAAAAAAACCUUUUAAACUUUGAAUUUUUUGGGACAUACUUUCACAUUUAAAAUAUAAAAACUAAAAUAUAAUAAUAAUAAAAUUCACUCACUCAAUUAUCAAAGAAAAAAAAAUCCCCACUCAACCUUCAGUUUCUUUUUUCUUGUUAAUUUUGGUUUUAUUGAAUGAUGUAUUUUUAUUUGUGGAGUUUAUUAAUGAGUAUUUUAUAUAAUUGAUGAAUAUUUUAUAUUUAAAUUUUAUUCAGGAUAAUUUAUUUGAUAUUUCUAAAUAUUUUCAUAUACAACAGUACAUCGAAACGAAUCGGUACCAAAACUUAUCAGUUCUAGUAGAAAAAAUAAUGCGAUCACCUGUGCAGUACUGAUUAUUUUAGGCAAAAGAGAAAAUAUGAGAAGGUAGAAAAUUAAAACAAAUAAAAUAAAUUGAAUUUAUUUUGUUUUUUUAAUUUAUUAAUAUUAUAUAAUUUUCUUAUAAGUAAUUUUCAAAUAUAAUAUAUUAAUUAUAUAAAUAUAAAAAUGAAAAUAUUUUAUACUUUAAAGAAUAUUAUUUUUAACACACUUACAAAUAAUAUUUUGUUUAACUUUUAAUUAUAUUUAAUAUAGUAAAUUAUAAGAAAAAUUAAUACAAUAUUUAUAUAUUUAGUUUUAUCCAAUGUUAUUUAUAAAUUUUGUAUUAAUUUAUUUUAUAUUUUAUUAUUAAAUAUAAUUAAUUUACAUUUAUAUAAAAUAUAUUUUUUUAUAAUUAUACGGUAAAAAUGUUUUUUUUUUCUAGUUACUCCUUGCGUAUUCCCUAUCAGUAUUUUAUCCAACCAAAUAUUGUAAUUGUUGAAGGUAGUGUUUAGCUAUCCAUGGUUCUCUUUUAUCUAUGGUCCUUCCUUUUGUUUGCUUAAAGAUGGAAAAUUAUGUUAUAACAGCACCAUCAGAGGAAUUAGAAGUUGUUUUUAAAGUUUUCUUUCAUCUUUUGGAAAUUUGAAGAACAUUGAGAUGGUUUUAAGUCGAAUGUUUGAUAAUACAAUCAUUGCCAUGGAUAUUGGGUUGCCCUGCUGGAAUGUAAUAACAUUGUACUUUGCAUCUUUAGUUUUGCUGUAGCUAAAUGUUUCAUUAACAAGAUUGAGAAUUUUCCAGUUUUCGUUUUCCUUUUUGGACAUCUACUUUUCAUCCUUUAUUACAGGGAAAUAGAGAGUGAAGCCUCUGAAAGUGGAUAAAUAUAAAAUAAUUGCAGUAGUGGACAUUUCGAGUAGCAAUGGCUCUUGGAGGCAGUGCUUGCAAAGAAGUCGUUGAGGCUCAUUCCCCUGUUGCAGAUAAUGACAUAGCUUCAACAACAUUUGUGAGUAAUACUACUAGUACUACUACAACAACGAAAAGUGCUGUUAGUAUGGUUGGAAAACAUGGAGCACGGGGGUGUCUUAAGGCGGAGGCCUCCAAGGGAGAAUGUGCAAUCGAAGAAAUCUAAGCCCUCCAAUGCAUGAGUGCAAAGAAAGGAGUGAAUUAAGUGUCCACAUCGUGGAAGUAAAGGAACCGAGAGUGAAGGUUAUGAGAGUUGCGAUGGUUGAGAGAAGCCGAGGGUAGAAGUUGUGGCAUAGUGACCCCAAAGAAGUCACUCACGUAGAAGGCAUCGAUACAUAUAAUCAACAACGAGGGCAUUGCUAGAACGAGUGGGGAGAAUAUCACGAACUACCCAUGAAUAAAGCUAUCCAAAGAACUAGAUCAAGUCUGAAAUGAUGCAAGCACAAGAAAACCGAGUCAAAAGAUUCUUGGAUUAUCCCGAAAGACUUUAGAACUCUAGAGAAGGGACUAAAUCUUUGUAGAACUAAUUAGAAUUAAGCUAGUUGUCAUUGGAACCAAGCCUAAAGCUGCACGUGGCCUGUUAUACAUAUAAUCAGUUAUUUACUCAGGAUUGAGAUAAGUCGCACAAAAACCCAAACCCAAUAGAUUGAAGUCGAAUGUUUUAGAUAAUGUCCUUGAGAAAGAGGUGUUAGAUCGAAUUUGUCAAAAUUAACUUAUAAAUUUUUAGGAGAGCCAAAUUGCAUUUUUCUUUUUUAAAAAGUUUAAAUCAUAAUUUUAUCAUUUUAGGAGGGAUAAAAUAUAAUUCUAUAAUAUAUUAAUAUAUUAAUUUAUAAAUUUAUAAUUUUUCUGAUUUUAGAAAGGCUUAAGUGCAAUUUUUCAUUUUAAGAAAGGUAGGUUGGCCUGUGUGUCACGACUUUUCGUCGUGCAAUCCGUGCAAUUUGAGGCAAUUUCUUCGAUUCCAAUGAACCUAAAUCAGCCUAAUUUUCAAAAUUGAGAAGACACUGAAAUAAAUCGAAAGCAAACUCAGAAAAAGAAGAAACUACGAACAAAGAAAACCACAAAAAAUGAGUGCACACUAAGUGUUUGAUUAAAUACUAUCAAUAUAUAUUUCUUUUAACUUAGAAAGGAUGAGGUGGUUGCAAAUGAAGGAAGACAUCUAUUUAUAGUUAAACUCUUCAAAUUCAACGGUACAGAUUAAUUUACAUCAACAGCUAAAAUUAGUUUUCAUCUAUACAAUAAGAGAGUCUUACGGAAUUUAAAUUCUAUACAUGUUUAUCCUUUAAGAUUUACAAGAAUUAUCAUGAUAAAAUACAAUUUACUGGAGUCUUUCAAUUCAACCAAGAUUCAAGUGAUGGGUUUUUGCUUAUAUUCCACGAAUCGGGUCAAUUUAAGUAAAUCAAAUGAGUCCCAAUUCAUUUGUUGAUGUCUACGGAACUUUCUAUGCGAAUUGGUUACGAGUUUUGAUCCUCCGCCUGUGAUAUUGACCCGUGAAGGAGGAUGUUAUUUAAUUUAAAGGGAGUCAUUCGGGUAAAUUUUUUGUUGGCCGACACUUAUCUGCAAUUUCGGAUGGCUGCUGGGAUGCUCAAUUUCAUUUGGAGUUUAGAGAUCUGCCGUGGUAAACUAUGUUAUAGUAACCUGGAAAAUAUGAAAAUAAAGGUGUGUAAGGCUAAUUGAGCAAAAAACCUGUAACAGCUUUGAUUUUGUCCUAAGUUUUAAUGACUUUUUGAGAUAUGUAAGGGGAAGCAGAGGACAUAGCAAGGGGUUGGGAUGGUGUUUACCACCGAGAGGGGAGGACUAAAUGAAACAAGAAUGCUGCUGUUGAUAAUAAUUCAGGUGUAGCAGCAACGGGUGGUCUACUUCAAUGGGUAUAAUCAGGGUCUUGGUUUUGGUCGAAAUGUUGGGCCUGGACCCGUGCUAAAAGUAGAGCUUCUGUCAGUAAUGGAUGGCUUGGCAAAUGGAUUUAGGAAGAUCAUUUUAGAGAGUGAUAGCUUUACAGGCUGUGCAGUUGGUUAUUUCUGUGUCAGCUUGGAUAAUACCUACAACAUGAUGUGCUGCGAUGGCGGUGGGAGAUGGGAGUGAGACGAGAAUAAUCAACCUGCUGCCAAGUUUUCUAUGAAGGUGAUUGCAGCGUUGAUGGUCUAUGAAUGGAGAUGGUCCUUGCUGUCAAAUGAUACUGUUGGUUAUGUUGUUCAAUCAUUUUGUUCCGCUGAGUAUAUUUGAGUAUGCACAAGUGAAUUGAAGAGUACAAGAUGUCACUUCGUAGCAUUUAUUUGGCAAGGAGGACAAAUCCAAGCCUGGGAACGGAAUCUAUUUUCUCUUAAAUCAUUUUGGCUUUAACAUUCAAUAUUUAGUCAAUACUAUUCGAAGCUCUGACCCAUUUUAAAACAACAAUUUUGGUUUUAAAAAUUGCUUUCUGAAUCUAAUAUUUUUGUCAUCACUCCCAAAUUUCGGAUUUUGAACAGAAUAGGAUAUUACUAUUAUGAUCUUCAACACAAAAAAGAAAAAUGGUAAUACUAUUGUAUAAUAUAUAGGUCUAGAAGUAAAUAAGAAAUUACAGAGCUAGGUGCAAAGAAACCAGUGUUUUUAUUUUAUAAUAUGGAGGACAAAACCUCAUAAAAAUCCUCCAUUCUUAUGGCAAUACCAAUAUUAAAGAAAAUAAACAAAAAAAUGUGGAUCAAGUAAUAUAAAUGAUAUAUUAUAUCCCAACCCCCAUGGCCGUAGUUAUAAACUCUAAAGUCUAAGCCUAAAGCUGCAACUACUGCUGGAAAUUCUGAUGGCAUUGUUAGCAGAUAAAGCAUUCACCACAAGGCGGCACCUAAUCCUGAACUUCAUUUUCAUGAGCUUUAAGCUCCCAAGCUUAACCCUCACAGUCUGUUUAGCCCUCAGCCUCAAAGGUAUGUUCCCCGUCAUCUGCUGCUGCUGUUGCAGUGCCGUCAGCAACACUGUACCGUUCUGGACUUGCCCUGUCAUCGGCAAUACCAGCACGGUCGUGUUCCGAUGACCUUGGUAGAAUUUGGGUAACGCCCCUUCACAUAGUUGGGUUUCAUUGUACCAUACGGUUAUAUGACUACCUCCGUCAUAAUAUAUUCCGAUUCUUUUAUUGGGGUUUCUGGCGGUGAUGUUAACAUCGAAGCUAGCAGAUAAGCUGGAAUUCACUGAGCUGAGAUCGAACUGCGUAACCCGCAGGCCGUCGAUAGAAUACUUGGGUAGCUUUGGUCGGAAAACAAGGAAUAAGAUGCCGACGAUAAUCCCCAGAAUGACGAUCAGAAGCAAGAGAAGAGACAGCGUCCAACACAUGCACCUGCAACAACAGCUUCUUCUUUUCUUGGGAGCUGUCGAAUGCUUAACAGGAGAUGGGCCAUGGGACUGGGAGUUGAGUGGAUGUUGCUCGACAGGGUCACCGGUAUCGGAUUUAGAAGUGGCUAGAGGAACCAAGGGAGCACUGGGGGAGGCUUCUGGCGGCGCUUCCACGUCUGGGACGGGAUGGAUUUUCUGUUGGUCCGCCAUUGAUGAUGUACUCAAUUCAAUUCAAUUCAAUUCAAGCCUCUAAGGGAAGGUAACCAUAUAAAUUAUUUUUGUAAAAUGAACCUUGAGAAAAAUAGAAUUAAUAUAGAGCAGGGGAAGGAAGCUAUUGAUUAAGUCAUACGAUAGAAGCUUCCUUUAUUUGACUUUUUUCCAAAUGACGAAGUUUUGAUCCAAAUAUUCACCUAAUGGUCCGCAUUCAUAUUACAAUCCUUUUGUAAUUAAAAUAUAUAUUAUAUUUAAUAAUUUCUUUGGAUGAAAUAUUUACAAUUAUUUAUAUUUCCUUUUUAAUUAUUAAAUAAGAAAAUAUUGUGUUUUAGCUUGUUCGAAUUCAUAUCCUCUCAUAUUGAUAACAAUACCGUAUCAAUUCAUUAUUUUAUUAAAAUUUUUAAUACAACAUAAAUUACCAUCUCACAUAAAAAAUUUGUGAGUUAGAAACAGAUUGGGAAUUCAGAAUUGUUAUAAAAUUGACUGUAGACCAAGUUGAACCACGUGGAUGGUAAAUCAGCACUAAUUUUAUUUUUAUAUUUUUGAAUUUGGGAAAUCAGCACAUAGACUUCGGAUUUGUUAAAGGUUGGACAUCAGGUUUUUCAUAUGAUAAUAAUCAUAAUUCUAAUGGUCAAAAUUUUCUAUUAAUCCUUGUCUUAUAAAAAUGUUUUAAAUUUAGUCCUCGUACUUUAAUUUGAUCAAUUUUAGUCCUGUACUUUUCAAAUUUUUGAAAUUUUAAUUUUGGCUGUUUGUUUAAAUUCAAUUACUAGUUAUGCAAUACACAUACUGUUGUAGAUUGUUAAUCCAUUAAUUAAUUUUUUUUAGUGAGAAAUAUGUGGAAAUAAUAAGCAUAUGAUAAUAUGUUUAACACAUCAGAUUUAGAAAUAAAAUAAAAAUUAAUUCAAUGAAUUUAACAGUUAUCAUAUGGUGAUAACUAAAAUUUAAAAAGCACAUGGCAUAAAAAUAACCAAAUUAAAUUGUAGUAAUUCACAAUUUUUACAAAGUAUAAGGACUAAUAGCAGAAUUUAACAAAUUAUAAUAGUCAAAUUGGACAAAAUAGAAGCCUGUACUUGAACUAAUGACACAUAUCGAACUUAAUGUUGAAAAAAGGAAUAAAAAGUAGAGAAAAUUACAAAAUAUUUGUUGAGGAUGGCAUCAACUACUUGGAAGGGGGAGCCAUAACUCAAAGGAGCCGCCUUCAAAAUUGAAUAUUUAGGACAAUCUUUGAUGAAUAGCUUUCUUUUGGGGAUUUUCUUCUGUGGUUCCAUUUUAUGUUAUUAUUUAUUUAACAUCUUUAGCUUUUAUUUAAGUGGAAAACGAAGACCAUGAUGUCAUGACUCUUAAUAAAAGCUUGCUUCCAUUUUCAACUUUGAAUAUUUUUCAUUAUAAGGUUUAGUACUUUUCAGAAGGAUAGCAUGACAUUUCAUAAUUCAAGUUUAAAAUAAUGAGUCGAAUAUAAAUAGAAUUGCAAGCUUAAUGUUUAACUUUAAGGAAUAAAAUUUCUUAAGCUUCAAGUAACUUUUAAUAAUUUCGGUUUAAACCCAAAUUAAUAAAUAAUUAUAGACAUGAUUUAAUAUUCGUGAUGAAUAAUGUGGAUUCGAAUAUUUACAAAUAUUUAACUUAUUUCAGUAUUUGUACAGUUUUUUAUCAAGUUCAGACAUUCAACAAAUAAUUUCAUUAAUUCAAAUUUGGACUAUAAACGAAAUCUAGUUUUAAAGUAAAUUGGAAUUUGGAGAAGUGUAUGUUGGAGAUAGGUCACUUGGCAUGGUAAAAAGCAAAAUGUUGUUUAAAGUAGUGCAGAGGCUGAUAUUUAGAUCAGUUGCUCAUGGAGUUUGUGAAGUGUUGGGGAUUACAAGGUGUAUUGGGACAGCAAAGUAGCAAUCUCCAUUGUUCGUAAUCAAAAUUUUCAUGAUAGAACUAAAAACAUUAAAAGUUGAUACAUCCAGUGUUGUAUUCAUUUUUCUUUCUUAGAUAGACAAAAUUUUCUUUGCCGUUUCGGCCUUAAAAAUCUGACCCUGAAACAGCAAAAUGUAUCAUUUUAUUAUAAAUGUAAAGAAAAACCAGCUACUAUACACAAAUAAUCCAACUUUUGAUCAUACCCUAAAUAGGCAAAUGCCAAAGAAUAGUGUUAUAAUGAAAUUUGAAGGUCCUCUUACCUUCCGUCUGUUUUGUCCCCUCUACUCAUCCACGUUUUGUUUUGUUAGUUUAGAGUGUUUAGCAAUUCCAGGAAGAUGAUCUCUUUAUCAUUGGCUUCCUCUGUUUGUCCUCUUCCAAAGCGAUCAUCCCCAAGUGUGAUGGAUCCUCUAGCAUCAUUUUCGCCACUAAAUAUCCAGCUAUUGACCAUGUCUGGUACUUCCUUGCUUGUUUGCCGAUAAAUCUCCCGAGUUUUCCGUCAUAAUAUUCUGGCCAGCCAUCUUUCAACAAACGUGUCUCCGCAAGAUCAAUUGCCUGCCUUGCAAUUUGUGGCCUUCCCGUUUUGAUGCAAGCAGCUGUUAGCAACCACAAAAGCACUGCGUAUACGAAAUAGUGGAAAAUUGCAAACGGUCACAUUCUAACAUCCAAUAAUUCUAAUAAGAAAGGUGAUAAUAAACUCAGCAAUAUCUUCAGUUGGAAAAAUGCAGAUGAAAAUGUUAAUACAUCAGUAGCCUCAUGAUUCCUAGUUCAUGACUGUUGAAUGUCAAAUACAGAUACUUCAAGAAAAAAGAAGAGUUGAAACAACAUAAAUCCCACUCAUCUAAAUGGCAACAACUACUUUCUACCAGCUUCAUAGUUUAACAAAAUACCAACAAUAAAUUUCUAGUUAAUAACAAACAAUAAUAAAUUGUUUUGUCAAUAAGACAACAUGAGUUACCCAUAAAACAAAUAACUUCGGUUCUUAUAAGAUCAAAAGCACUAUAAUGGUGAAGAUAGAUAAUAGAUUAGAGAAUGAUGGUAAUACCUGGCCAAGAUCCUCCAUUGUGAUAACUCCAUCUUGUGUUCUUAGGGUCACAACCGGUGACAAUUCGCCAUUCAUGUUUUUCUAUUGCAGGAUAAGCUAUUUUUAAAGGCAUUUCUCCAACAAGUUCAUCCCAACGGGCUUCAAUAAGAUCCAUAAUAGCCACUGAUUGCUCUGGUGUUGCAAGAGAAGAUAAAAUUGCUAUACAGUUACCUAAACAAAACCAUCGGAAAUCCAUCCUAGCAGGACUAACAUUCCCAAUAAAGUAGCCACCACGUGUUGGCAUAAAAUCAAAUAUCCAGUCAGGGAUAGAAUCGGGAAUAACAUUAAACUUAUUUACUGCAGUGUGAGAGUACUCCUCAGUCUUAUAUCUGUAAAUAUCAUUUAGUUGUUGAAAGUCAAGCCAAAAGUAACUACGCAUGUGAUAGCUCAAGGCAUGUAAACGCUUCUCAAUUCUUUCAAUGCAAUCUUUUCCUUCGGCAUCUUGCUUCAGCAUUGAUAAUGCACACCUCAGAGCCAUAUAGAAAAGCGCUUGAAUUUCAAUAGGAUAACCAUAAACAUCCUGUAAAAUAAGUUCACAUCAUAAUUGGAACAAGCAAUUAAGACUCCUUGGUCCCAUAAAGGGAAGGACUGGUGACGAUAAAUACAAAAAUAUCAAUCUCCAUCACCUCUGUUUGAUUUUCUAUUCAGAAAAGAAAGAAAAUAAGGAGUUCAUAAAGCACUAAUGCAAAUUAACUUCUUAAGUAUUUUUCAUCAGCAUAAGUCAUCAAGUAAGAGGAAAAUUUGAAGAAUUCAUUUAAGAUCCAUUUACCAAUAAAAAAAAAGGGGAAGACAAUAGCUAAAAAGAUUUCUAGGGAAACAUGAAUGCAACAAUUAGUACUAAAGUACAAGCAUAACUUGGUGAUCAAUCUUCAAUAGGCAAAUACAAUUUAGAAUCCAGAUACAAAUUGUUUCCUUGAUGAAUAUUUAACACCCCAAAAUCCCAUAUUGGAAAUUUGUAAUGAAUUAAGGAAUAUAAAUAGAGACCUAAGUGUAACAAUAAGACAAAAACUGUAACACCCAAUUGGCCAAAACAUACCAUACCUCAAAGGUUGGGUCAUCACUAUAGAAGAACAUAAAGAACAUUGUUCCUUAAUAGUUAAUCAAAGCCAAAAGAGCAUUUGAGACAAACAAUGUAUUAUUGGUAAACUAUGACUAUUUUACACAUAUAUUCAUAUCAUAUAUAUGAUAUUAAAUAAUGCCAAAUUCACUUGCUUGAUUGGCUUACCAAGCCUCUACAAGAUUGGUUAUCAAUUAAGAGUAUGUUUCUUUAUGUCAUACUGCUCUAUUCUAUCUGCUAUUCAGCAGUAGCAAUAAAUAAUAAUUGGAUGUACAUUAUUUUUUGCAUUAAUUAUCCAUAUCUAUCCAAAUUCCAAUUUUCAUAAUGUUAGACACUUUUUAUUUCUCAACUUCCUAGCAUAUCUCACAUAAAAUAACUACAAGACUGGUAAGGAAACUUAAGAAAAGGAAAGCACACAAAGAUGCACAAAAUAGAGGGAAAGAUUAAGAAGUGAAGGCUGGGUUACCAUUCUUCGAUCGAUCAUAGAGCAUCCAUCAGCACAAAGCAGUGUUGGAAAUGUAUCAAAUCCUUCUGCUAAACACAGAGUAAGUAUAAGCCUCAUCCCUUUUUGACACUCAGGCCUCUCAGCUAGUGAUAAAUCCCCAGUAGAUUUUGUGUAUGCACGGAGCAGAAUGAUCCACCAGAAUCCAGAGUCAACUGGAGCAACUCUUCCAAUGGCACUCUCUCCAAAAUCAGCAAUAAUCGUGUCCAAUUUACGUACAGGGUCAUGUAGAACUUUGAAGCUAGCUGGCAUUGCUCCUUCUCCUAGCUUGAACCUAUCUACUUUUUUCUCCCACCCUUGAAGUUGUAGAGUCUUCAAGAGAAAGUUCUUGACUAUUUCAGGCUCUCCAUUCAUCAGAAAAGCCAAAGCACUAGGUACAAAAUCUCUAACAAAAACCUGAACAAAUCAACAAUUUAUUAAAACAUGAACAGUCCAAGAAAUUUUCAAUAUCAUAACUCACCAGAUGGUAAUAGAUUUUCGGCAUUAAACAUAAUUGCAGAUAUUUUGAAUUUUCCUCAAUCUUUAACUUAAAUAAAAAUAUUUUAAAAACAAAAAUGUCAGUGAUCAUUUAACUUAAUCUUCCCAUUUUCCCUACCAAACCUCAUUUUAACAAUCAGGAUUCCUAAUUCAUUUUAAAGUUCAAUUAUUGUUCAUGUUUGGCGUUAAGUUUCACGUAGUCAAAUUUAUUCAACUUGGACCAAGGUUUGUACCAUUAAAUGAUCUAGUCUCACAUUCAAUUAAGGCCUGAGUUUGUUAUAACCUUAUAUCCAGGAAAGCUUUCCAUUUAUGGCCGAUUAAUUUUAGGAUGGAUGCUUAACAAAUGAUCAUAUUCAAUAAUAGAUGUCAUAAUUUAUAAUUUCAUAAAUACGCAACAAGAAUUUCAAUACUCCUAAAAAGGAUGCCCACUAUCUGAUGAGAACUUUACCUGAUCAUAGUUCAAAACUUCCUCGGAAGCAUGAUCAUACGCAGCAAUGGUACCAACUGGUUGGCCUCUGAAAUACACCAAAGUCCUCCUGAGAGCCUCCCACGCUUCAGCCACAAUGGGGUGCGGAUCAAAGGAAUUUCUAUCCCAAGAAGCCGGAGUAUCAAUACCUGACCUCCCGCAGGGCGAGUGCAUGCCCUCAUAAUUGUCAUAACUCCCUCUUGUGAGAAUAAUAGGGAGCUCACUGAGUGACCUUUCAUCAAAUGAUCUUUGCCUCUCUAUGUUAAGCCUCGGCUUAUCAAGGAGGCGUGAGAGAUCAUGAUCAUCCAUUUCAGAGAGGGAACAAAUAGAGCUCACAUUUCUAAGUCCCAUCACUUUAGUCCCAUCCAUUUUCUUUGUCUAAAUUGCACAAAAAAUACAACUCUCAAGUUUCAGAAGAAGAGAUUUAUGCUCAAAAAAGAGAAGAUAAAAGGAUUAGAUCCCAAAAUAUUUUAGAUAACAGCAAUACAAGAGUAGCAAAGAAACAUUCUUAUAUAGAAACUGAAAUGCUAAGACUAUAUCUAAAAGUUGAUGAAAUAAAAGCCUUGCUUUGUUAUCCAUUCAACAAUCAUUUGCGCCAAUCACGGAAAUGGCUUAGUGGCAAACUUGUGUAGGUUUCAAGUUGAUUGGCAUGAGAUCAGGAUCCUUGCGUUUUGGAAACCCUUUUCCCCUUCCCAUUGAAAUGUUAUAAAGAUGAAACAAUCAUUUGCCUUUUUGUCACAGUGCAGAGAACAAAAUCAAAUUUAAUCAACAAAAUCAUCAUUUAUAUGGAUAUGAGGAUAAUGGACAUUAAAUGAAUAUGUUUUGAGUAAUUUACAGCAUUAUACUUUACUAAAGGAAAACAAAUUAAUCAAGACUAAGAAAAAUUGAAGGAAACAGAUUAAGCUGCAGAAAAACCAACAAAGAGUAUGAAAAACAAAUAAACAAAAGAAAUAGUACAGAUGAAGUCACCUGAAAAGUAAAACCAGAUCUGAUAGUCAGCCAAAACAUCAAAGAAACAAAUCAAAACACCGAAACACCUCCCAAAAAAGGAAAAAGAAAGUAAAGAUUCAUAUAAUAAUAAGGACAGGAAAAGCAAACCUUUAAGAAAGCAAAGAUGUCGGAGAAGUGAAAUCUCAGGCAAGCCCAACAGAGAUAAAAUUACUGAAUAUUUGGCCGGGAAAUGGUCGGAGAAAGGAAAAAACAAAAACAAAAAGGAGAGAAAAGAAAGGAAAAUGAAAAAAAGAGAAGAAAAAACAAACAUGCCGUGAAGAUAUGAUAUUUAUAGAGUGAGGGAAAGAAAAGACUUUUGAGAAAGAAAAACAAUUGUAGUAAUAAUUACAACCGUACGACUACCGUGUCUUUCUCUGCCCUUUGAACAACAUAAAAAGGAAAUGAUGGGAUGGGACUAAGUUUACCGGUAAUAGCCGGUGAAAGCAAGUGUAAAAUGUCCCACGCGUUACCCGACAACAUUGUUUGGAAAUAAAGCAGAAGUUUUAUUUUCACCUCUAUUUAUUUAAUACAUUUGAUUUUCCAAUUUUACAAAAAAUAUAUUUUAACUUUUAUUUAAUUUUUAUAAUAAUUAUUAAUAAUUUUAAAUAAAUUUUUAAAAAUUUAAUUAAUUGUUGACGUAGUAUACGUGAAUGUCAUGUCAACAGAGUUAAGGAUAUUUAUUUUUAAAUGAAUUAUUAAAAUAAUUUUUUUUUGUAAAGUUAAAAGUUAUUUGCAUAGGUUGGGUUUGUUUUUUCAACUCUUAUUGUAUUCGUUAAGGUAUCUUUCUUAUUGAUAUUGAUAUGCAUGGAUGUUGAUAUAUUUUGAUAUAUUGUUUUGGAUUAAUUGAUGUUUAUAAAUGUUUUUCACACAUAUAUUUAUAGUUUAAUAUUUAGUCAUUUAAUAAGUUAUAUGUAUUAUAGAUACAUGUAAAUAUAUUUUAAUUACAUGUAAAAAUAUUAUAUGUGUAGUCUAAUUUUUAGUUUCUUAAUAUCAAAAUUGUGUACCAACUAAUAUGAAUUGGUACCCACCAAUAUAAGUCAGUAUUGGCUAAAACGGGUUGAAACACAUUGAAACAGUUGAAAUGCAUCAAAAUUGAACCUAGACUACUUGGUACCUAUUGAAAAUAGAAACAGUAUGUACUAGUGUCACAAAACUAGAACUUUAGUUUGGCAAACAAUGCAGUCUUAGGUAAAAAGUUAGCUUCAAAUCUGCCUCAGUUAGCUUAACUCUCGGAAGAUGAGAAUUCUCACAGAAAUUUUCUAAUGCACCAAAAUAAAACAGAAGCAAACUCAAAAUGAAAGAACUAAAAAAGCCACAAAAUAAUGCACAUAACGCGUUUGAAUAAAUGCUAUCAAAUUCUCUCAAAUAUAUUUUUAACUCAAGGAUGAAGUGAUUACAAAUGAAGUGCGAAGGCUCUAUUUAUAGUUAAGGUCCCUCAGAUCCAACAGUAUAGAUGGGAUUAUACCAAUGGCUGGGAUUAGUGCCUAUCACAAGAGCAUUAAAGGAUUUAAACUCUCUAUAUUUUUAUCCUUUAAGAUAAUUAUCCUGGUAAAAAAAAGUUACGGAAGUGUUUAUAAUUCAACUAGAAUUCAAGUAGACGGGCCUUAAGUCUCUUUCAAACAAUGGGUUAAUCAUGUCGGGCAUGAUCCCAAGUGAAAAUGAAGAGUUUGAAAUAUGCGUCUCAAUUACGGGUUCCUUUACGCGGCCCGUGACACUAGUCGAUAUGAUUGGUAUCGGUAUAGUACCGACUACCUCGCUCUUAAUUGAUUUUGGUUCCUAAAUCUAAUUUUGGGUUAAUCUACUUGGAUUCAAUGUCUAAUUUGUUUCCCUAAUUUCUUUUGUUUCACUUUUCUAACGUUCAAUUUGGUACCAAAGAUUUUUGAAUUUAAUACUUUGAGUUUUCUUUUUGUGUGUCUUAAUUAAGUAUUUAAGUUUAGCUUCAAUAUUCAAUUUAGUAUUUAAAUUUUUUUGUCCCAAUUAAGUACUUAUGUCUUUUUACUAGAGCAUACGAGUCAAAUAUUCAUUAGAUCACAUAAUAUCCUUUAGCCUAGAUAACAGAUUAAACAUCGAAGCCAAGCUCAUAUACCAAAUUGAGACAAAAAAAAUCAGGUACCAAAUUAAUCAUUGACAUCAAACACAUGUAACAAAUGGUAUAUUAUUCAAGCCUAAAAUAAUUAAAAGUUAAUUGAAAUUUUCUAAUUUAUUUAGAUAAUUUUUUACAUUUUUAAAUAUUUAAAAUAAAUCUUUAACUUUUAAUUUAUAGUAAAAUAAGCUUCACUUUAAUUUAUAUUUAAAUAAAUUAUUAAUAAAAAAUAUUUAUUUUAAAAUAAAUCAGAUGAAAAAUAUUAUUUUUAUUUACAUGAAUUAAUUUAUUUUUUAAUAUCUUAGUUUUUAAGCCUUUUGUAGUCAAUUAUAAUUUCAUUUAAUUUUGAGUACUUGUCUUUUUUAGGUUUGAGUACUUUUGUUAAUUCUUUUAUUUGCUUUUAAAUUUAGAUUUAUACUUAAUCUUUAUUCUUAUUUACUUAACGCAAAAAAAAAAAUUAAUUUUUUAUCGUCAAUAAAAUUUUACAUUUUAAUAUAUUUAAACAAAGCAAGCCUUUUGGGUUGAUGUCCCAUUACAAGUUUGGCAUAAGAGGAUUUCUUUUUCUUUUUCUUUUUUCUACUAAAAGAUGGAUACAUUUAGCUUUACAAGCACCGCUAGCUUUGUCGUGAUGUAAGGACGUCAUCAAACACAUGUAGACUUGUCUUCCAGCUUAAAGUCAAUUUAGUCAAGCAAUUAACAACUUGAUUAUUUUCUCUAGGAAUAUAACACCCCAUACCCGGCCUAGACGACAAGGCCAAGUCUAAAGAGUUACAUCUAAAAUCACACAAAACAUAACUUCUGAAUCUUAGUUAAAAGUCUUUUCAAAGCAAACCAGAGUUUAACAAACAUAACUCGUAGUACAAAAACUAGUAUCUUAACCAUCAUAUGUCUUGAAGCUACUGAAAAUAAGCCAAUGGUAAUAAUAAUAAUAAUAAUAAUAAUAAUAAUAAUAAUAAUAAUAAUAAUAAUAAUAAUAAUAAUAAUAAAGCAGAUAAAUAGUAUGACCGAGCUCCCGAUCCGCUGACUCGAUUAAGCCUAUGGGUUACUUGUAAUUCAGUCAACAGAAGAAAUGAAUUAAUGAUCUUAUAAAGAAAUAACUAUAUGUUCAAAUAGAUUUAGGUUAGAAUCAGUAAAGUCCCAAAUUCGAGUUCAGAAUAGAAAUAGAUCCAGUAGGUAAAUCAUUUAGUUUAACAGAACAAAACAGUUCAGACAGAUAGUAAGCUAGAUUAUUCUCAGAUACAGAGUAGAUAAGAAUAGAUGCAGUUUUCAUAUUCCCCACCGUUACACACCAUCUUUGACCAACCCAACACACCAAAUAAGGUAUUGAAUACUCAUCCAACCCUACACACCACACAGUGUUGGUAUGACACAUUCCGAUAAUUGCAUACUAGUUACCGGAUCAGAAUACAGAUACCAGUGAUUUAGCCACUAUCUCAGAACAGAACACUUCCUCAUUUGCUCAAUUCCCACCCAAUGCAGAUGCAAAUUUCAAAUAUUAGCUAAUACAUAGGCCUACUCGACCGUUCAGAUACACUUCAUGUUUGUACAGAAUAAUUAAUAUCAUUAACAGGCAUUACACGUAGUACACACACACACACACACACAGAUUUCCAGUACUUAGUCUCAGAUCACAAAAUGACAAUUUAUAUAGUUUAAGUUAGAUCGUACGGGCCCCACAUAAGGCCUACAUUCAUUUCAAACAACGCUUGUAGCCCAAGAGAAAAAAUUCACAUUUUUGGUCCACACGCCUGUGUGAUUUCACACGGCCUGGAUAGCUGGCUUGUGUGGCUCCACAAGGCCUAACACACGCCCGUGUCACCUGCCCGUGUGGUACUAAUUCGCAAACAGUGAGUUACACAGCCUAGGCACACGAUCGUGUCUUUAACCCGUGUAAACCCUGCGCUAAAAAUCCCCACACACGGUCUAGACACACGUCCGUGUCCUUAGCCUGUGUGUCUCCAAUUUAUGAACAGUGAGUUACACGGCCUACCAUAAAGCCAUGUGGCUCACACGGUUUGGCACACGACCGUGUGGCGUUAACAGUUUCAUUUUCUGACAACUAAAACUCGAAGAAGAAGGGGUUUUCAGUACCCACCUGAUGUAAUGUCGGCGCAAGGGCAAUCCUGAGACUCCCACAACCUAAAAACAAUAUUCAAUCACUCAAUUAACUCAAAAAACACUCGAUUAGAGCACAAAACCAAAACUCGUCGAAGAUUUUGACACAAACUUCCAAUUAAACAACAACAAUUCCUUUGCACAGGACAACCAAAUCGCGAGAGGCGGAUGUUGGGGAAACGUUAUCCACGAGACCUCCUAACGGACCACAAUCGAACAUAUAGAUAAAGAAUUCGGGCGAAAUAAUCAGAAAAUCCACGUUUGACAGAAACAAAUAAUAGCGAGAGUUAACGAAAAUUCAACAAUAGAACUUACAAAUUUACCUCUCGAUCGAUGCAACGACAACCUAGAAUUCUUAAUUUGGCCUGAUACAGUUACAAAAACAAGCAAAAAGAAAAAGAACAAGGAAAGAAAAGAAAAGAAAGGAAGAAGGAAAAGAAAAGAGGAAGAAGAAAAGAACUAACAUGAAACUAAUUUUAAAAUUUAAAUCAAAACUGACAAACUUCACUAGGCAGCAAAAUAUUUCCUUAACGCAGAGACUCGAACAUAAGUCCAAAAGAUAUACAAAAGUUUAACCAUUGAACCAAUAUGCUCAUUCUUAAUAUAAAAUUGCGCAGAAUUAAACUCAAGUUAAUAGUUCAAGAGUAGUUUCUAAAUGCACAACUUGAACCCCUAACCUCAAACACAUACGUAAAGUACAUAGUCACAAAUACAUAAAUUUAAUUACAAUAGAACCCAGCAGUCAAAUAUUUAAAAUUUAGGACAUUACAAGGUACAUAUCUAACCAACCAUUGUGCUUCAAUUCACAAAACCUAUUGAACAUGUCUAAGCACCAUAUAUAGUACCUAAAUCCAACUGAUAGAAUAGAUCUCAACCUGCUACAAAUUUUAGAGCACAUAAAAAUCAUAAUACUAAAGAACAUAAUAAAGAACUUCACUAUGAAAACAGUGAAUAUCAGAGAAUUGUAAAGCUGAUUUACAAAAAAUUUAAAAGCUUACUUGUAAUAUAUUAUUUGAUAUUCAAGUUUAACGUGUUAUUUGUAUUAUUUUUUUGUCUAAUUUAAUAUAUGUAUUUUUUUUCAUUUUGAUAUUUAUGUUCAACAAAAUUUAUAUAUUUUAAUAUUCAAAGGUAACAUAUUUAACAUUUUAGUCUUUAAUUUGAAUUUUAGGGUUGAUUUGAUGAAAGGUUUCUAAUAUUAUUAGGUUUGAAUUUUUAAUUAUUUUAUUAAGAGAAUGAAUUUAGUGUUAAUUGUGAAUUUUUUUAAUUUUAUGUUUAAUUUAUCAAAUACAUUCCGAUGAAUGUUUUUUAAUUUGAGUUUUAGGAUUGAUUUGAUGAAAGUUAAUGGCUAAUAUUAUUAGCUAAUUAUAAAUUUUCAGCAAAUCAACUCUAAAACACGAAUUAAACACUAAAAAAUUAAUAAUGUUUACUUUCAUAAAUCAGAACGCAUAAAUUUUGUCAAAUACAAGUACCACAUUAGAAAAAAAUGUCAAACUCAAGUAUCAAAUUAUGUAUUAAGCCUAUACAAGUCUAUUCAAUAUAUAAGUAAUUGAGACUUGCUAACAUACUAUUUCAAUUACAAUCAAUCUUCCCUUGAAAGCAUAAAGAAUAUCUUCAAAUAAUUUAAGAUGUACCAAACGUUAACUUUUUCAUCAAUUUUGAGGUGAUUUGACCAAAAAAAUGCAAAUUUAAUGACUAAAAAAGGCGAAAAAUUAAAUAGAGAGCUAAAAUGAUAUUUUCUAUAAAGUUGAAGGACCAAAAAAAUCAUUAUGCAUUUCAUUUAUAAUAACUAUAUAUUAUAAUUUAGUUUGUACUUCUUUGUAUUUGUGGAUGAAUAGGAUUUUUUUUUUGUAAAUCAAUGGUGUUUUUUUCUAUAAAAAAAAGGAAUUCCAUUUCAUUUAUAAUAAAUCAUUGGAUUAUAUAUAAAAAAAUCUUUAAACAUAUAAAAAAAUUAAUUAAGCCCUUGUAUUAAAUUUGCAUCUGAUUAAGUCCUUUCCAUUAAUUAAAAUAAUCAAUUAAGUCCCUCAGUUUCGUCAUUGACCACGUUGAUCAUUAAAAUAAAUUGAGUGACCAAUCAUAUGAUGAUAUGUGUCAACUUCUACUUUAAUCUAAUAUUUUCCCUUAAAAUAAUAAAAAAAGAAAAGUAUAAAAAUUAUUAAUUAUUAAUUAUUAAAAAAAUGAAAAUUGAUAUAAACUUAUAAAAAUUUAUAAGAAUUGUAAAAGAUAUAAAAAAUCUAACAAAUUAUAAAAAUAACCAAAAUAUUUAAGAUAUUAUAAAAACAUAUUAGAAUUCUAUAAAAAUCAUAAAAAAUAAAAAAAAUAAAAUUGAUAUAAAUUAUAAAAUUAUAAAAAAUCAUAAAAACUUAAGUUAAAUUAGAAUAGUUGAUUGGACCGAUUAGAUCGAAACCAACAAGGGUGUCGUUCUGGAAAAAAACCAUUAAACUAAUUAACUUGAAAACCGAAUAAUUGAACCAAUUUUUUAAUUUUUAUUCAAUUGAUCUAAAUGGAUCAAUUAAAUUAAUAAUCCAAUAACUUAACCAAUUCAACCACAUGUUUAAUUCUGAGUGGGGUAGAAUUAGAAGCAAACCAAACAAUCACUGCAAGAGCAUAUGGAAAUAUGCUACAGCUCACACUAUCUAGACUUACCUUGUAUGCCCACUCAUCCAUCAUUUUUUCUCUAUCUUACCCACACUAGCAUUCUAAUAUUUCCUUCUCUUUUUCUUUUCUCCAACAAGUUGUGCAUCCUAAAUAAGUUCGUAAUAACCAUGAAUCACUAUAAGAUUAUUCUUCAAUGUCAUAAUCAAAGAGAUGUUUUUAGCAUUUUUUCCCUUCAUUUUACUAGGGUCAAAUCGUUCUCCACAUUGAAAAACCUGUACAACAACGUGACAUGCCCACGUAUCAUUAAUCUAAUCCACAAUACCCUUUCCAUAUGAAUAUAAUCCCCCUUAAUCUGUUUUCUUUUUAUAGAUGCACAAAAAUUUUAUCAUACUUGCUUCUAUUUUCAAAUCUCACACGUGUUUAUAUUAUAUCGUAUUAAAUUGUCAAGGUUAGGUAACUCUACCAAAUCCUUUAAUAAACUAAAUUUAUUUUUUCUACAGUUCCUAAGACUUAUAUAGGAAAUACGUCUGAUUAAAACAAAAACAAUAUAGCAUGUAAAACCCCAAAAAGAUGAAUAAGAACUCAACUACCUUCCUAUGAGCCAUCACAAAACAAAUUUCUAUCAUCAAAAUUCUAAGUAGUGGUGGUAUGCAAAAACGUAAAGAACUGGCAAAACCCAUAGUUAAUACCACAGUCGAUGGUGCAUGAUAAAAGAUAAGCGGCGUGACAUAACUGUAGUAUUUGAACGGCGCUUGAAAUGCAUUGUUACAUUGUUCUUUUUCUUUUAAUUUCUCUUCCUCCAUUUAUUUGAUUGAGUAGAUUUGAGCAGGAUAAAAAACAGAUUCAACAGCUAAAGCUUGUUCGAAAGUUUUGAUCUUAUUGAGUGCAACCAUAGGUAGGAGCUAUCAAAAUUUUAUGAUUAAUUUAAGAGAGAAAAUUAACAAAUCAAAUCAUUUAUUUUUUUACAAUUACAAACAUUUUAAAAAAUAUAUUUUUUUAUAAUUUGUAUACUUUUUAAUACUUUUUACUAUUAUUUUGAAUUUUAAAUUUUAAAAAAUUAAUUAAUUGUUAGCAUUGCAUCCAUGUGUAAUUUAUAUACAUGUCAUGUUAACAAAAGUAAUAAAUAUUAACUUUUUCAUUUAUUUUUAAGUGAUUUCACAAACGGUCUAAACCUAAGAACUAAAAGAAUAAAAAAAUUAAAUAUAAGACUAAAAUAACUUAGUUAUAUCAUCUCUUUAUACUGCAAGAGAGUAAUGUAUAAAGCAAGAGUGGACUUGUUCAUUGUCCAUUGAAUAUCAAUAUAGAAAUAAGGCUUUUAGGGGCUAAAUUUAGAACAUAGAGGCGUGUUUGAAAAUAACAUAUAAUAAAUAUUAAAAUGUAUGGUUUAAAACUAAUUAAUAUAACACAUAAAAUAUGUACGAUAUUAAAAUGGAAAAAAAUAAAAUUCAAUCGUGAGUAAAAUGUAGUUUAAACACGUAAAUACAUCAUAUUAAGAAUACCAAUAAGUGAACCCAAGUUGUGGUCUAUUUGCCAAGUGUUUAUCUUCAUCAGAAAUAGCCUAGGUUUGAACCAUCACUUAACAAAAAAAAAAAUACUAUUAAUGAGUACAAUUGUUUAUCAUGGUGUUGUCACAAUUUUGAGUCGAUAUCGAGUUAACUUUUGGCACCAACUCAAUCAACAUUAUUAAUACUAAAAAUUCUAUCACAUACGUAUGUAUGUGAAAAUUACCUACUUAGAAAAUAGAGGGGUGUUUAAAAAUAAUAUAAAUAAAUAAUAACAUAUGAAAUAUGUAUAAUAUUAAAAUGAAAAAAAUAGAUUAAAUUGUGAGUGAAAUAAAAUUUAAACACGUAAAUACAUUACUAAAAAUUCUAUCACACACGUAUAUAUGCAUGUGGAAACCAUUUAUUUAGAACAUAAAUUUAUGUUUAAAAAUAACAUAUAGUGAAUAUAUAAUGAAAUGAUCAAUAUAUACAAUUAAUUGAGGUAAUAAAAUAUGCAUAAUACAAUUAAAAUGAAAAUAUUAUAUUAAAUAAAGCUUUGAUUCAAUGGUAAAGAUUAUAUUUUAUUGAUAAAGAUGGUAGAAGUUCAAAUUCAAUCACAUUCAAAAUUUUUAUUGAUUUUUUAAAAAAAAAUAAAAGAUUAACAUAACCUUGAAUAAUAUGACUUAUUUUAUUACGAAGGGACAUUUUUAUAAUUUUCAUAACCGAGUCCCAACUCAGUUAUUAAAUUAUCAAAAUGCCCUUAUUUUAACAAAGUAAUAAAUGUUAAUUUAAGGAUAUUUUUUUCUUUUAAAUAAAUAUAAAAAAAUUUAAGUUUGCGAUGAGAUCUGAACCCAAAACACCAAAAAAUGCACUCUCCCAACUUUGCCAUUUCAACUAAAUUAAAUAAGAUUUAGUUUAUAAGUGAAUUCUUAAUAAAUAUAUGUUACAUAAUUAUUUUCAGUUGGUAUGCAAUAAUUAUUUUUCAAUAAAAAUACAUAACAUUUUAUAAAAAAAUACAUACAAAAUUAUCAAAAUAUAUUUACUUUCUCAUUUCCUAAUAUGAUAUUUAUUUAUUAAAAUAAUACUUUUAUAAAUAAAAUAAUUUAAAGAAAAAAAUAUGAAAACUUAAGCAGAUUCAACAACCGUCAUGUUCUAGUUGAGUCAAAGAUUUACAUCCUAUGACUGAAAAGAGUAAAAAUAAAUAUCUUUAAGUUAUUUUCUAGAACAAAUUUACUUCGUUUGAAGUUGAGCUUGCGUUUGAGAUUUGUGGUUGGGUCAAAGACUACAAUUUUUUUUCCUUUUUCCCAAUAUAAACAUUGUCGAUUUGUUUUUUUUAAUUUCUCUUCCUCCUUUUAUUUUAUUGAGUAGAUUUGAGGAGGAUAAAAAAUAGAUUCAAUAGCUAAAGCUUGUUCGAAAGUUUUGAUCUCAUUGAUGGCAACCAUAAAUUUUACGAUUAAUUUAGGAGAGAAUGUAAAAAAUAGAAUGUCGGUAAUGAUAAUAUAUUACAAAAAAAAGAGAAAUAAAAAUAAAGAACACAGAUUUUUAUGUGGAAACUUUUUUGGGAAAAAACCACAGAGGAGAAGAAACUUUACUAUGUCGAAUUCGAAUGAUUACAAGAGAAAUAGACUAUGUCUAUUUAUAGGCUUGUAAAACCAUAUUCUAAUAGGAGUGUAGUAAGAUUGAAACACCUUAUUCUAAUCAAUAUCAAAUAGAUGAAGUUUAAUAAGGUUUAAAAAACCUUAUUCUAAAAUAAAAUAAAAGAAGUAUAAUGCUAUAAGGAUUUUAUUUUUUAUUUUAUUUUACCACCGUAUUUUAUUUAAAUAAGGAUUCGGGUCACUUAGUUCUAACAUAGAAAAUUAACAAAUCAAAUCAUUUAAAAUUUUUUAUUUUCUCUUUAGAGCUUAAAUUCGGAUUUGAUAUAAUAUUUUUUUAUAUUUAUAGUAUUUUAUAUUUAAAGUUUUUAAAAGUUUGACUUUAUUUAAAAUCACAUAAAAUGUUUAAAAAUAAAUUUGUCUUUAUCAAACAAUCCAAUAAUUUUCAGUAAUAAAUUUUAAGUAAUAUAUCAAAUAUAUUUUAUAACUUAAAUUUAACAAUUAAAUUUUUCGUAUUUAAAUUUUCAAUACUUAAAAUUUUAAUUUACCAAACAAAACAUUAAUUCAAUAUUUAAACUUUGGGUACAACUUUAGAGCUUAUCAAACAGCACUUGAGUUUAUAUUUUUUUUAAAAAUAAUUUAAUAAAAAUAAUUCUUAUAAAAUAAAAUAAAAUAAAAUAAAUAUUUAUUUUAAAUUAUAACUUGUAAAUUGUAAUUGUGGUAUUGAAUUAUAUGGGAUGCAGGCGGGCUCUGUGAAUCUCAGAACUCUCCCCAUUGAUUCUAAAAAGGUUCAGUUUCAAGGCGAAGGCAAGACCCAUUUGAUAUUCCUAACUUGCAUUUUAGACGCAUCACAAAUCAAAAUGAGGUCAUUCAAUACGAUAUCAUUAAAUUAUUUCCACCAGUUUUGACCCCAUUUUUUAAAAUUUUAUAUUCACCUCCAAAUAAUAAACUAUGGCUUCACCCCUUAAAUUUUAAAAUAUUAAUAUCCCUCCUAUAGUCAUCAAUGAACCAAGUAGCCUCUACGACAGGGAUGAGCGUCAUCAGGAUGGAUCCAGGGGUAUGCGGGGCGGUAUCUUGAAAUUUUUAGAUUUUUAAAUUAUAUAUAUAAAUUUUCAUGUUCAUAUUGUAUAAUAUUUGUCUCUUUUAGUCAAAUUAAUUCGAAUUUUUACCAAAUAAAAAUGUCUCAUUCUAGUAUGUUGAAAGAAAAUGUAAAUUUUCUCAGCAUAUUAUAUCUUUUAGGAGGUUGAUUACAAAAACAAAAGCUAAAAAAGCCAUAAAACGUCACCAAAAAUGAUAAUAUAAUUUUGUAUAUAUAAUGCAGAAACCGACAACCAUUAGCAUGUAUAUGACAAAUUAAAUUUCCAUAGUCCGCUUUCAGUUCCAUCACUUCCAUGUACUAUCAUAUGACAAAGGAUUCAUUCUUUCUUUUAUCGAUACCAUGUCAUGUGUACUGUAUCAGAAAAAAGUGUUUUCAGAUGGAUGAAUGAAUUGAUUACCAACUUGCUGAGCCUAAAACCAAAAGCUAGUUACAGCUAGUGCUCAAUUCCACGUCGGCCUCAUCUGCAUGGUCCGUGCCUUCAUGGCUGAUGCCUUUUGGAUUGAUUUCGAAGUAACAAUUGUUUGAAGUUGACGUGUACAUAUAGACAUGUAUGCUAAAAUAAAUAGGAUGGCCGAUGUGUCAGUUAAGUUGGAGCCCAAAUAACCGACAUGAACUUCAAUAAUUUAAAGUGGGGUUGUAGUUCGUUUUCAAGCCCUCUAAGACCUUAUGGCAAGUUUUUGUCAUUGGUAAAUCAUAAAUGUGGUUUUUGAGUUGGAGGAAUGGAGGGUAUGCCAAUACCAGACUGCAAGUGAAAAGAGCUCGACUCGCUUUCUUUCUCUCAAUGUAUAAUAUUCUCCAUAUUUCUUUCAGACCUUAUCUUAAUUUCAUGAGAUAUGGGAGGCACGUGGCUUAUAUGAACUCUGCAGCAUGCAUGAACGCAUAAAUCUGUUCAUAUGAUUAAUGUAUUUAAUUUAUAUUUAUCUUAUCAAAUCAUUAGUGCAAAUUACAUUAGUAGUCAUUUAACUAUAAUUUUUUUUAUCACUCAACUAUGGAAAGUUAGAAAAUAGUCAUCCAAUUAUUCAAAUUUUUUUCACUAUCCGACUAACGUAAAAAUGAAAAUGCCAAAAAAUCUAAGAUAAUUGAGUAACUAAAAAAGAUGAAGCUAUAGUUGAGUGAUCAUUUUUCAUAAUUGAGUGAUGAAAAAAACAUAAUUGGAUGACUAAUAAUAUAAAUACGAAUAAAUAUGAAUGCAUUUCGUAUACCAAUAAUCUACCACGUGGCCUACACAUCACGUAUAAGUAUAACAAGUCUAUUUUGCAUGGAAGAAACAAUUAGCAGGACAUAAUUCAUGGAAGAAACACGACAUCACGUGUUUUGAAACUAUGUUAAAUGAUGAGUUGAAAAUGGUUUUUAAGGAAGUGCUCAAUGUAUAAAUUUAUUUAUAUUUUGAUAAUGUAUAAAAAUAGAAAUCCAUUAAACUUAAAUGUAAUCCAUUUAAAUACCAAAUAACAAAAAACAAAAUAACUCUUCAUGUCUAAAAACUACCCUCAGUUUAACUUGCAUGGGAUACUUUUCUAAAUCACAGCUUCAAUACAUUAGCAACAGUUGUCCCGGGGAUUUAAUUGUAGCUAGAGAGAAGAACAGUAUAAUCAAAAUCAAUCCUUACUUGUCUGCCUGACCCUCCAUCAAUCUCUGUCUCUCUUUCUCUCUCUCUUAACACCAAAGCUUUUACAUCCUUAUCUUCCAUUAUAAUGAAGGCAAGCCACACCUCCCAACUUCUCUAUAUAUAUACUGUAGAGCAUUCCCUUUUAAUUAAUCCAAACAUCUUUCAUUUUUUUUUCUAUUGAAUACAUAUAUGUAUCUAUAAUUCAUUCCCACACUUUUCAGUUUUCUUUUUCUCGAGUGAUGAUGCGAAAGAAGGUAGAGGUUGAUAAAAGGAGUAGAGCUCCGAAGGGCCAUUUUGUGGUAUAUGUAGGCACUGAAAUGACAAGGUUUGUAAUUCCCACAUCGUUCCUCAACAACCCUAUCUUCCAGCAAUUGCUCGAUAAAGCUGCAGAAGAGUACGGAUUCAAUAACCAGAACAGGAUUCUACUGCCUUGUGAUGAGUUUACUUUUCAAAGCCUUACCAAGUAUUUGGCCAAGCAAUGUCCUUAGACAUCUUUGGUCCAUUUUCAGCUCUUGACAAUAGCUUAAUCAUGGUGAUGACAAAGUUUGUAUUUGUCAAAACCUUGUGUAAUCUGUUAAUAAAAAUGCUCAACUCUUAAUUUUCAAUGGUUAAAAUUCAAUUCAUGCAUAAAAAUAAAACAUCAACUUUAUCUGGUUUGCUAUUAGACCGGAUCAGGCGUAUCAAUUAUGAUUACUUUCCUAUAUUUCAAUAAAUGAAUUAGCUAUAAAAAAUAAUUACAAAUAUUUAUCAUUUAAUAUAAUAAAUAAUUUUAAAUAAUUAUAUAAUUAAUUAGAAUAUUUAUAAAAAGUAUUAUGAUACAUCUUAUUAUUUUAUUCAAUAAAAUUACAAAUUCAUAUUUGUUUAAUAAUUUCAUAAAAAUAAAAUAUUUUUUCUAUUCUCACAUCACCGCUACAAUUUCCCUUUAAUCCAAACACAUAACUCCACCGUGGUUUUAAUCUCACUAGUACACUGAAGAGCGUUAUACUUGUCAGUGUAAAAGGAUAUGGGUUCGAGCACACUGAAGAGCAUUUAAAUAGAAGGAUAAUAUAUUUCAGCGCACUCGAACUCACGCCUACAUUAACAAUAAUGUUGAUGCCAAUAGAGUUAAGACUCAACUAGCAUAAGUAGUUAUUGACAUUUGUAUAAAAAAAAGAAUUAUAGUAUAUUUUAUUUUUUUAGUUUAUUUAAAUAUGUUAAAUAAUUAACUAAUUUAUAAAUUUAUCUUAAUUAAAUAAUUUAAAAGGUUUUAAAUAAAAAAAUUAAAAUAAAUUAACUAAAUGAACGAUAUAUUUAAAAUAAGGAAAUAAAUAAAAAUAAAAUAAUUAAAAGUAAAAAAUCAAAAUGAAUCUAAACAAUGGUAAUAUUGGAACAAGGUGAAACUGACGUGAAGGAUCCAACCUGUUAUAGGGUCAAAGUGGUAAAAGAAAAUUUCCUCCAUGGAGGAGGGUUAUACCAGCCGAAGCUUAAUGCUCCAGUGGAAAAGAAAAAGGGGUGGUGAGGUGAAGCAAUCUCACCCUUGUAAUCCAAAGGCCUUGUUAGUGUGUAAAAAAUACUUUUUACCUAUAAUUAUUGGAGGAGUGGAAAUGCACAAUUCACUCUUAGAGAGAAUAAGAUUUAAAUUUUGAAGACAAUAUUAUUAAAAUAAUAACUCCAAACCCUACUCAUAAAUCAUAAAACGGACAUAAAAAGUAUAUAUAAAAAAAAUAUACUCUUUAAAAGCUAUGAACUGCUUUCUUUUUUCAUCCAAAGAAAACAUUAAUUUAUCGUGAUUUGAUAGUAAAAAAUAAUCUAAAUCUAUACAAUCCAAAAAUAAAUUAACUCGAAACAAUUAAAAUUGAAAAUAAGGUAUACAUUAAAAAAUUUAUCAAUAAAGUAUAAUUUUAUUUUUAAAAAUGAUUUAAUAAAAUAAAUCAAAGCAUUACUAAAAUGUUUGGGUGAAAUGUUUGCUCUGAUAAUAAAAACGCAGGAAUAAAUUGUAAAACUAAAAAAAGAGGACACGCAAGAAUUAUUUUUGCAAUUCAAUAAAGAAUCAUUAAUGGCUAUGAAGCCACACAAAAUAAUAAUAAUAAUAAUAAUAAUAAUAAUAAUAAUAAUAAUCCAUUAAGUACUAAAAAGUAGAAGCAUUAAUAUAGAUUUAGAAAACCUCGAAUUUCCUGGGAUUUUUACAAUCAUAAUGCUAACUUUAUGUGGAUCCAGUGUCUUGUUUGGAAGAGUCUGUGGGCUAUCAAGUAUCAACUACACCUCUCUCAAAUUUUCUUGAUUAAUAGCUUUAUUUGCUCCGAUCAAGUUCAUACUGUGAGAAGAAUCAUUCCACCAAUUUAUCUGUUAGUGUCGGUGAACUUUCUAAAAUUGUCCUCUCAAUAAAAAGUGUGAGAGUUGCUAAGAAUUAUCUGGCUAAUCUAGAAACUUAAUAGCAGCAAUUCGCAAGAUGCAUUAGACUUUUAUUGAUAAGCAGAGGGUUCAAAAUUAUAUUUCUAUCGCACAUUACAUAGUUUCCUUUCCCCAAGAGACUCCCACCAAGAUUACAAAAUCUUUUUUAUGUGCUCAAACAUCCAUAUUCUCAAGUGAUCUUUUUAUUUCUAUCAAAUCUGCAAAUAGUGAACAGUUAAGGGCGACCUAUUCCAACUUAAUAGCUUCAUUGUAAACUAUACUCGUCUCACCAUUCUAUCUGGUGUCCUCCAAGGCCUAACUGGCCCUUCUAACGUUACCAUCAUUUUUCUAGCGUUGCUCAUGUUUCCUAUUGCUACUAGAGCUGUUGUUUUGUUGUUGACUUGCAACUACCUCUAGAGGAUCAACUUUGUAACAACUCGAUUUUCAGUAGUAUUGAAAAAUGUGGUUUCAAAACUCCAUUUUCGUAAAUCGGGUUCAUAAAUAUUAAAUAUGAAUAUUUACAGAGUUGGUGUAAAGGUAUAGUAGAGUUUGGUCUGGUAAUUUUGUUGAUUUAAUAGUUAAUUUAGAUGUAGGGACAAAAUUGUAAAAUUCUAAUCACUAUAUGUUUUUAAUUAGCCAAAGGUUCAAAAUGGUAAAUAAAACAUUUUGUUACAUCAAAUAGUGGAUGAUGAUGUUAACUUCCACUAGUUUUUUAUUAAUGGUGAUUAAGGUUUAAAUAAUUAAUUUAGGUUAAUGAAGAUUUAAUUCAAGUAUAAAAAAUCAAUUUGUGCAAAAUUGUCCUCUUUCUUUCUUCUUCUCCACCGCCUAAUCAUAAAAACCUAAGGGAAAAACCAUUUUUGAAGCUCAAAGCAUUCGACCCUUGAUUGGUAGGUAAAUUCAUGUCAUUUUCUUGAAAUUUUUAUGUUUUUUUAUGUCAAGUGAGCUUGAUUGAGCUAGCUCAUGUACCAAUUUGUAAAACUAUUAAAGUUUUUAAAAAUUUUCAUUGUUGAUUUCUUGAAUAAAUUGGUAUGAAAUUGAUAGAUUUUAAUUUUAGAUUAUGAAAAGGACUAGAUUGUAACGUUUAAUUGUUAGUUUUAUACAUAGGGACUAAAGUGAAUAAAUGUGAAAUUACUGUGAAAUUUUGGUAUAAAUAGAAAACAGAGGGUCCCUAGUGAAUGUAAUUGAAGUUGGUUUUUAAAUCAAGGCUUAAAAUUAGAAGUUAUGACUAUUUUGAAUUUAAGGACUAAAUUGAAUAAAAUGUAAAAUUGAAGGGUACUAAAAAAUAAGAUUAUAUAGGUUCACGCAUGUCAUGGAAUAAUGUAUAAGUGUUCGGUAUUGAUGGAUUGUAUGGAAUAAUUGUAUAGAUCAAGAAUUGGAUCAAAUCAGAGGUAAUCAAGGAAAAUAUAAAAUUGUUGAUUAGUUCUUGAAGGAUCAACUUGUUGGUGUUUUGAUCAGGUAAAUUUAUAUGGUAUUUAUUUAUUUAGGUUGUUAUGUACUUGAAUUGUGCAUAUAAAUGUGUUUGGUUGCAAAUUGAUAUGAUCAGGCUAGAAUUGGACUAAAUUGAAAAAUGAUGUUAAUAUGUGUAAAAGAUAUCCGUGUGAACUUAGUAAAGGUUAGGAUACAAUGGCAAUUGAGUCUUGUGCGUACUUGUAUGGGAUUGAUUACAAAUGUUACAAAGGUCUAGCACUUGUUGCGAAUUCUUAAAUACAUGUGACACAGGUUUAGCUUGGACGAGUAACCUGAUGUGUUGUUAUAAAGGUUUAGUCCUGACGGGUAACCUGACAUGUAUAUAUUCAGCUUAGACAAACAACUAGUGUGGUGUAGAUACAUGUGUAUCUGAGUCUGUUUACUAGGGUCCAUCAAGCAAAUCAAUUUAUAUGAAAUUGAGAAAUUAAAAUGGGAUGAAAUGAACUUGAUAUUCAAAUGAUAAGUUAUUGAAUGAAUUAUGUAAGAAAAAUCGAUUAAAGUGUUGCCUUUGAUAUAUAAGUGAAUGUAACAUCCCUUGAUUAAAUAUGAAUUUGAGAUUGUUACCUAAUAUGACAUGAAUUAGCAUGUUAAGUACUUGUGAUGUUAUAUGGUUUGAUUAUAAGAUAAUACUUAUCUUGUUGAUGUUUAGAUAUGUUAUGUCUAGCCAAACUAUGCUAAGUUAUGGUAGCUUAUUGUAUUUAGAUAAAAGAUAAGAUAAGUUUUCUUUAAUAUCUAUGGACUUACUAAGCAUCUUAUAUGCUUACCUAGUUUGUUUUCCCUUUUCUUUAUAGAUUGCCACAUUGUGGAACACGUCAAGUUGAAUCGUCUCGAAGCUCACACUAUCACUGAAUCGGUAGUUAUAUGAUCAUUUUGAGUCUAAGAGUUGUGGCAUGUAUAUAACUGUCAUGGUGUGUAUCUUAGUAUGAGAAUGUGUUUACUUUUUGUCAAGCUUGUCUUAAAUAUUAUCUACUAUGUUGAUUUGGUGUUUUGGAUUACAUAUGGUGUUGGACAUAUGAGUGCUUCUAUGCUAAAAGAUGUGAUGAUCUAUAAUUAUAUGUAUAGCAUAUGAAAUGACAUAAUUGAGGUAGAAAAUUGAAUUGGUAGCUUGGUUAAUAUAUGAAUGAAUUGAAUAGAUAUUUGGAGAAUAGUACUCUAAAAUGUGCUCGUGAUAUGGAACUUAUAUGUUUAUUAAGUGCAAAGUUGAAUGUAUUGAAGUUGAAAGACAUGUUUUUGAUAGUUUUGGCAUAGGUGAAGUUGUAAUGGAAUGUAUAAAAUGUCAUGAUUUGGUUUUGAAUUGAUUUACGUCAUGGUAGAUUUGGAUCUAGUUAAAAUUGGUUUAGAAACUUGUUGGCAUGAAAUGACAUGAAUUUCUCUUGAUGAUGAUUGUAUAAUAUGGCUUGUUUCAAAUAGGUAAAGUGUAUGACUUGAAUUGGGAUCAAAUGAUUCAUUUUUGCCAAAAAUAGGGGUCACGUCUUGAUGACCAACCUACUUCGUCGCGAUUUCGCGUCGCAACGUCGGCCAAUAGUAAGCGACGUCGCGACGUUGAGUGGCCUGAGAUCAUAACGUGACCUACUAUUUUGGCGACGUCACGACGUGGAAGAGAUGACAUUGUAAUGUCGGCCUUGAACUUCUAAAAUUUUACAAUUUGGUCCUAAUUCGUACUCGGGCUGACAAAACAGCUUUCGUAAACUCGAUUAAGACUCAUAAUUGAUUGUUUAACAUUAAUUGAAUGUGAUUGACACUUAAUUGCAUGUGUGAAUGAUUUUUUUUAAUGCGUAUUCGACUAUAAUUACUCCGAAAACAAAAGUGACACUCCAUAACUCGGACCUGACGAUCAGGUCGGGUGAAGGGUGUUACAAGCCUCCUCCUGCACUGGAUUUCCACUGCCUUAACCUCAGCCAUAUCCACGAUUGGUUUGCUUAAAAGCAUCAUCUUUUUUCUUUAUUAUAUGAAACUUGAUCUGUCUAUAUUAACUUUGAUAAAAUUAUAUAUUUAAUUCAUAUACUUUAAAAAUUAAAUGUUUUUUUCUCUUUUUUUAUUUAAAUCAUUAGAAUUAAUAAUAUUUUACUCAAAAUUUUCUAAGUUCAAAUAUUUAUUUUUUGUCAAUCACAUACCUUAUUAUAUAUGAAAAUAGCCUAAUUAACAUACUAAGUUAAAAAAAAAAUUUAACAAUAGAUACGACUAGAGGUGAUCAUGGGUUGGGCUAACCGAUCUGGUCCGAUGGCCAGCCCGAAAAAUGGGAGGUUCGAGUAAAAAUAUAGGCCUGAAAUAUGGAUUUGGGUAAAAAUAUGAGGCCCGUUUCGGGCCUUGGGUAAAUUUUUUUUGGCCCAGGCCCGGCUCGAAUUAUAUAUUAAAUAUAUAUAUAUUUUUAUUUUUAAUCAAAUAUAUAUAUUUUAUAUAUAUUUAAUAUGGGUCGGGUCGGGCCAGACUCGGGCUUAACAAUUUUCUUUCGGGUCGGGCCUAAAAUUUUGUCUGGACUCGGCCCGGCCCAUGAUCACCUCUAGAUACGACUGAUGUUCAUGAUUGAACGAGAAAUUUUGAAUUGAAAAAAAAAGAGUAUCUAAAUUUUAAUUUUUUAAAUAUAAAAACUAAAUUUCAAAUUCUAUCAGAGUGCAAGGACUGAUAGAAAAUUUUAACCAAUUCAUAACACCGAACCCAUACACCUAAGGGUGAGCAAAAUUCGAUUCAAUUCGAAAAAAUAAAAAAAAUUCAAAUUUCGAGUUAAUCGAAUCAAGUUAUUCGAGUUAUUCGAGUAAACUCGAAUAAGAAAUUUCGGAUUUCGAGUUCGAGUCGAUUUGAAUUUUUACAAUUCGAAUAACUCGAAUCAUUCGAAUAAUAGAUUAGUAUAAAUACCGUUUUGGUCUCUGUCAAUUUUGAAAAUAAGCAAAUUCGUCUCUCUUAACAAAAAUUACAAAAAAAAAAUCAAAGUAAUUUUCAAAUUUUGAAAAUAAUUUUGAAAAUUCAAAAUAUUUAUAGAAAUUCUAAUAUUUAUAUUUUUUAAAAAUUAUAAAUUUAAAAAAAACUAAAAAAUAUAAAAAAAUUAAUAAAAUAAUAAUUUUGGAAUUUAAAUAAGUGAUUAAUGAUUCAAAUUUAUCAUACUAAAAUAUCUUAUUUUUUAUUAUUUUGCUUAAAAAAAUUCAAAUAUAUUUUGUUUCAAAUUUUUGUGUUCUAAUACGAAAAUAGUUAUAUUGUACAAUAUUUUAAUUUAACAUUAUUAAUUUUUCUAAUUUAACUCAAAUGGUUUCACUCAAUUCAAUCUAGCGCUCACCCCUAAUUCGAGUUAUCUAAAAAUUCAAAUAAAAAAAGACAAAAUUAUGUCGUUUUGAUAAAUAUUUAUUUUUUUCUAAAGUUAAAAGUCAAAACUAUUAAGUUAAAAGGCAAAAUUACGUUGUUUUGAUAAAUGUUUACUCAUUAGUUUUACUUCCCUUCCGGAAUCGCCUCAUUCUUCUUCUUUUUUUCUUUUACUCAAAAUUAAUCUAAAAGCUUGUACUUUGUCUACUUAUAAAAUAAUCGAUCUAUGUAAAUGGAACAUUGAGUAUAAAUAAUAAUAUUCGUUAAUUCGACUCGACUAGAAAUUAUUUGAAUUGAUUCGAAAAAAAUUCAAAUUGAAUUCAAUUAGAAAAUAGGAUUUGACUCUAGUGUAAUAUCCACCACUUUAAAUAUGUACCUAUAGUAACCAUAUUUCCAUUGAUCUAGAAACGGAAACAUGGAAAAGUCCCGCAAAUGGUGUUUCUGGAGGAAACCGAAAAUAAAAGCAACCCCUCCAAUGCCCAUAAUCUUAUUGCUGCUCUUAAGCAUAUUUGAAACAGGAAUUAGUUCGACAGCUGAUCAUUUUAAGGUAGAUGGGAAAGUGUUGGAGUUAGACGAAUCCAACUUUGACUUAGCUAUUUCAUCUCUCAAUUACAUCCUCGUUGACUUCUACGCCCCUUGGUGUCGCCACUGCAAGCUCCUUUCCCCCCAGGUUUCAUAUUCUUCAUCCAAUUCUUGUAUGGUUUUUUAGAUAUCAUUUCGUUUUUGUUUUUUAAAGUUCAAUUGAAUUGGUUUGAUUCUAAUCAUAUUUGGUAGCUUUAUUUCCUUUUCUUUUUGGUUUUUAAUGUCCCAUAAUUGUUGUACCAAUAAACUAAAAUUGCUUAUUUGCCUUUUCUGCAUCGCAGUUAGAUGAAGCUGCUCCUGUUCUUGCAGGAUUGAAGGAGCCAAUAGUGAUAGCCAAAGUUAAUGCUGACAAAUUUACCCGUCUUGCUAGUAAACAUGAUGUUGAGUAAGCGUCUAUGACACUUUUGUUUUAUAAGGUGGAUUAGAAAUAAAAUUUCCAAAAUUUGUUAUGCAUUUGGUUUGCAGAAAUGUCUUUAUGUAGUGUUGGCAAUCGAAAUGAAAACUGAGAAACUGUUUCAGCAAUUCUUUGCUUUGGGAAUAAUAGACUUUUAAGUAAAAACCCUUUGUUAACUGUAAUAAAUUAUUUAUUUUUAUGCAUUUCUUUCUAUUUUUUGCAAUGCAUGUCCGUUGAUGCCUUUAAUACAUAAUCACAGAACAUGAAUGAUCUGUUUGUAUAAAGAAAGCAUAAACCUCAGGCUAGGCCAUUAUUGUCUUCACUUUUAAGAUUUAUAGUAAAAAUUGGAAUUUGCAGUGCCUACCCCACCCUCAAGCUGUUUAUGCAUGGUGUUUCUAUGGAGUAUUAUGGACCAAGGAAAGCGGAUUCACUUGUUCAAUAUCUGAAGAAAUUUGUUUCUACCGAUGUGUCUAUUCUUAUCUCAGACUCUGCCAUUAGUGAUUUUGUUGAAGAAGCCGGUACUUUCUUUCCUAUAUUCAUAGGGUUUGACUUGAAUGAGACAGUGCUUUCUAACUUAGCUGUUAAGUACAAGAAAAGGGCAUGGUUUUCUGUGGCAAAGGAUUUCUCUGAUGAAGCCAAGGUAUUGUAUGACAUGGAAAAGUUUCCUGCUUUGGUAGCUAUUCAUCCGAAUUAUAAGCAACAAAGCAUUUUCUACGGCCCUUUUGAAGGUUAGUUUAUUAUCAAGUGUCUUUUAUCUAGGUUAGCAUUCAACAAUGCAUUUCAAGUGCCUUUCAAAUAUUACAGUCAUGUCACAUCGCUUAUCUUUUAUCAUGCACAAUCGACUGUGGUAUUAACUAUGGGUGUUGCCAUUUCUUUAUGUUUUUGCAUACGAGUACUUAUAAAUUUGAUGAUAGAAAUUUGUUUUGUGGUGGAUCAUAGGAAGGUAGUUGAGUUCUUAUUCAUCUUUUUGGGGUUUUACAUAAUAUUCUUUACCUUCUAUAUUUUUUUUGUUUUAAUCAGACAACUUGAUCUGGUAUUUCCCAUGUAAGGCUUAGGAACUGUGGAAAAAAUAAAUUUUGUUUAUUAAAGGAUUUGGUGGAGUUACCUGACCUAUUGUAAUUUUAAAAUUUUUGGGUAGAUUUUACUUGAACCUGGAAGGCAACUUGAUAGGAUAACUGUAACACGAGCCAAUUGUGAUAUUUAUGGUGUGAAAUGUGGAAAUAGAAGAAAGUAUGACAAAAAUUUUGUACAGUUGAGUGUUUUUCAUAUAAAAGAAAGUAGAUUAAAGGGAAAUUAUAGUCAUAUGGAAAGGGUAUUGUGGAUUAGAUUAAUGAUACAUGGGGUUUGUUGAUGGCAUGUCACAUUGUUGUAUAGGUUUGUCGAUGUGGAGAAGGAUCUGACCCUAGUAAAAUGAAGGGAAAAAAAUGCUAAAAACAUCUCUUUGAUUAUAACAUUGAAGAAUAAUCUUAUAGUGAUUUAUUGUUAUUAUGAACUUAUGAGCUUUAGGAUGCGCAACUUGUAGGAGAAAAGAAAAAGAGAAGGAACUAUUAGAAUGCUACUGAAAAUGAUGGAUGAGUGGGCAUACAAGGUAAGUCUAGAUAGUGUUGAGCUGUAGCAUAUUUCCAUGUUCUUGCAGCGAUUGUUUGGUUUGUGUUUAUUGGCAUUAUCCAUAGGAUUUCUACUACCCACUAGAAGUAAGGCUCCUGUUUCAUCUGCUUUGCAUGCUCAGAUAGUGGCAUUUAGUUAUUUCAGUUUGUCUGGGACUCAGAAGGUUUAAUUUAUUGUAUUCUUGACAAGGCUUUCAUUUAAAGGCAUAUAUUUUUCUGUGUCUUUUCUUUUUUACAUUGGUUACUAAAUGCAUGGUAGUCAAACUCAAGCAUUCUGAAUCAAAUAAAUCAUAAAUGAGGAUAUAGCAGAGAGAUGGCUAAUUUGCUUUUCAAUCUGUAAAUUUUCUGUCUGCAAAAGAAAAAGAAAUCUAACCUUUCAGCUUCAAUCAUGCAGGUGAAUUUUUGGAGGAUUUUAUAAAACAGAAUUUUCUCCCUCCAGUGGUGCCCUUGAACCAUGAGACAUUGAAGCUAUUGAAAGAUGAAAAGAGAAAAAUUGUCUUAACCAUCACUGCGGAUGAGAAUGAAGACCAAACACAGAACUUGAUCAAGUUAUUGAAGGCUGCUGCAUCUACAAAUCGUGAUUUAGUGUUUGGUUAUUUUGGGCUUAAGCAAUGGGAAGACUUUGCUGAUAAAUUUGAAGCUAAUGAGAAGAUGAAGUUACCAAAAAUUAUUGUCUGGGAUGGAGAUGAGGACUACUUUUCUGUAAGUAUUAAUUCUUCACAUAUUAUAGUUCAACUCUAAAUCCAAGAUUUAGUGCCUCUAAUGGUAGUGAUUAGCUUGUUUUCUUCUUAUCUUAGCAUAAUUUAUCAUCAGGGCAAUGAUUCUUAUAUGGUCAUCUUGAUUUUGAUCAUUGAGCAUGGCCAUCUUAAUCAUAAUUAGCUACUGGAUAUUGUGAAUACAUUUUGAUGUUUAUGAUUAUAUACAAGGGAAAAAGCUAAAAUUGAUCCUUCAGCUAAGUGUAUUAUUUUCAAAUCUAGUCCCAUAACCCUGAGCUUUUACAAUCAAAGUAUUCGAACUCUUGAUAAGGGACCAAUUUACUCCAUUUUCUGUCACAAUUAUUUGAGUGCUAUUUGGGUGUCUGAAACAAAUGUUAAAUAAUUCAAUUGCAACUGUAGUCAACCUAAAGCCUAAAUCUUGAUCCAAGUCUAACCUAAAGAUUAUAAGCUCAAAUCUUAUGUUCUUGAGAAAAGAAAAUCUUGAGUGCCAAUCUCUAUUGCUACAUUUUCCUUGUACUGCCUUUUUUCUCUCAAUGUGGUCUAAUUUUCCAUCCUCAAGAUUAGUGACUGUUCACCUGCUCUGAUGCUGAAAUUGAGUUUAAUUGUUAUAUUUGUUGAGAAACUGAAACAUUUUCAGAGCAGCAGUGACUGAGGUUAAGUAGAGGGUAGAAAUUAAGGGAAGUGCGCUGAGGAGAGAAGGACCAUAAACAUAAGUUUGAAAGGAGGAAAAUAAAGUAAAAAAGAAGAAGUGCCGUUAUCACUUGAGAAGUGAUAUAUGUUGGUGCCAAAAAAGAGGAAAUGAAAAGACUGAGGUGAAAUAAUGGACUAUUAUCAUGCUAGAGCUUAAUGCGUUAUGGUUUUGGGUAGCAAUGUAAGUGAACUGAUGCAUUUUCUUGACAGGUCAUAAAUAGUCUUAGUUUUGGGUUUUUCUUGUUUAUUUAUUCAACUAAACAAAUGAGUUCAAAUAUAUCUUUUCAGAAUGAGUUUUUAGUUGAGUUGGAGCUUCAAACAUGGGUGAGCUUCACUGGUAUACAUUCUUGAAUAGACAUGUUCUUAACAUGUUUAGCUGCUAGUUUUUUAGUGUUUAAUCAUUCAAAUUAAUAUUGUUGAGCCUUGUUGAGAACUUAUUUAAAAAGAUUACAGUAUACAUGACAGUAUUAGGUUUUUCUUUUUUGGCUAUCGAUUCCCCUGCUUUUCAGACUUGGUAAUUGGGUAUGAGUGUCAGACAUGGAUGUGUCCUUCAUGGUUACAAUCAAUUUUUUUCCCCUAAGUUUAUUCAUGUAUAGGGAGGGUUAUAUCUCCAUACCCGUGUUCGAAUAUUUGUUGAAAACGUGUUUUGGACACAAGUACUUCAAGAAAAGGAUGAGGCCUAACAACAUAGGAUGCUCUAGUUCCCACUCUUAGGGUGGUGUUGAAUUUGGAAAAUCAUAGAAUUGACUGUUAUAUGCCAGAUUAUUCAUGGAUAUAUGUCAAAUGCAACCUAGUACUUAAACUUGGAAUUUUUAUAAACUGUUUACCGUUAUCAAUCAAGCAUACUUCAUUAUUUGAUGACAAAGGUAAUUUUAUUGAUCUUAGAACUUUACAUGGUAAAAUUAGAUUGUCUUCAAACAAAUCUAUUUAAAGUUUACCACUUUAUCUAGUUAUUGAAGAACACCUAAUGCUUUUGGUACUGAAACAUCAAAAGCAAUUUAACCCUAUUAUCUUUUCCUGAUAGAAAAAAAGAAGCAAUCCUAUAAGUCAGUAUAGAUCUUAUCAUGCAUCUUUCUAAUUCUUUAAAGUGUAUUAACCCUUUCUUUAACUCUUAUUCUAUACCGGAUCUGUCACUAAGUGUCAGAAAAUGGAACUGAGCUCGAUAAUUAAAGAAAGAGCAGGAAAGUGUUUGCAUGCAAACUUUAAUCACUCUUUCUUGAAUUCACUAUCCCUACAUCUUUUGAUCCCAUACAAUUGUUUCUAAAAGCGAUACAAUUAUUCAUCCAGGAAGAAAUAUAAUUGUUGCAUUUUGGUGGUUAUUCCUUUAUGUCUCAACAUGGUUAUUUCUUGCAUUUUAAAAGCAAAAUUGCAGAUUAGCUGACGUGCUACAUUUUGUUGAUAUGCUAGGUUAUUGGUAUUGAAAGCCUUAAUAAUGAGGAUCAGGGGUCUCAAAUCUCACAAUUCCUUGAAGGGUAUAGACAAGGAAGGACAGAAAAGAAAACAGUCAAAGCUCCAUUAUUUAUGGGCUUCUUCAACUCAGUAGUUGGCAUUGUAGCUUUCUUUAUAAUUUUCAUUGUCGUUGCGAUGAUGAUAUUGAUGGUUGUACUACUAAUCAUUAUUAGUAAAGACAAUGAACCUGUCAGGGUUGGCAGUCGUGAAGAGGUUGAUCGUGCUGACAACUCCGAGGCCGAAAGCAGUCAGCAUGGACCUGGGAAGAAAGAAGAUUAAAUCAAGGUAUAGUAAGAAAAGGAUUUUAAAAAUGACGUAGGCAAUAGAGUUGCAGAGAGGGAGACAAAUAUGUUACCAAUGCUCUGUUAAAAUCAAUGAUAUGCUCACUGCAAGGCGCCUUGUUUCAAGAAAUCAAGCAUUCAAGGGCAAGUAAUAUAGAUAGUUUGGUUCAUCAUGAUUCCUUUUUCUUUCCUUUAAACACUUUUUUCCCUUGAUUUUCAUUGCUCUGCAAUUUUUAUUCAGUAUUUUUUUUUGGGGGGGGGGGUGAGGGAUAAGUUCUUAGCGUUUUCAUUAUCAAAGAAAGCAGUUAGACUGCUAAAAUCAAGUAGUUUCAGAAGAAUAUGUAUAGAGUCUGCCAUUCUCAUUCUUUAAUCCUUGAUAAAUGAAUGCACAAAAACCAUUGCUUUAGGAUAAUCAAAUAGUAUAUCGGUGGAUAUGUUAAUUUUGUCUUGGUAUUGGUAUAUGGUGCUAAUAAUAUGUUUUUGCAUUAUCAUUUUGAUUUUUUUUCCCCAAAUUUUCAUGUAUAUAGGUUAUUUUCAAUUUCUCUGGUAAUAUAUAUGGUAUACACAUACAAAUAUAUUUUUCUUUACUGUAAACAUUAGUAUUCCAUUAUCGGGAAAAAAAACAUAAGCAUUCAAAUUUUAUAUCUAGGAUAAGCAAAAUAAACAUAAAAUAUUAUAUAUAUAUAUGUAUAGUUUUAUGUAACCAUUUAACAUAAAACAAGUUGACAGUAGUAAGUUACAAAGAUCUAAGGGCACAUCUGGGGGAUAUAAGGGCCGACCACAGCCUCCAACAGAUUCACGAGCCAUGACAUUAUUGUCAGUUAACAGUGAAAGCAUUUUGAGUUUGUAUUAUUUCUUGAGUCCAUAAUUUUAGUGAUGUAUUUAUAGAUUACGGACCAAUAUGUAAGGGUUUAAUCUUUAACCCUUGUGGUAUUUUUACUAACGCUAAAAUAGAAGAGUUUAAACCAUUAGUUUAUUUGGAUAAAAUAAAUAAAUAAUAGCUUCAACCAUUUCCCAUUCGAAAAUAAAUUAAAGAUUACUAUAUGGUUUAUUGUUAAUAUAAUUUUCAAACUUCAUAAAAGACUGGCAUCUACCUCUAAAUCUUGAUGUUAAACUAAAAUGACUUAGAACUCAAUUAAGUGCUAAAUCCAACUAGCCCCACCCCAAAUUGCUCAAAAAUGUCUACUUAAAAUAAACUAAACUUGGAAGUGUUGAAUAUGAAAUAAUUCAAACUCUGCGAGAUAUAAAAAGUAAUAUGAUGUUUUUUUUCACUAACUACCCUAUAUGAGCUCUUAAUAGUUAAUCCUUUCUCUAAUUUUUUUUUCUAAAAAUCAUUCUUUUUUAUUUUUAGCACAUGCAUAGUUGCAAACAUCCCAAAUACCCCACUUUUUCCUCUAAAUUUUUCGCAGGUAUCAAUAAUUCACAUUAAAGUUAAGAUGAUCUUGCAGGUUAACAUUUAACAACAAUCUCUCCUUUUCUAUUCUCAUUUUCUUCUUCACCAACAAAGCAAGGCAUGCAGCGAUUUCCAAGUGUAAAAAAUGAUGCUAAUAUAAAGACUAAAAUUAGAGAAGCUUAAAUGCGAUACACACAUGAAAAAGAAAUAUAUAUAUAUAUAUAUAUAUAUUAUAUAAAGCUAAUAUAAACAUGACUAACCAUAAGCAUCUACUUAAGUAAUACAUAACUAUAUUCACAAGACUGAUAAAACAAUGUUCACAAUCCUCUUCUCAAAUCACUCACAUUCUCGAAAUCUCAAGUUUGAGUACCUCAAUUAUGUAAAGCAAAAUAUCAUUCGGGGAAAUAAAAAUCAAUUUCAUAAAUCUUAUGUUACAAUGUACAAAUUCAGCAAGUUAAAAUCUGGAUAUUGAAUAACAACACAACCAAUCGUAUCACGAAGGAUUGAAUAAUAAUUUGCUGUAGGUCAUUCCAUUCUACCAAAUGCAGCUCAUAACUACUUUACCUCAUUAACAUUCUGGAAGGGAUUGAGCAGAUGCAAAAGGUGAAAAACUAGCAGCUGACUUGCUACAAUGCAAUGGAUACAGCUGGCGACUGGAAGAUCGGACUAAACUUGGUGACGCGUUGCUUGGGCUUGGAAAAUAUUGGGACAUGUAUCUUGCAUUAAGUGGAGAAAUGGAUGGGUAAUUCAAUGAGGCAGGUGAAGCCAAAUGAGAAGAAACAUUUCUGAGGUCUACUGAGCUUCGGCUAUAGCUCAUGGAAGGAGAAUGACGGUAGGACCUAACUGAUGGCUGAAUAGAUGGAACACUGGCAAGAGAAUGAGCGUGAGAAGCCGGUGGAGAUGUCCAUGCCGCUGUGUCAAUUUGUAUGGAUGAUGAUGAUGCUAUCCGAGAUCUAGCACAUGAUAGCACAGAGGACACUGAGCUUGGGCUGGUUGAAAGCAAUGGUGUACUUUCUGAAGCUGGUAAAUCACCUACGGUGGUUCUUGCAUCUCGCUUGCAAACAGGGCAAAAUGUUCUCCAUGUUGUAAGCCAAGAAUCAAUGCAGAAGGCAUGAAACUCUGUGAAAAUGCCAGGAAAUAUUAAGACAUACAUGCAUAUUAAAAAAUAAUAAUAAAUCAAAAUAAGGUAAACAAAUCAAAUAACUAGUUGAAGAAGCUGUACAGAAGUCAUUGUGAAGGCAAGAAUGAUAGUAAGAGUCUACAUUCACAACUCAUGUUUUGGUGUCCCAAAUAAAACUGGUGAGUAAUAAACAAAAAAACCAUUUUAAAAUUGAUAUUUCCUUUAAAUUUUACUAAAGAAACAUUAAAUUGGGGGAGGGAACAAUAAGGAUAUAAUUUAAGUACUUGUAACCUCAAUACAGUUUGUUUCAUAAAGCAGCCCAUAAAGAAAUGGACAUACACUACAGCAUUUUCAUUAACCUUCUUAGAGAAGCAACGUUUCAUAUUCCUAGAAAUCAUAAUAUAAAACCAAACAACAAAAAAGUAAUGCAGGAUACAGAAGGGUUGGUUUUAAACCUAAAGCAGAGUGGGAAACUGAAAGGUAAGAAGAAAGAAGUCUGAGCUUGACAUGAAGAUUUCAUUAGAAGUCAUGACCUGGCAACUGAAGGAUUAAUACCUAAACCCGGGGUUAGUUAAAUUCAAUCCGAUGAAAGCAUAACAGCUGCUCGAGCUUUCAUGAACUUGAUACUAUUAAUUGGAAGAAGUUAAGACUUCUGGAUAUCCUGAACCCAAAGGACUUUCCGUCAUAGGAUAACAGGAUAUUCACUACUUCCAAGCACAAGGAUCUAAAACUUAGCACAGUGAUGCAAGAGUUGUUUAAUGUUCUUUAUUUAUUCUGUUUUGUGCUUGUUUUUAAUUUGUUUCUAAGUAGUCAAAUGACUACAAUUGAGGCUUAGACUUGAGAUUAGUGGAGCCUUGAAAGAUUGGGCUAAGCUUUAGUAAUAUGCUAAUGACCCUAGUAUGGAUAACCCUAGGGAUUUAUAUUCAAUAUUUGGUAUUUUUUUCAGCCGUAAUAUUAUAUUUUCUGUGUUGAGAGAUUUCUAAACCUUAGAGUACUUCUUUUAUCAUUCCACUACUAUCUCUACCUACUUCUCAACUCUGGCUAUCAUCUAAUACUGCACCAUAUAGCUCUGCGAGCUAGGUGUGAUUCUAUAUUAAUUUGAUAGCAGGUAAAGAUCAAGAACCCCAGAUCUCUUCGGCAUUGGUAUUACUUCUUCUUCUUGCCCUAAUAAAAAAUCACAUCAAAAUUUUAAGAUCUUCCUGACAAUUCAAACAAUUUUUUUAUUCAAGAUAACUAGAGUAGAAGUUAGUGUAGGAAUUAGGAUUAGUCCAACAAUAAAAACAGACCGGGACUAUAUAUUCUCAGCAUUUGAUCUUGCAUCUUAUUCUUACGAAGAUUACCAAGCACUUCCUAAUUUGAAAGUUGUCCUUACAAUUCAAAUAAAUUAUCUUCAAGGAAAAGACAACAGCCAAAGAAGUCAUAGACAUGCUUUUGAAAAUGACAGACGAAUUCGAAUCUCAGACCAACAGAUUUCCUAGACUAAUACUAGUACCUUGAACAUGAUGCCACAUAGUCAUUCAGCAAGAAAGAUCAAUUAGACUAAGAUGGGAAAAGAACAUCUAGCAAAUAGAAUAUUUUUAGCAUAAUCAUCAAAUAGCAUAUUCCCGUCUUUAAACAGAAUGGAAUGUGCAAGUAUCUGAGGACAGCAAACAUGUAUUAUAAGCAGGUGAGUGCAUGUAUGCAUGUGAUCUGUCAUCAAUGGGUAAUUUAGAUUUCUUUAUCUGAGAUUAUAUUUAAGACAAGCAAGUACCAAUUGAUAAUCAGGUUUAAACACUUGGUGGGAUAACUAUAUAUAAGAAUCCAUUUUCCCGUCCAGCUCUAACUUGUGUAUUUUGAGACUUUUUUUAAUGCAAUAAAAAAAAGUAUAAAGAAUCCACUAGCCACAUCAUCUUUAAUUAAUUGAGAAAUAUUCUUUUAUAUGAACAAGGGACAAUCCAUGAUAAGAGAGUUAGAUGAAAUAAAUCCUUCAAGUUUAGGAGUUUAUGAUGAGGAAAGCUAUUCCAAAUUCACAAAGGAGUUCUCUGGCCAAUUUGAAAUGGCUCGGAAGUAAUGUCCCCCCCCCCCCCAAUUUCCCUUUGAGUUUUAAUUUGAAAGAAAUGGAUAAACAAGAAUUGUUAGCAUCUGACACUUCUAACUUAAUCAAAAUAAGCACCAUCCAUCUCCAUUUAAAUUUAAUAUUGCCCUAUAGUAAACAUCAAAAAAUCAUUUAGCUAGAACAGAAAUAAAAUAGCCACCAAAAAAUGUCUCAUGGAAUGGUGGCCUAAUCACCAUGCAACAUACAUGCAAAAAGACUACCACAUUAAAACAAAUAUAAUUAACACAGAAAAAUAGCAAGAAAUGUCAUCCUCGGUAUUGUAAGAAGCUUACUGUGAUGACAUGGAAGAAUCCUGAGCUUCUCUCCAAUGGUAUAAUCUUCAAGACAUACUGCACACGUUCUUGAAGUAGAAUUAUCAUCUAAGACAGCAGUGAAUAUCAAGCUAGGCAUUGCUUUUACUAAACGCCUACUCAUUCCAUGAAAUUCACGAACUCGAGAAGAUCGAGAACGUUCACGCCUAACGUGAUAUCUGCGUACAAAGAAACAAGUCGCGAGCACAGCUGACAUGGCAAGUAGAGAAAUAAAGGAGAUGGCCAUGAUUGACCAUGCUGAGUUUUCAAAAGUUGGGCUUAGCCAUAGCUCGAUAUCAGGAGACCCAGUAUACUUUUUGAGUAUUUCACCAGAAGCUUUGGAAACAAAGACAGCGUGUAUCUUUAUGCCAGCAGCAUUCCCUGCCACUGUAAAUAUAUAUAUUACGAGGAAAAGUUAGAGGCACCAUAUAGAAAAGCAUAAAUGUUGUUCAAGGACAAUAAUAAUGACUCAUAGAAAUAAAUAUAUGCCACAAAGGAAUUACUAAAAGAUAAUAAUAAAUUUGGAACAGAAAAAAGAUAUGCAUAAAUGAACAAUGGAAGCAUGUUUAUAGAUGUGGAUGAAAUAAAUCUUGGUAAAGGUUUGGUCCUAAUUCUCACCCUUCUUGAAAGCCUUCCAUUAUCCAGCAAGAAGAUGCCACUAUACUAUAUAACAUAUCUUUAAUGUCAGCACUCAGUUUAUUUUCAAUAUGCUUAAGCAAACAGUAUCUCCCAGACAGCUUAUUCCAACAUCCAAAAAGCUAUUUGUUGAAGAUGAUUGAGCAAUUACAGGUGUGACUAAUUAAAGCAAUUAUAAUUUGAUUGGUGUAAGAUUUUACUCAGCCAGAAGUAAAUCUAAAGAAGAAAAGAUAUCAGCAUGAUGAGUUUUCAUAGUAAGCUGUUUAAGGGUAAUAUGCACACUGCUUUAAACAAUCACAUAAUACACAAUUGAGUUUUACAUGAAUUAAAAUGAAAAUUCAAAGUUUUUCACACAAGUAAUGCCUCAGAAACAAAACCAAGAGUGGAAUGUUAUCGUGGAGACCAGAUAAAUUGCAGAGUGCCAGAAGAGAAGAUUUCUAUCUAUAAUUUAUGAGAUAACAAAAAUAUGGUGUACUACUACCGACCACCAAUUACACCAAACUAUCAUCCAACAAAUACAUCAAAUACGAACUUAGGAGAAUGCUUAUGGUCAAAAUGUCUGCAAGGGUUAAACAAAUGGUGAGCACUUGAACUGAUGCAAUCAAGACUUAGUAGAAGAUAACGUCAUAAGGCAAUUCAACAGGUUUCAAGAAGCCAACAGGUUACAUACAAUUUACAAUUUAUUUCUACCAGCAUAUUCUGUUAAAGAUCUUCUAGAAUCUAUUGACAACAAAAAAAAGGGUCUAUUAUAUGCAUUUAAAUAGUGCUCCAAUAAUGAUUACUGGCAGUAAAUUGCUUGAAUGGCCCAAGUUUCAUUAUAGAAAACCAAGUAUACCAAAAGUAAAAUAUGCAAUUUCAAUCAUUGAAAAUAAAAAAGGUGAUUUUAAAGAAAUAGGACAUUACUUGCAACCAAGAAACCAUCAUCAUUGUCAUAGACGAUAGCGGCUUCAAAUCCUGCCUUUUGCACUCUCCUUACUUUAUCAUCAAAACUGCACCCUCCUCUAAUAACCAGCGCAAAGGGGGAAGUAAUAUUGGAACCUUUUUCAACUUUAUUACUCAAAUCCGAACAGGCAUCAAGAGGAUUUGCCAAAUAUAAUAUCCCACAUUUUCCUGUCCCUUCAAUUGCCGGAGCUGAAAAGUACCAACCAACAACAAACAUCAAACAAGAAAUCAAUUAUAUUGUCAAUUAAAAUAUGUUAAUCAGACAUAAAUUGCUUCAAUUUGUCAUUAAUGUACAGUUUACAUUAAUAAUAAAUUAAAUCACAUAUUUCUUCAAAUUAAAUAAGUUAAGCACAAUGAACAAAAAAUAUAUAUAUUCAACUUGGAGCUCUCAUAACACCUAAAGAUCCAAUCUUUUUCUUGAAUUUCCAACACUUCGUCAGGAUCCAAACAGGAAAAGCUGAAAACAUAUCUGUAAAGAAAAAAAAAACAAAAUGAGCUUACCGAAAUUAGCCUCAACAUCGUCGAAAGAGAGAGUAGUGUUGUUCCCAAUCAGCACCACACUAGCUGAUGUCAUCCAACAAACACCCAGUAAACAGAGAAACCAUAACAAUAAUACCACAACACCAUUCAUCUUCAUCCAAAAAUUAUUUUUUUUAAAUCCAAAAAUAAUCCUAAAUCUCAGUCGAAAGAAAGAGAUAUGUUUCUGUUGGGGUUUGAGAAGGAAAUGGAUACAUCAGCUUCCAUUAGCGAAAUACAAUGGAUAGAGAAACAGAGCAACAAAAAUAGAAACCCUAAUUCUGCUUCCAAAGUUUGAUGAUUUACAGCAAUUUCCUAUUGCAAUAGAAUUUUGUUUGUUUUUCCUUUUAGCUAUUAAUUCAAACAAAAUCGCAGAAACGAAAUGAUUUUUUAUUUUUUCCUUCCGUUCCAAUUUACAAUCAUCCGAUUACAUGACAGAAAAAUGAGAAAGCGAGAGAGAGAGAGAGUUUUUUUUUUUGGGUACAUAAAGAUAUUAUAUUUUACAUUUGUUAAGAAAAGCUGGGUUUUUUUUUUUUUUUGGAGAGUAAAGCUGUGGCUGUUCAGUUUAAUCAGGGAAGUUUUAGCGUCUUUGCCCGGGAAUUUAAUAAAGUUUUGACCUGUUACACAGGUAAACGGUAGACAUUAUUAUAUUUAAAAUAAAAACUAUAUAAAAUUGUCAUGGUUAAAGAUAUAUUUAUUAUUGGCUUAAUACCUCUCUUGGCCCCUCUAUAUGCUAAAUCAUCACUUGAGUACUUAUACUAUUUUUUAUCAGUUUUGCCCAUGUACUUUACUUUCAUUUGUAUAGCUUGUUACCUCAAUCCAAUUUUCCAUUAAAAAAUUCUUAAAUCAACUAAUGACACGCUGCCAUAUGUCAAAAAAGAAAAAAAUAUUUAAAAUUUUAAAAAAAAUCAUUAAAAUUAGAAAAUUAAAAAAAUCAUAAUUUAUUUCGAAAAUAAUAAAAUAUUUUAGGAUUUAUAAGUAUGUGAAACUUCAAAACAAUUUAAAAAUUUUCAUAAAAUUUUUAAAAAAAUUUGUUUGUUUGGAAUUUAAAGGUUUUUGGAAAAUUUUAGAACUUUAUGGUAGUUUCUGAAAUUUUUAGGUUUUUUCAUUUUUUAUGAAAUUUUUUAUAUUUCUUAAAGAACUUUGAAUUUUUUUACUAAAAGAUACCAUAAAAUUCUUUAAUUUUUGUAUAAAUUUCUAAAAUAUUCUAAAAAGCUAAAAUUGUAAACAAACAAGAUUUUUAAAAUUUUUGAAGCUUUGCAUACUAAUAUAAUUGUCUGAGUUUUAAAAUUUUUAUAAUUGUCUGGGUUUUAAAAUUUUUGGGGUUUUAUUUUUUUUAUGAUUUUGAGUUAGGGUAACUGGAUUACAGAACUAAAAUACGGGGGCCAAACUGCUAAUAAAAAAAGUACAAGAGCCAAACUGAUAAAUAAAAUAGUAUAAGUACUAAAGUGAUAAUUUAACUAUAGUACAAAAGCCAAAAGAGAUAUUAAGCCAUUAUUAUUAUUAUUUUUUAAAAGGAUAAUUAUUAUAAUAGUUUAAUCUUUCCUUUCAGAAAAUUUGGGUUCCUAUAAAAAGAUUAAAUUUAAUAAAUUUUAAAUAUUCAAAAAGGAUUCAUCUUCCAACAUCAGCAUCGUCUGUGGGAUGGUAUUGUUGUGCUCCUCUCACCCUCUCUGCACCAUGUUUUAUUUGUUUCUGUCCAUGCUUUCAGCUCUCAAAUUUUAGAUUUUAUAUGAGUUUUAACAUGAUAUUUUAUUUAUCGUAAUCUCUUUACACUUCAGGUAAUUUCAUUAACCAAAACCCUUUGUAUUUUUAAAUUUUCAUCCAAUUAAGAUGGCAGUUUAAAGGAGAUGAUGGUGUGCCUAAUCCUAUUGGAUAGAUUUAUAAAAUUAAACAUGCACUGAACAUCUUCAACCUCCGAUAUCAGGUGAUGCAAAAAUCCAAGAAUUUAGCACAAAUAAACCACAAGUCAGAAUUUGAUAAAUGGGGAUAAAUUUAAUACGUAAAUAAAGAUGUUAGAUUUAAAUAAAACGAUUGAGUAAUAAUAAAUAAAUAAUAAUAUGAUAGGAUCAAUCUUAUAAAAUCCUUGAAUAAUUUGUAUAAAAGAAGGCCAAUGAUUGAGCUUGAACCCUUGGGAGAACAACUCCUAGAAACAUUGAUUAUCAAGCUUGAUCAGGUUUGAAGCGGAAGACUUGAAAGUGUGAACAAAUACUCAAAACAAAAAUCACUCUUAUUCUUAUAAUAUGUUUAACGUGUACAAUAAAAAAAAGAAAAACUUUCAAAAUUAUUCAAUGAUUAAUAAUAGUAGUAUUCAUUUAUUCAAAAUUUUCAUGUCCUUCCAAGGGCAGCAGCGGAUACUACAAAGUCUAUUUCAAAUAGACACAAAAAUGGGAAGGUUUUUUCUGGACGAAGGUGGAGGCAGCCACGGUAGUGGUGGUGGGAGAAGAGGAAGAGGAAGGUAAAUUUUGAGGAUCAAAUUGAGAUUAUUUGUAAAAUUUAAGGGUUAUUAUUUUAAAAUUAUGACUAAAUCGAUAUAAUAUGUAAAAGUUAAGGGCUAAAUUUGUUAUUAUAUUGAUUUUUUUAAUUGUCACAUUACCCUCCCAUCACAUAUUUAACGGCACUUAAAGGACUAGACUAAAAGAACAAUCACAAUUAGUUGGGUGACCAAAUUAAAAAAUUUUAAUAGCUAAGUGACCAAAAGAAAAGGACAAUAAUUAGGUGAACUAUGGUGUAAUUUAUCCUAAUAUCAUCAUAGCGAGUCCCACAGUACCCUCGUUCAACGCCUGGUAAAAAUAUGAGCAGACAAGUCUUGUGGAACUGGGAAGUGUUAGAUAUUUAUGGAAAGGUGAGAGAUGUUUCAUUUCUUUCAAGCAUCUCAACCACGUAAAAUCUGAGGACAUGACAAAACGGAGAUGUUUAAGGAUAACUGUACUAUUAUUUAGGAAUAAUUAUUUUUUGUCUUCUAAUUUUAUAAAUAAAAAUAUUUUUUUUAUUUUUUUUAACUUUUGAACUUAUAUUACUUAUUAAAUCACUCUAAAAUAAAUAAAUAAAGUUAAAUUUUUGUUAAUUUUACUAAAGUGGCCAUUUACAUGGAUUAUCAUGUGUAUGCCACAUAAAUAAUUAACUAAAUUUAAAAAAUUAAAAUAUUAAAAAAACAUUUUUUUAUAAUUUUCAUACUUUUUAUCUUUUUAAAACCAGUUAGAUUUUUUUUUUUGAAAUUUUAAAAUUUUACCUUUUGUAUAUGGGUUUUAAAUAUGAUUUUUAUUUCUCGUAACCUCUUUUACACUUAGGGUCUGUUUGAUUGCCAGUAAAAUAUUUUCCGUAAAAUGAUUUUUGGAAAAUGUUUUACUUUUCUGUAAAAUGAUUUACUGGAAAAUAUUUUCUGGUGUUUGAUUGAAUCUGUGAAAAAAAUUUUCUGCUGCUUGGCAGAUUUUUUGAAAAUAUUUUUCGGAAAAGUUGUUUUUACAUAUAUUAAUAUAUAUUAAUAAAUUUUUAUAUUUUAAAUUAUUUUUACAUAUAUUGCAAUGAUUUAUUUAUAAUAAUACUCAAUUAUUAAGCUACAAUAUUAAUCGUUAUAAAUUGAAAAAAACUAAUUAAAAAACAAGUAUUGAAUAAUUAAAAAAACAAGUUAUUGGAAAAUCGAUAAACAAAAGCAGUUUUCUACAGGAAAUGAAGGAAGGAAUGAAGGAGGCGAUAGAGAGGAGAGCACGGAAAAUGUCUUACGGAAAUUGAAAGGGUAAGACAUUUUCCCUAAAAUGUAACCCAUUUUCUCUUGUUUUGGAGUUCAUUUUCCAAAUGGAAAAUGUUUUCCGCCAAUCAAACGCUGGAAAAGUUGGAAAUGAUUUUCCGGAAAAUCAAUUCCGUCAAUCAAACAGACCCUUAAUCUUUUACAUAUAUAGGAUAAUUUCACUAACUAAAAUUCUUACCAUAUUAAAUUUUUAUUGAAUCAAGAUACAAUUUUAAAAGAGAUAAUGGUCUACCUCGCUCUAUUUGACAUCAAUUUACCAAACUUUAUGACACAUAUAAAGAUAACUCAAAAUCAAAUCUAAACUAAUUCCUAUAAAUUAAACCUGGAUUACCAACAGUAAAAUGCAAGUUUUACUAUUUUAUCAUCCCAGAAUCUUACAUGGGAUUAAAAAGAAAACAAGUUUAUGAAACAAGCACCCUGCCUUGGCCGUGGUGCUGCCCCUGGUUGGUGACAUAAAGUUUAGGAACAAUGCUUAUGGGCCCAAAAUUCUUUGGGAUUAAGGAUGGUGAGGAGUUUUAUAGACAAUCUUUUGUGGGUUAACCCUUUGGCCUGUCGUAUCCCGGUUAAAGCAAAAUCUAUGAGGAACACUGUUUCAUGUAGGAAGCCUGAUGAGGGUAAAAUGAAGUUCAAAGGUGAUGGCCAAGUUAGGAAGAGCAGUGGAGCUGCUUACUAUAGAUAUCAACAUAGUUGAGUUGAUGAGAUUUAAAACGGCUUUGGAAAUGUGAUGUUUCCGAUGCUUGUGGCUUGAUUUCACUCCAUCAUCGCUUUGAACUACAUCAGCAAAACCAAAGGUUAGACCAUUGAGGCUGUGCCAAACUUGAAGGAGAUGGAUUUCUAGCAUCAAAGAUGCCUUGUUUCAUCAAAAUGGAAUGCAUGUUAACUAUGUUCAAUUAAAAAGAAAAAGAAGAGGUGCAAGGGAAAGAGACUUUUAACCUCCGAUUCAUCUAUAUGUGCGAUUCUGGUUCUGAGCAGAGAAAGAGGUUUGUUUAUGGAAGGCUUUUAAGUCCUCUCCAUCUGAUAUUGGAGUCAAAUACCAUUAAUGCUGGUAACCUAAGUAUGACCUGGUAUACUAGCAAUUUAAAUGCUUGCAUUACAUAAUAAUGACUUAAGUUUAAGCCAGAAAAACAGGGAAAAAAAUGCAGUAACAAUUAUCUAUAUUCCAAAGAAUGUCAUGAAAGUUUAUAUUCUGACACGAGGCAUUGGUUAUUUUGUAGUUUUCUUGUUGGUAUCUCUUCGAGUCUAUUUAAAAAGAAAAAAGAAAAAAAAAGGCUAAACUUAUAAAUUGGUACCUAAAUAUUUCAUUUUUCUCAUUUUGGUACUUAAACAUUUAUUAGGUCAAAUGUUAUCUAAACUAUUUUUUUUUCUUAAGUUGUACCUUGUUAGUUCGAAUGUUAGUCAAAUAAUUAAGUCUAUAUCAAAAAAAAGAUAACCAAUUAAAAAUUAUCAUGUGGUAAAAAAAAAACAAAGUAUUACUUUCUCUUUAUAUAUGUACUUUAUAUUUUCUUUCUUUUUCUUUCUUCUUCCUUAUCUUAGACUUUUUCUACAAGUGUGAGCAUUUCGAGUUUUAUGGUUUUAUCAAGAUUUUUAAAAUUGGAUCAAUGGUUAAACCAGUCAAGCCACUACUUCUUGAUUGAUCGAUUCAUUUGGUUCGAUCAAAUUAAUUAUUAAAAAAUUUAUAAAAAUAAAAAAGAAUGAAAAUAAAGAAAAUUGAUUCAACUAAAUUUUUAGCUCGGUUCAACUGGUUUGUAUCGACUCGCGGGUCAACCAAUUCAACGCUAUCUUCAUACCAGUACCUCGAUUGAUUCUCGGUUCAAUCAAUUGAUUCUGUUCAGUUUUGAAAACAUUGGUUUUGAUUAACGAAAGAAUUUUUUCAAUCCCGUCAAGUUGAGCAAGCAAGAAGUGAAGUUCGAAAACAAUAUUAAUCGCUAGUGUCUCAAUCUCAGGAGAGCAAAUUUCGAGCAUUACUAACAUUGUCAAAUAUUUUAAAGGAAUAAGAAAAAAAAGAAAAAAAAAGAAUUAUUUUUUAAAAAAGUUUUUAUGAAGUGGCGGCCUAUUAUUGGUUGGAAUUUUUUUAAUAGAUUUAACGUUUUAGUCUUUGCCAACAACUUCUUAAUUUAGUGGCAAGAGUAUUACGAAUAGUUUAUGUACCAAUUUAAAAAAAAUGAUAUAAUUUAAGUAAUAAUUGGUGGAUUCAACAUUUUUUAAAUAAAUUUAAUAGUUUGAUUAAAAGUUAAAUUAAUGAAUGUACAAACUUGAAAAACACAAGUUGCUUAGAUACCAUUUAUAAAAAAAAAAAAAAGAGAAUUAAAUAGUAAAAUAAGAAAAAAAAUUACUUUAAAUACCAAUUUAUAAAUUAAACCUAGAGAAGAAUCCCAAAAUGUUUAUGUUUUGGUGGGCUUGGGCUUUAAUUCUGUUGUUGUUAAUUAAGAAGCAUCGUUACCUUAAAAAAAUUAAUUAAUUAAGAAGCGACUUAAAUGAGCUACGACAAUAUUUGUUUACUCGUCUACAUGAGAUUAAUCUAUAAACUAUAUAUAAAAGGAAUUUACAUGAUAUAUAUUAAAGUUAAAAGAUUUUUUUUUAAAAUAUUAAGAUGAUGGUUAAAUUUUAAUUUUGAUGUUUUUAUUUUAAUAGUAGAAUUUUAACUUUGGUUUUUAUAUCAUGUUUAAAAUUUAAUCUUUAUAUUUUAAUUUUUUUUAUAUAAUUUUGGUAUCUCAAUUUUUGUAAUGUGACGUGUUCCUUACAUGACACGCGUCAAAGUCUCUUUUUUUUUGUAAUAGUAUCAUAAAAGGUCCUAUACUAGGAGUUAGAUUACAUUUUACUCAUUCUACAUAAAAAAAGGCAAAUUAGUCCAUAUAGGUUUGAUCAAAGAGCAAAUUGGUCCUUUUAGUUAAAAUUUUCAUUCAUUUGUACUAUUAAAAACUGACGUAGCUGAUGGAAUAAUCAAACAAUAAUAUGUAGCGUGCCAUGUGUACCACAUGCUAACAUAUAAGGACCAAAUUUUAACAACAGAAUUGGAUGAAAUUUUUAAUAGAAGGGCCAAUUUGCUCUUUGAUCUAAUGUACGUGGACUAUAUUGCCCAUUUUUUAGUAGAGGUGGCAAAAUACAAUCUGACUCCUAGUACAGGGGCCUCCAUAGUACUUUUACCGUCUUUUCUUUUUUAUUACUUUAUAAGAUAAUGGUCAUGUUUUAAUUUUGAUCCCUUUACUUCUUUUUUUAAGAUUAUAUAACAAUAGUCAAUUUUCAAUUUUGAUCUCAGCUCAAAUUUAAGAUUUAAUAUAUAUACUUUAAUUUUUGUGGCAUAUUUGACACCUCAACUUUUACAAUGCUAUUAGUUAAUCUAAAUAUUUUAUUCUAAUUAAAAUGUUGACGUGAAUUUUGAUUUAAUAAUUAGAUCAAAUGGUAACAUGAUUAUAAAAAUUAUAUUUCAGAAAAGGAGUUCCAUUCAAAUUUAAGAAUACCUUAAGUAUUAAUACAUGCAUGGAAAUUGUUUACUUCACUGAUAAUAGCAUUUCUUCUUAAUUAUUAAUUAUAUUUGGGGAAUUUGUUAUUUAUAUUUAUAUAAAGAGAUUCUUUACAUUAAAAGAAUUAAAUAUGUUUGUAAUGAUAGAAUUAAGUGGAGGGCUAUCAAAAUCUAUAAUCCUAGUAUUUAGCUUUUCUUAAGAGGAUUGCUUUGAGUGCAAAAAAAAGAAAGAAAAAUGUGUAUUUUAAUGGACAAAAUCAAUAAAAAGGUGAAAUUUGAAGCUUAAUAUGCAUGAUUUAAAAAUAGUUGUAGAAGCCAAAGAUUUCAUAUAAUAUAAAGACAAACCAAAAUUGCAAACUUUGGUAUUUCAAAUCCAAUUGAAUAAAAUAUAAUGAAGCUUUGGAUAGAAAUGAUGUGUUUUACAUUCAACUUCAUCAGUGAAGUUAAAGAAUUUAAAUAAAAUAUAUAUGGGAUUUGGAGCGAUAUGUAGCAUAUUAAAUACUUAAAUGAAAAUUUUUAUUUAAUUAAUUUUAUUUUAAAUUUAUUAUACUUAAUAAAUAUAUAUUUCCAAAUUGAAAAUUAUUCUACAGCUAUUUUAUUUUUGCUUAACUGAGAAAUGGUAAGUACCUUCAUGCCUUGUGUAGAAGCCCAAAUUUGUUGGGCCCAGUAUCUAAACCAGAGACCCAAUAACAAUGGCCCAAAAUAACCAGGCCCAAAAUAACCAGGCCCAAAAAAAUCAACUUUCAGCAAACCCUAGUGGCCUCCCUGAGCCCUAGCGCCAUCUGCCCAAGUCCCUUGGCACCGCACGUUCCCUGGUCGGCCUUUAGCGCCACCACCGCUCGACUCACCAAUCGACGACUUUGUGUCUGCCUCGUCACAUCAGUCGCCUGCAAAACAGAGAACACACGCAACAGAGAAACAACAAAAAGGAAACAACAACAUGCAGAACGACAAACGAACGAUCCAAGGCACAAAACGUCAAAAUAGAAAUCUAGGGAUUUUUUAAAUCGGUUAUAUAAACCGAAAUCGGAACUGUAAUGCUUCUUCUUCGAUUUUCCUUGUAACGAACACACAUAUAUUGAAAUCAAAAAAUCGAGAUUAAGAAAAAGGUUUUUUGAACUGCUUUUCUCUUCAUUUUCUUAAAUUUUUUUGUGUAUAUAUUUAUUUCUUUUAUUUUUAUUUUAUUUUUUCGCGAAUCGAUUCUAAACAAAAAAUAAUCAAAAAAUAAAAGGAAAGAAACCACCUGAAUCGGCCCCUGAAGCCGUCGUCGUCGUCGGCCCUUCGCCGUCGUCAGACGCAAGUUUAGAUAGGGGCCCGAAGCUUUUCUUUUUCCCGUCGUUUCCCCCCGUUCCUUGGCCUCGAUCUCUGAGUGCGCUUCAACGCGCGGCCUGAAGGCGCCCUUGCAUGGCUCCGGCCACCGGGCAGGGGAAGGCGUGACGGCGGCGGGCCUGGAACCCUAGCAGAGAAAAGGGAUUUCCCUUUUCAUUUUUUUUCUUGCGUUCUUUGCAGAGAAUGAAGCAGCAGAAAAUAAAGCAAAAUUUUAGCCUUUAUUGUGAUUGCAAUACGGCGCCGUUUAAGGGGGAGAUUGCGCAUUUUUGCCCUGAUGGGUAAUUUAUGAAUUUAGUCCCUCCGUUUUGCGCUGAAGCGCAAUCCAACUUUCUGCUUCUUUUAGAUUUGGG